rnacentral:lncRNA from 1 species
CCCCCUCAAUUCAGCGGUUUUCCAAAUCUAAGAACACUUGACUUGUACUUGUUACGUGUCAGUCGGAAGGAUCUUCAAGAUAUGCUGUCAAAUUGCAUUAAUCUUGAGUGGUUCAGUAUGUUUAGAUGCCACCUGAAUGAUGAGCUGACAGUAGCUUGUCCAUUGUAAAAGUUAUUAUACUUCCGUGUUGUGCACUGCAGGAUAACAAAGAUAGUACUCAAUGCAGCAAAACUCAAAACUUUCAUUUUCUAUGGGCGUUUGUAUCCUAUUGACCUUGGGGAUGCUCCAAACUUGAAACAAGCAUUUCUUGAUUUCUAUACCCCAGUGACUCUUGAACAUGCUUUAACUAUACUUCCCAAAGUGCUUCCAAGUGUUCAGGAUCUGACAUUGCGUGCUUCUUUUGAACUCAAGGUUUGCUGUCUCACACUUCACUUUAAUAUGCAAGUUGUUUUUCUGGUCUCUCUCUCUCUCUCUCUCUCUCUCUCUCUCUCUCUUUCUCUCUCUCUCUCUCUCUCUCUCUCUCACAAUGACUAUUUAUAGUAUCUACUUUUCAGAUGCCCUUGUUGAUGGAGACCUCUUACAAGUUUUCCUACUUAAAAUGUUUAGAUUUGUGGUUGAUUUUAGAUGACAAAGAAGUUGACAAUAUUCUGUCUUUGGCCUCACUUUUGAGGGCUGCUCCUUUCGUUGAAACGUUAGGGAUGAAUGUGAGUAUAGUACUCCUAUCUCCUACAACGACCUUCACUUUGCUAAAAAUUGAUUGACUCGUUAACCAUGAAUUAUGCCUAUGCUUACCAUGUUUUCUUCCUCAAACUUUUGCAGUUUCGUGUUUUUGGUGUCCCACAUCAUGUCUCAGAGCCUAUUAAAAGCAUUACCAGGUGUCCACAUAAUCAUCUGAAGAACCUGCAUAUUACAGGAUUUUCUGGAACAACAACACAACUUGAAUUUCUAGUGCAUGUUGUUGAAAGUGCCCAUGCCCUGGAGAUUUUGACGAUUAAUGGACCUGACAUAGCUCGCCAUGAUGAUAAAUGGCUAAUAAGAUUCCGUUCCCUAGUUCGAGAAUUGGAGAGAAAAUAUCUUCAUGAAAUAAUUUCACCAAAUGUGAAGCUCUCCAUUUUCUCCCGGAAUUAUAAAAUGCUGGAAGGACAGAAACACAUGAGUUUUCUAGAAGAAAUCGACGCCGCCAUAAUAUAUUAUGCAACUCAUCAAUGAGGAGGCCAAGAUUUGUGUCACCGCGGGGCCGAAACACUGGAGUCUUCCUUUGGUUUACAGGAAUUUGGUAGGAAUUAUGUUGGAAAAUAUCCCUUGAAUCUCUUUGAUUUGUAGGAAUUAUUUCAUAUUCCUAUGAAGGAUAGGAAACAAUUCUUCACAUUUCGAAGGAAAAAAUAUUAGUCUAGUUCAGUUGAAAAAUUCUCAUCCUAUACAUCAGAUAGCAUCUCUCUUCCUAUAGAAAUUGAAAUAUGUGUCAUCUCACUUCCUAUAAUUUUCAUACUUAUGAUAUUCCUAUCCUAUGAGUCAAAGAAGUCCAGAGUUAUUUCAUGGCGCGGGAAUAACAACUUUGUUGUAUUCCAAACUGUUGUUGUAAUGCACCUUCUUUUCGAGCAUUAAUCUUGUAAACUCUCUUCUUAAUCAAUGGACGAGACAAAUCUUUUGCCUCCGUUAAAAAAAACCUGAACAUGUGUGUAUGUACUCCCUCCGAUCCUUUUUACUCUGCAUAUUAGAUUUUUGUCAAGUCAAACUUUGCAAAGUUUGAUCAAAUUUAUGUUAAAAAAUACCGACAUUUACAAUAUCAAAUAUAUAUAUAUAUACUAUGAAACUACAUUUCAUAAUGAAUCUAACAAUAUUGAUUUGGUGUUAUGAAUGUUGGUACUUUUUCCUAUAAAUUUGAUCAAAUUAGAAAUAGUUUGCCUUGGGACAAAACUUAUAUACGAACUAAAAAGGACAGGAGAGAGUAACUUUUUGGUUGUAAAUUAUGUCCAACGAUUCGUCCUCAAUGCCUUUUCUUCUUUCCAUCGUCGAGUGUGUUUGCAAAAUAUUAUGUUGUAUUUGUAGAGCUCUGACAAGAAGCGUGGAUGCUUGAAACCUGGGAGAUAAACACUCUAUGAUAGCGAGCAGAAGCACAAUCCAAAUCGAAGGAAAUGUAAAUCAAGGACACAAGUUGACUACUAUAUCAUUAGUUAAUGUGUACACAUAGGAUAAGAAAGAACUGGUGUCACGCUGGAUGAGAAAGGCACUGCUGGCUACUGUGUCAUCCGCCAUGGGCACGGGCUAGCGUAUCAUUGUCUCACACAAAAAGUAUUACUUACAAAUUUAUCAAGAAAUGAAAUGAAAAAACAGUUAUAACAGUAAAAUAGGUUUCUAUUCAUCUUGUCGGUGCUAAUCAAGACUGAAGUGUACUGCUCAAGGGUGAAAAAAUCUCCUAAAUUCUCUUCAGAUUCUCCAGUUAAAAAAGGAAGAGCAGUCCACCCUUUCGUCCUCCCUUCUCCGACUCGUCUCGCAGUCGCAGUCCCUUGUCCUGACCGACCUCCAGUGGGGAUCGGAUCGGACCCAACGAGGCUCUGAAAUACCACCCUCCGUAACCUAGAGCUGCCUCCGUGCCGUAGGCUAGCGUAGCGCCACCGCGGACGCCUCAACCCCAGCCCCCAAACUCAUCUGCCGCGUCGCCGCCCAUCGCCGUUCCGUUCAGCCGUCGCGCCGCUGCUGUCUCAACAGCGCCCCCAAUCUUUGCCAGUGGUAAGUUUUCUUGUCACCCAGUGAUGCGCUAACUGUCAGCCCCCACUGAAUCCCACGAAUUUCAGUCUUAGUGUGCCGGUGCCAUCUAGAUCCGCCCUGCACCCUCUCGCCCCCACAAACACCCAAACCCAUCCUCUGAUCUAUCCCCGAAAUCAUAGUUAAUGUGGUAAAAUUUAACAAAAGUGACCUUUCGUUUUAUAGUUCUGCUAGAAAUAGAGCUCGUUUAUUUGUUUGUCAAGGAAAAGUUUACAACUUCCACUAAAAAAACACAACUUUAUGGACCGACUGUUCUAUCUGGUUAUGAGGGAUAUUAGAAACUAGAGAUGGUAUUGAAUACAGCAACACUCUGUUAUGCAGUUCACAUGUUCGUUUUAUAGUUUUGCUAGAAAUAGAGCUGGUGUUUUUAUCUGGCAUGAGGGAUAGUAGAAUACAAUAACACUCUGUUCUGCAGUUCACAUGUGUUCUGGCCUUCCAUGUUCGUUUCCUCGAUCUGUUCAUACUUAACCUGGCAUCAUUUGUGUGCAGAAUCAAAAUGGGCAGCGAUCUAACACACACGAGAAAAAGAAUGAGGCGUUACUACCACGGACCAGUCAUUAAGAAAACGAGAGCAAAGGUUCAGUUUGCAGACCUUCCCGAUGAUCUGCUGUCUACGAUUCUAUCAAAAUUGCCACUGAAGGAAGCUGCAAGAACCGUCAUUCUGUCAAGUAAAUGGAACGACGUGUGGAGAGUUUGCCCCAAACUGAGAUUUGAUGGCUUCACAGUGUGCAGUGACAGCGUGUUUGGGGGAGAACAGUACACUCAGAAAUUCAUUGACAAUGUUAAUGCAGUCAUGCAGAAGCAUCAGUGCAUGGUCGUUGAAGAGCUCGUGAUCAAAUUUGGGUUUGACAAGAGGGUACUGGAUCAUAUCAACAUGUGGGUUGCUUUUGCUGUUUCAUCGCGGACGGAGAGCCUUGCCCUUGAUUUAGGACCAGUCGACAUCCAAGGUCGUAUUGAUCAGUACAGAUUUCCGGUCGAGCUUUUAGACAACAGAAGCAUAUCCCGGCUUCGUCAUCUUCAACUUAGCGUUGCAUCAUUUGAACUACCCCUUCAAUUCAGCGGUUUCCCGAAUCUGAGAGCACUUGACUUGCACUUGGUAAAUGUCACUCGGAAGGAUCUUCAAGACAUGCUGUCAAAUUGCAUUAAUCUUGAGUGGUUCAGUAUGGUUAGAUGCCAUUUGAAUGAUGAACUGAUAGUAGCUCGUCCAUUGUCAAACCUGAUAUACCUGCGUGUUGCACACUGCAAGAUAACCAAGAUAGUACUCCAUGCGGUGGAACUCAAAACUUUCUUGUUCUAUGGACGUCUGUAUCCAAUCGACCUUGGGCAUACACCCAAACUGAAGCACACAUUUCUUGAUAUUUAUUCCCUGUUAACUGUUGAGCAUGCUUUGACUGUGCUUCCCAAAGUGCUUCCAAGUGUUCAAGAUCUGACAUUGCAUGCUCAUUUUACUCUUAAGGUCUGUUGUCUCACAUUUCUAUUAAUAUCUACAUUGUUUUAUCACAUUUCUCUGUCUCCUAUUUUGACCAUUUACUAUCUAUUUUUCAGAUGCCUUUGUUGAUGGAAAAUCCGUGCAAGUUUUACCAGUUGAAAUAUUUACAUUUGAACCUGUCAAUUGGUCAUAAAGAAGCUGCCAACAUUCUAUCUUUUGCCUCUUUUCUGAGGGCUGCUCCUUCUGUUGAAAAGUUAGAAAUGCAUGUGAGUAUACUCCUAUCUCUUAGACUUCACUUGAUCGAUUAGCGAACCAUGAAUUGUGCCUCUGCUUGAUCAUGUUUCCUCUGCCACGCUUUUGCAGUUUAGUGUUUUGGCCAUCCCACAUCGUGUCUCGGAGCCUAUCAAGAGCCUUCCACGGUGUCCACAUAGUUAUCUGAAGAACCUGCAUAUUACAGGAUUUUCGGGAACAACAGGACAACUUGAAUUUCUAGUGCACGUUGUUGAAAAUGCCCCUGCUCUGAAGAUAUUGACGAUUAAAGGAGCUGACUCGAUUGGUCGUGAUCUCAAUCAUGAAGGGAAAAGAAAAUUUUCUUUUAAGUUUCGGGAAUUGGAGAGGAAAUACCUUCAUGGGAUAAUUUCACCAAAUGUGGACCUCCGUAUUAUUUAAGUGUGCCAGACAUCUAGCUGCUCUUGUACACGCAACGGGCUGCUGUUCCAUUUGCCCAUUCCACUUAAAAUGUUCAGAUUUGUGGUUGAUUUUAGAUCAUAAAGAAGCUGGCAACAUUCUGUUAUUGGUUUCUUUUCUGAAUGCUGCUCCUUCUGUUAAGAAAUUAGUUCUGAAUCCUCAUCAUUCUGUUUUUUUUUUGAGAAUGCAUGUAAAUAUAUUUGUUCUGAAUCCUCGUCUUGAUUAUGAUUGAGACUAUCAGAAUUGAGAAGGUGUUGGACUGUUAUCUCUUAGUGGCUCAACUAGAACCCUGAAAGCAAUUUCAAUCUCCAUAUCCAGUUGAUUGCUUGAGCUUAAAUGCAAAAUAUUGCGUUCUGAUGGUAAGUUUGCACACAAAGACAAGUAUGCGAAUCCUGAACUACGAGUGAGCAUAAUGAACAGAAAUUUCCAACAAAAAUUUCAGAGUAAAAAAAGCAAUAAUUUCUACUCUGCAGUUCACAAGCUAACCAAGAAAAAUCAAUCUUGUGGGAGCCAAGAGCAAUGUAAAAGGCUCUGGAGCUGCUCCAGACGCUCACUACAAUUGACUAUUUCCCCCAUUAACCAGGUGGCUUGAUCCAGUUUGCUGGAUAGAACCUCCGGGUUGUCAACGCGAAGCUGACUUUUGAGAAGAACUUCACUGAUUGCGAUUGCAUCAGCCAGUGUCGUAUCAACCGAAACGCCCACGGGAAUCGCCUUGUUGUCGGAGGCGGCGGUGACCGCCCAGAGCGCGUCCUCGCGCGUGCUGACGAUUGGCACAUAAGGUGAGGAGGCCGCGGGCGCCGGCGGCGGAGGCGGAGGCGGCGAGGUUGGUGGCGGCGGCGUCGGCUCACGCCUGGACAGCGGAAGUGGAGGAUGCUGUCCAAGACCGAGCUCGGCACGCAUUUGGCGCAAGAAAUCGGCGGCGUUCUUCAUCUCGUUGGCGUUAUCGGGGGACUCGCCGGGGCCUCGGGCGAGACCAACCGGGCCACGGUCCUGGAGCGCGGCGAAGUCGCCGACUUCUUGGAGCGCGCCGAAGGCGGAGGGAGAACUUGGGUUCGGUCGCCGUUUUCUCGGCCCAUGGGCCAUUUCGAAAUCUAUUCUAUUUAGGCUCGUAGAAAAAGUUUGUAAUUUCCUCACUCACUCAAUAAAUAAAUAAAUAAAUAAGAGAGCUUAUUUCUUGUUAGUUUCUUAAGGGAACGCGAAAGCUUUAUUGCUCAAUAACGUUCAUGCGGAUACAAGUCGAGUCCGGAGGCCCCAGAAAACCAAAUAUGCCUACCCUCACCAAGGGAGGAAGACAAUUUCGCUAAAGCAUGCACGUCCCUAUUGAACUCUCUCCGCUCAUGGUCAAAGAUGACCAACAAAAACAUGUCCUUCCCGCUAUCAAUUUCCUUCAAGAUCGAACCAUAGCCAGUGAGUUUGUUACACCACUGCAAAAUUUUAUUUUAUUUUAAAACAAAGGCUCAAGGGAAGCCCGACUUUGAAUUAACAAAGCCAUCAACCGGCCAGGAUUACACAAGGCCACCAAGCAAGAGCGACCGAAAGAUACAAAUGAGCUGACAGAGCAGUUUACAACGCAACGCACACUACUGCACACAUAGAAAUACACAUGAAAGACCUGCAAGUAAUGUCGAAGCCCGCUGCACAUCGGCACCACGAGUAAGGGAGCAGAGUAGCGUCAAGGAUCAGCCAAAGGCUUGCAAGAAGCUGCGCGCAGCCGGAUCGUGGUAUUGGGAUCACGAAACCUGUCUUCCAACGCCGAAGAAGACCCCAAUCCUCUCGCCUAGGCUCGAAGGCGCCGCACCAUCGGGUCGUUGGGCGCUCACCCGAGAGCAAGAGCAGGUGCCGGUCGAAACCCAGAGCAGGCAUAGCUCACAAUCCUCACCACGCCGAAGGCACACCAGUAGCUGCACUGCCAUCUGCCCGGGGCCACCGAGAGCAGAAGGAAAACCAUUGGGAGGAUUGUUGAACAAACAAGCUGCAAAGACCCAAGGAGCUUGGGAAGCCUCUGCUUGGACUCACAGCCGACGAGCGCUCUUCUACCUCGGCACCACUCACCCGGAGAACCAGACAAACCCAAGGCGGCGCCUCCAAGGAGGGAACGACGUGCAGGACCCGCCACCGCCCAACCCGAGAUGAGUUUUGGGCUUUCACCCGGGAUCUGGGACGGGGAUGGAUACAGGAGACCUCAGCGGUGCCUCGAAGGAGAAAAGGCGAUGCGCGCAUGCGCCCUCACCAUCGUGGUCAGAGAUCCGACCAAGGGUUUCCCCCGGACUCGAGAUAUGCCGCCGACACCCCGCCAGCAUCGGAACUGGCAGCAGAAGCUGCAGAUUGGACACAACCGGAGGGGAGGAGUGAGCAGAGGAGGAGGAGCAGCUCGACCUUCAUAUCUGGAGCGGAAGAAGACCGCGCCACGACCACCACCCGCCGGAUCCGCGCCGCCCGAGCAGCCGAGGACGCCGGCCGUCACAUCCCGCGCACGCCGCCUAUCGCAGAGGCUGCGCCGCCUCGCCGUCCGGGCCCGCCACCCCGGUGACCGGGGUCCUUCGCGCGGGAACGGAGCGACGAGAGGCCUCGCCGCCACCUUCAUCGGCAACCGCCGGGGCUUGCCAGGCGUCCCUCAGGUGGCGGCGAGGGGAGGAGAUGUAGGGAGGGGUGNNNNNNNNNNNNNNNNNNNNNNNNNNNNNNNNNNNNNNNNNNNNNNNNNNNNNNNNNNNNNNNNNNNNNNNNNNNNNNNNNNNNNNNNNNNNNNNNNNNNNNNNNNNNNNNNNNNNNNNNNNNNNNNNNNNNNNNNNNNNNNNNNNNNNNNNNNNNNNNNNNNNNNNNNNNNNNNNNNNNNNNNNNNNNNNNNNNNNNNNNNNNNNNNNNNNNNNNNNNNNNNNNNNNNNNNNNNNNNNNNNNNNNNNNNNNNNNNNNNNNNNNNNGUAGCUUUGUACUCACCAUGAGAUAAUCAAACACCUCCUUUUGCACUGCAAAAUCUUGAUUACUCCUAGGCACUCAAAUGUGACCAGAUUGGUUGCCGGAGCCAUUUCUUCACAUAUAGCUUUCUUACUUUAUGGAAUUUGUUUGAGAUGGGAUAUUUGAUGGGUUUGAAAUUGCGACACCAAUUAUGCUUGAAAAUAGCUCGUGCAUCAUAUUAUUGGCAUAUGGUAAACCUAGAUUAUUAAUAUUCUUGGAUUGUCGUAACUAAUUUUAUCGGGUUCUCGUAUUAGAGCAUGUCUAACAGAGCCCUCAAAAACUCAACCUUCAAAACCAGUUUGAGGGCUGAGAAAAUGUCAUUUUGAAGGCCAAAAAUCCCUGGUUCUGUUUUGAGGGUUGGUUUGAGGGCACUGAUCUGCGCCCCGGCCUUCAAACCUUCAAAACAGGACAGCAACAUAAAUCACUCUCAAAUUUGCAAAUGAUCAUGAUCACAUACAUGAAACAAACUUACAAAUCAUCAUCAUCACAUAGUAAAUCCCAUGGACAUCAUAGCAAAACAUACGUGCAAAUGAUCAUCAUCACAUAGUCAUCGGAGACAUCAUUUGCAAAACAUAAAACGUACGAAUAACUUCAAGCACCGGUGAAGUUGUCCACACCUCCAUCGCCUCCACCACUCAUCGGAGACUCAUCUCGGAGAGUAGACGACGCACCACCACCAGCACCACGCAAUAGCCUCUUCCUGUCCGUGAUGUUCUCCUUGUACUCCUUCCACCACGCCAAUUGCUCUUCAUCCAUGUCCUUUCUAGACAUCAUCAUGUGCUCCUUCUCCUCGGCCAUGAGCUCCUUCCAUGCUUUUGCUUCCUUGAGCUUGAUCAUCCUCUCCUCCAUGUCGGCCUUUCACUUGGCAUCUUCUCGCCUUGCUUCCAAUUGUGCAAGUUUCAUCUCUUUCUUUCUCUCGAUGAUAAUAAGCUUUGUCUCCAAUGCCUUCAUUGUCAAUGUCUCCUUUGACUUGAUCAUUUGAUCAAUCUUUUCCCUCAAGCUUGAUGGUUCCGCUUCCAUCUUCAUCCUUUCUUUUCCCUUCUUGGUUCCGUCGGGCUUGUCAUGGUUUCUUCCUUCUUCAUCACUAUCAUCCAUUUUGAGCAUAUCCGAUUUCUUUGGUGCACUCUCUUGAUCCCUCGGUUUCCAUUUGUCAAGAUGUUGGAGCAAUGCCCAACAAUGCUUGAAUGGGAAGGAUUUUCCCUUGGAACCGGCCAUGUCCUCGUACCUCAAGUCGGCAUAUUUCUCCUAAAACAUAUCAUCAUUGGAAGCAUAUCAAAAUCACAACCAAGCAUAACCAACAAGAAAAUAAAGCAUGAACCAACAAGUAAUAAGCAUGAUAUUUGUACUCACAUAAUCACUCUCAACGCAGCCACUUGGGGGUUGAUCCCUCACUUGAUCCAUAGCCGCACUCCAAUGAGCACAAGCGGGUUUCAUCAAAUCCCACCGGCCUUGAAGCGAUCUGUAAGAACGAGCUCUCAAUGUGGCAGUCUUGGGUUUAAGCUUGCAAUACCUGUCCUCAAUGUGUUGCCAAUAACGUUUCCUGGUUUGAUCGGUGCCGGUGACCGCAUCCAACCCCACAUGCGACCAAGCCUUGACCAAGAGGACAUCUUCAACCUCCGUGUAGUUCGCCAUGCGAAUUGGCCUUCGAGCACCACCUGCCGCUUCAAACACUUCCUCUCCGAUCUCGGUGACAUCUUCAUCUUCUUCCUCCUCCUCACCCGCCUCCUCCUCCUCACCCGCCGGCUCCUCAACAUGGAAGUCAAAGGAAGCAAGUGGAGGAGACCCAAUUUUCACCUCCGCGUCGUCUAGCAAGGCCCUAUAUGACACGGUUGGUGCGGACAUUUCAUCGAACACGUCGGUCGCGGUUGGCGGUGUUGGAGCGCCGUGCUCGGCAAUGGCGGUGGCUGUGCUGCGGUAUGCUCUGCCCCCAAUUUGCGGUUUGCAAGCUGCUUCUCCUUGCUUUUGAGAGCAGCCGCAGUGGAGGUUGCCGGCUUGGUGGGCUUCGCCGCCUUCCCCGCCGGUUUCGCCGUCUUCGCCGCGGGGGCGGGCACCGGCGGCUUGCUUGGCACGACGUGGGUGCCCGCCCGCCUCCGUUUUUUGCCGAUGUGGGUGGCCUCCACCGUACAAGACGUCGCGCCUUUUGAGUCCAAAGCCUGCGAGACAAGCUGAUUUGCUUUGUAGCUCAGCCGUUCACGUUCCUCCUUGACUUUGCUGCAAACACGGCUUGACUCUGAACGUGGCUGGGUCGACCGUUGACACACACGGCCACGGGAGCACGUAACAAGCAGCUGGUACUUUCGAAACCAUGUUGGAUGGUCAGAGGAACAGUGACAUCCUCAUCCCACGAGGCUUCAAAUCCUGGUGUUCGCAUUAUUUUUGAAUUUAUUACAGAAUUUUCGGCGAUGCACUUUUAGUUGGAGGAGACAUUUCCAUUGACGACGAGACGCCUACGGUGACUUGUAAAUCUUAAGAUGAUAUGUCGGUUCGGUCUCUCAAAGGUGUUCAUAGGGAUAGGGUGUGCAUGUGUGCGUUCAUAGGGGUGAGCGUAUGCGCGUAUGUAUGAGCGCUUGCGGCAGUACUGAUGUUCAAAAUAAAAAAACAACGGGUACUUUAUUUUUUAUUACUAAUCAUAUUUAUUAAUUAUUCAUCAAGGUAUGACAAAAUGAACAUAAGAAUCAACCCGAAGCCUCUUUCUAGACAAACAAAGUCGUUACACCUAUACUAUAAAGAUGUACUCUUUCUAGGAACCACUCCAUAGAUCUUGGUAGACUCAUCUGUCGUCGACGGCGCCACCAACCUGCGCGCGUCGAUCAAUCCGCGUCCAACUCUGAGACUCCACUGCUCCACACCGUCGAGACCUACCGUUUUCAAUGCGGUCGAUGUAACACUGCUCCACCCAUUGGCCUCUCCAGUGAACCACUGCUCCAAGAUGACGCCCCCAGAAAGGAAAACGGCACCAAAUUAUGCGUCGUCAUACGACCUAGAUCUAGGGUUUCCCCUGGAACAACUGCCACCUAGAGGAACAGGGCACGCCAUCUGCAACUGCCGAUGCACCCAAGCAGUGCCCACCGCCACAGAACUCUCACGAAACGCCUUCAAGAAGGACACGAGGCCAAGAGCACCAUCAUAGCCCUAGGGAUUUCACCCUGAGAGACCGUAAGGUGGGACAAGGUAGGCCGGAUCCGAACGACGUCUCUAGGAAAAAAUACGGAACCCACGGAUGUCGUCACCGUCACGGCCGACAGGAGCCAACCUAAGAAUUAUCUCGAUCUAGAUCCUGACCUCCCGCUCCAUCCCAACCUGGUAACAAACUAGGAGCACAACCAUGUUCGGUAAGACGGAGUGCACGCAACAUGGGUUGGAGGAAGGAGCAGCUCGGUGCCAUUGCCCGCCGAGGCAGCAAGUUGUAGCACUAACCCGCUGGUGAAUCACCGGCCACCCGGCAGCACCAGUCCCACCGUGCCAGCAGACAGGGAGGCCAUCCCAGGAGCCGCCACCCCUUAUCCAGGGCCCUCCUCCCCAGAUCAGGAAGGGUUGUCAGCCGCCAAGGCCACCGCUGGAACGCCAGUCAGCCGCCACGCCAUCUUGUCCAUCAGGGCACCUUGGUCCAAAUCAGCACCGCCACGAUCCAAAUCUAGAUCGAACCCUCAAGAUGGGGCAUCUUGCGCCAUUUUAGCAUACAUAAACUUUAUCGAUCAACUUAGUUCUCAGCAAUACAUGCUAUUGAUACGUCUCCGUCGUAUCUAUAAUUUUUUAUUGUUCCAUGCCAAUAUUAUACAACUUUCAUAUACUUUUGGCAACUUUAUAUAUUAUUUUUGGGACUAACAUAUUGAUCCAGUGCCCAGUGUCAGUUCCUGUUUGUUGCAUGUUUUUUGUUUCACGGUAAAUCCAUAUCAAACAGAGUCCAAACGGGAUAAAAACUGACGGAGAUUUUUUUGGAAUAUAUGUGAUUUUUUGGAAGAAAAAUCAACGUGAGACGAUGCCCGAGGGGGCCACUAGGCAGGGGGCGCGCCUUGGGCCCUCGUGGCCACCCCGUAAGGCGGUUGAUGCCCUUCUUUCGUCGCAAGAAAGCUAAUAUCCGGAUAGAGAUCGUGUCCAAAAUUCAGCCCAAUCGGAGUUACGGAUCUCCGGGAAUUUAAGAAACGGUGAAAGGGCAGAAUCUAGAACGAAGAAACAGAGAGAGACAAAUCCAAUCUCAGAGGGGCUCUCGCCACUCCGCCGCCAUGGAGGCCAUGGAUCAGAGGGAAAACCCUUCUCCCAUCUAGGGAGAAGGUCAAGGAAGAGGAAGAAGGAGGGGGGCUCUCCCCCUCUCUCCCGGUGGCGCCGGAACGCCGUCGGGGCCAUCAUCGUGUGACGGCAAUCUACACCAACACCUCCGUCAUCUUCACCAACAUCUUCAUCACCUUCCCCCAUCUAUCUACAGCGAUCCACUCUCUCGCAACCCUCUGUACCCUCUACUUGAACAUGGUGCUUUAUGCUUCAUAUUAUUAUCCAAUGAUGUGUUGCCAUCCUAUGAUGUCUGAGUAGAUUUUCGUUGUCCUAUCGGUAAUUGGUGAAUUGCUAUGAUUGGUUUAAUUUGCUUGUGGUUAUGUUGCUGUCCUUUUGUGCCCAUCAUAUGAGCGCGCAGGUGGAUCACACCAUAGGGUUAGUUGUAUGUUGAUAGAACUACGUAUUGGAGGGUAAGAGUGACAGAAGCUUCAACCUAGCAUAGAAAUUGAUGCAUACGAGAUUGAAGGGGGACCAAUAUAUCUUAAUGCUAUGGUUGGGUUUUACCUCAAUGAAUGUUAGUAGUUGCGGAUGCUUGAUAAUAGUUCCAAUCAUAAGUGCAUAGAAUUCCAAGUCAGGGAUGACAUGCUAGCAGUGGCCUCUCCCACCUAAAACUUGCUAUCGGUCUAGUAACAUAGUCAAUUGCUUAGGGACAAUUUCGCAACUCCUACUACCCCUUUUCCACACUCGCUAUACUAACUUCAUUGUUUUUUUAACCUAAAACAGCCCCUAGUUUUUAUUUAUGUGCUCUUUAUAUUCUCGCAAACCUAUCCCACAACACCUACAAAGUACUUCUAAUUUCAUACUUGUUCUAGGUAAAGCGAACAUUAAGCGUGCGUAGAGUUGUAUCGGUGGUCGAUAGAACUUGAGGGAAUAUUUGUUCUACCUUUAGCUCCUCGUUGGGUUCGACACUCUUACUUAUCGAAAUAGGCUACAAUUGAUCCCCUAUACUUAUGGGUUAUCAAGACCUUUUUCUGGUGCCGUUGCCGGGGAGUUAUAGCGUGGGGUGAAUAUUCUCAUGUGUGCUUGUUUGCUUUAUCACUAAGUAAUUUUUAUUUGAUGUUCUAAGUUGUUCUCUAUCUUUAGUUAUGGAUAUGGAACACAAAAUACCAAAAAAAUAGGUUUACUUGCUACUCAUGGAGAUGGGGAACCUCCUAAAACCCUCGAUGCUCAUUAUGUGAAAGAUAUUAUGUACUACUUUGAUAAUCCUGAGAAAACCCCAUUCAAUUUUGUAAUGGGAGACACGUUGGAUCAACGUGAAUACUUUAGGUAUUAUCGCUUCACUCAAAAAGGGAAACUAUUACGGGAUCAAAUUUAUAUGUUGUAUUGGUAUGCUAGGCAACUAUGCUUGAGAUAUGAUUAUACUUGUUGCUCUUGGAUGAAGGCUCCACACCUUACCUUUUCAUGCAAAUUUAGUGAUAAUGAAACCUUGGCUUCUUAUGCUAGAGGUAUAUAUGAUUACUAUGAUGUGGAACAAAUAGAAGAAUUCGUUGCUUUUAUGGGUGCUUAUGAAAUUGAAUCUUGGUUUAAAGAGUGUGAAAAUCUUGAUGAUGCUGUUUACAGACCUAAUUUUUUUGUUAUACUUAAAUAUUGCUAUGAGAAUUAUGAAUUCAAUUCUGAUAUUUAUGAUUUUAUUGAGAGAGUCUCCGCUGUCCAAGAAGAGAAUAAUAUUUUGCAGGAGUCUAUGGAAGAAGAAAUUGAUGAAACUGUGAGCUCAUUGGAUGAAAAAGAUGAUGAGGAGAGCGAAGAACAAAAGGAGGAAGAGCGGAUUAGCUACCUGUGCCCACCUUCUAAUGAGAGUAACUCUCCAACUCAUACAUUAUUUAAUGUCCCUUCGAAUUUAGCGAAGGAUGAUUGCUAUGAUGAUUGUUAUGAUCCCGUUGAUUCUUUUGAAAUAUCCCUUUUUGAUGAUGCUUGCUAUGCUUGUGGCCAAGAUGCCAAUAUGAAUUAUGCUUAUGGAUAUGAACUUGCUAUAGUUCCUAAUGUUAAACAUGAAAUUGUUGCUAUUGCACCCACGCAUGAUAAUCCUAUUAUCUAUUUGAAUUCUCCCGACUACACUAUAUCGGAGAAGUUUGCUCUUAUUAAGGAUUAUAUUGAUGGAUUGCGUUUUACUACUACACAUGAUGAUUUUGAUAGAUAUAAUAUGCAUUUGCUUGCUGCUCCUACUUGCAAUUUUUAUGAGAGAGGAACUAUAUCUCCACCUCUCUAUGUUUCCCACAUGAUAAAAUUGCAAGAAACUGCCUAUACUAUGCAUUGGCCUUUACUUUGUGUGCAUAAAUUAUUCUUGUAUGACAUGUCGAUGCAUAGGAAGAGAGUUAGACUUCGUUGUUGCAUGAUAUAUGUUGCUUUGUGCUCACUACUAAAUGCCAACUCAUUGCUAAUUCAAAUUGGCUUUGAUAUACCUUGGGAUCCGGGUGGAUCCAUUACUUGAGCACUAUAUGCCUAGCUUAAUGGCUUUAAAGAAAGCGCUGCCAGGGAGACAACCCAAAAGUUUUAGAGAGUCAUUUAUUUCUGUUGGGUGCUUUUAUAAAGUUUAAAAACAAAAAAAUAAAGAGGGGAACCUAAAACUUUUUCAAAAAGAAAAGCGAAAGUGAGAAAGAUGAGCAUUGUUAAAAUGGGAGCUAGCCUUGAACUCUGUUCAUGCCCAUGGAAACUUUGUGACCCUUGAUUACAUAAACUUUUCAAAAAAAAAAUUAUCCCCUUGUACAAUUCCAUUGUAUUAUAAAAAUAAUAUGCCAAGAUUUGCCUUUAGGAUGUUUACAUUGCCUGUUGGUUUGUGCGGUGCAGAACAGAAACCUUAGCUGUAGUGCUCGAUUUUACAUUUUUUACUGGAACGUCAAACUGUUCUGAAACUUUUUGCACUGUCUUUAUACACAAUUUUUUUAUUUUUCGUAAUUUUGGCAGAAUUGUUUGAGUAUCAGAGGUAUGGUGAAUGUUCAGAUUACUACAGAUUGUCCUGUUCAAGAUAGAUUCUAUUUUUGAUGCAUUGUUUGCUUGUUUUGAUGAAACUAUCGAUUUCUAUCAGUGGAUUAAGCCAUGGAAAAGUUAUAUUACAGUAGAUACAGUGCAAAAACAAAAUAUGAAUUGGUUUUCAACAGUAUUAGAGUAGUGAUUUGCUUUAUUAUACUAACGGAUCUUACUGAGUUUUCUGUUGAGUUUUGUGUGGAUGAAGUGUUCGAAGAUCGAGGAGGCCUCAAUGUGAGGAGAAGGAGGAGAGGCAAGAGCUCAAGCUUGGGGAUUCCCAAGGCACUGCAAGUAAAUAUUCAAGGAGACUCAAGCGUCUAAGCUUGGGGAUGCCCCGGAAGGCAUCCCAUCUUUUUUCAACAAGUAUCGGUAUGUUUUCGGAUUCGUUUCGUUCAUGCGAUAUGUGCAAAUCUUGGAGCGUCUUUUGCAUUUAGUUUUCACUUUUAUUUUAUGCACCAUGCUGGUAUGAGAUAGUCCUUGGUUGAUUUAUAGAAUGCGCAUUGCACUUCACUUAUAUCUUUUGAGUAUGGCUUUAUAGAAUGCUUCAUGUGCUUCACUUAUAUCAUUUGAAGUUUGGAUUGCCUGUUUCUCUUCACAUAGAAAACCGCCAUUUAUAGAAUGCUCUUUUGCUUCACUUAUAUUUGUUAGAUCAUGGGCAUAUAUUUUGUAGAAAUAAUUAAACUCUCUUGCUUCACUUAUAUCUAUUUAGAGAGAUGACGGGAAUUGGUCAUUCACAUGGUUAGUCAUAAAAUCCUACAUAAAACUUGUAGAUCACUAAAUAUAAUAUGUUUGGUUCCUUGCAAUAGUUUUGCGAUAUAAAGGUGGUGAUAUUAGAGUCAUGCUAGUUGAGUAAUUGUGAAAUUGAGAAAUAGUUGUGUUGAGGUUUGCAAGUCCGGUAGCAUGCACGUAUGUUAAACGUUGUGUGACAAAUUUGAAGCAUGGGGUGUUCUUUGAUUGCUUUCCUUAUGAGUGGCAGUCGGGGACGAGCGAUGGUCUUUUCCUACCAAUCUACCCCCCUAGGGGCAUGCGUAGUAGUAAUUUGCUUCGAGGGCUAAUAAACUUUUGCAAUAAGUAUAUGAGUUCUUUAUGACUAAUGUGAGUCCAUGGAUUAUACGCACUCCCACCCUUCCAUCAUUGCUAGCCUCUUCGGUACCGUGCAUUGCCCUUUCUCACCUCGAGAGUUGGUGCAAACUUCGCCGGUGCAUCCAAACCCUAUGAUACGAUACACUCUAUCACACAUAAACCUCCUUAUAUCUUCCUCAAAACAGCCACCAUACCUACCUAUCAUGGCAUUUCCAUAGCCAUUCCGAGAUAUAUUGCCAUGCAACUUCCAUCAUCAUCAUAUACAUGACUUGAGCAUCAUUGUCAUAUUGCUUUGCAUGAUCGUAAGAUAGCUAGCAUGAUGUUUUCAUGGCUUGUCCAUUUUUUGAUGUCAUUGCUACUCUAGAUCAUUGCACAUCCCGGUACACCGCCAGAGGCAUUCAUAUAGAGUCAUACUUUGUUCUAGACAUCGAGUUGUAAUACUGAGUUGUAAGUAAAUAAAAGUGUGAUGAUCAUCAUUAUUAGAACAUUGUCCCAUGUGAGGUUAUCAAAAUAAAAGAGGCCAAAGAAGCCCAAAUAAAAAAAGAGGCCAAAGAAGCCCACAAAAAAACAAAAAAAACAAAAAAAAUGAGAAAACAAAAAAAUGAGAGAAAAACAGAGAAGGGGCAAUGUUACUAUCCUUUUACCACACUUGUGCUUCAAAUUAGCACCAUGUUCUUCAUAUAGAGAGUCUCGUGAGCUAUCACUUUCAUAUACUAGUGGGAAUUUUCAUUAUAGAACUUGGCUUGUAUAUUCCAAUGAUGGGCUUCCUCAAAUACCCGAGGUCUUCAUGAGCAAGCAAGUUAGAUGCACACCCACUUAGUUUCAGUUUGAGCUUUCAUACACUUAUAGGUCUAGUGCAUCCGUUGCAUGGCAAUUCCUACUCCUCGCAUUGACAUCAAUUGAUGGGCAUCUCCAUAGCCCAUUGAUUAGCCGCGUCGAUGUGAGACUCUCUCCUUUUUUGUCUUCUCCACACAAUCUCCAUCAUCAUAUUCUAUUCCACCCAUAGUGCUAUGUCCAUGGCUUGCGCUCAUGUAUUGCGUGAGGGUUGAAAAAGCUGAAGCGCGUUAAAAAGUAUGAACCAAUUGCUCGGCUUGUCAUCGGGGUUGUGCAUGAUGGGAGCAUUUUGUGUGACGAAAAUGAAGCAUGGCCAAACUAUAUGAUUUUGUAGGGAUGAGCUUUCUUUGGCUAUGUUAUUUUGAGAGGACAUAAUUGCUUGGUUAGUAUGCUUGAAGUAUCAUUGUCUUAAUGUCAAAUGCUAGACUAUUGCUUUGAAUCACUCGUGUGUUAAUAUUCAUGCCAUGAUUAGAUUAUGUGAUCAAGAUUAUGCUAGGUAGCAUUCCACAUCAAAAAUUAUCUUUUUUAUCAUUUACCUACUCGAGAAAGAGCGGGAAUUAAGCUUGGGGAUGCCGAUACGUCUCCGUCGUAUCUAUUAUUUUUGAUUAUUCCAUGCCAAUAUUAUACAACUUUCAUAUACUUUUGGCAACUUUUUAUACUAUUUUUGGGACUAACAUAUUGAUCCAGUGCCCUGAUACGUCCAUUUUGCAUCAUGCUUUUAUAUCGAUAUUUAUUGCAUUAUGGGCUGUUAUUACACAUUAUGUUACAAUACUUAUGCCUAUUCUCUCUUAUUUUACAAGGUUUACAUAAAGAGGGAGAAUGCCGGCAGCUGGGAUUCUGGGCUGGAAAAGGAGCAAAUAUUAGAGACCUAUUCUGCACAGCUCCAAAAGUCCUGAAACUUCAUGGAAGUCAUUUUCAUAAUAUAUAAAAAAUACUGAGCGCAAGAAGUUCCAGAGGGGGGCCACACCCUGGCCACGAUGGUGGGGGCGCGCCCAACCCCCCUGGGCGCACCCCCUGCCUCGUGGGCCCCCUGGUGGCCCUCCGAUGCCCAUCUUCUACUAUAUGGAGUCUUUCAUUGAGAAAAAAAAAUCAUAAGCAAGCUUUCGGGACGAGACUCUGCCGCCAUGAGGCGGAACCAAUCUAGGGCUCUGGCGGAGCUGUUCUGCCGGGGACACUUCCCUCCGGGAGGGGGAAAUCAUCACCAUCGUCAUCACCAACGAUCCUCUCAUCGGGAGGGGGUCAAUCUCCAUCAACAUCUUCACCAGCACCAUCUCCUCUCAAAUCCUAGUUCAUCUCUUGUAUCCAAUUCUUGUCUCUAAGUCUGGGAUUGGCACCUGUGGGUUGCUAGUAGUGUUGAUUACUCCUUGUAGUUGAUGCUAGUUGGUUUACUUGGUGGAAUAUCAUAUGUUCAGAUCCUAUAUGCACAUUAAUACCCCUCUGAUUAUGAACAUGAAUAUGCUUUGUGAGUAGUUACGUUUGUUCCUAAGGACAUGGGAAAAGUCUUGCUAUUAGUAGUCAUGUGAAUUUUGUAUUCGUUCGAUAUUUUGAUGAGAUGUAUGUUGUCUCUCCUCUAGUGGUGUUAUGUGAAUGUCGACUACAUGACACUUCACCAUUAUUUGGGCCUAGAGGAAGGCAUUGGGAAGUAAUAAGUAGAUGAUGGGUUGCUAGAGUGACAGAAGAUUAAACCCUAGUUUGUGCGUUGCUUCGUAAGGGGCUGAUUUGGAUCCAUAUAUUUCAUGCUAUGGUUAGGUUUACCUUAAUACUUUUGUUGUACUUGUGGAUGCUUGCAAUAGAGGUUAAUCAUUAGUGGGAUGUUUUUCCAAGUAAGGACAACACCCAAGCAUCGGUCCACCCACAUAUCAGAUUAUCAAAGUACCGAACGCGAAUCAUAUGAUCGUGAUGAAACCUAGCUUAACGAUAAUUCCCAUGUGUCCUCGGGAGCGCUUUUCUCUAUAUAAGAGUUUGUCCAGGAUUGUCCUUUGCUACAAAAAGGAUUGGGCCACCUUGCUGCACUUUAUUUACUUUUGUUACUUGUUGCUCGUUACAAAUUAUCUUAUCAAAAAACUAUCUGUCACCUACAAUUUCAGUGCUUGCAGAGAAUACCUUGCUGAAAACCGCUUAUCGUUUCCUUCUGCUCCUCGUUGGGUUCGACACACUUACUUAUCAAAAGCACUGCGAUAGAUCCCCUAUACUUGUGGGUCAUCAAGACUCUUUUCUGGCGUUGUUGCCGGGGAGUGAAGCGCCUUUGGUAGGUGGAAUUUGGUAAGGAAAAAUUUAUAUAGUGUGCUGAAAUUUAUUGUCACUUAUUACUAUGGAAAGUAAUCCUCUGAGGGGCUUGUUCGGGGUAUCUUCAGCCCGACCAGUAGAGCAAAGAGUUGCUCCUCAACCUACUGAAAAUGAAAAUGUCUACUUUGAAAUUCCUUCGGGUAUGAUAGAAAAACUGCUAGCUAAUCCUUUUGCAGGAGAUGGAACAUUACAUCUUGAUGAGCACCUAAUAUAUGUGGAUGAAGUUUGUGGAUUAUUUAAGCUUGUAGGUAUGCCCAAUGAUGUUAUCAAGAAGAAGGUCUUCCCUUUAUCUUUGAAGGGAGAUGCAUUGACAUGGUAUAGGCUAUGUGAUGAUAUGAGAUCAUGGAACUACAAACGAUUGAAAUUGGAAUUUCAUCAGAAGUUUUAUCCUAUGCAUCUUGUUCAUCGUGAUCGUAAUUAUAUAUAUAAUUUUUGGCCUCGCGAAGGAGAAAGCAUCGCUCGAGCUUGGGGGGGGGGGUCUUAAGUCAAUGUUAUAUUCAUGCCCCAAUCAUGAUCUCUUAAGAGAAAUGAUUAUUCAAAAAAAUUAUGCUUGGCUUUCUGAUAACAAUCGCACCAUGCUCGAUACUUCUUGUGUUGGCUCUUUUAUGAUGAAGACUAUUGAAUUCAAAUGGGAUUUAUUGGAAAGAAUUAAACGCAACUCUGAAGAUUGGGAUCUCGAUGAAGGUAAGGAGUCAGGUAUGACACCUAUGUUUGAUUGUGUUAAAUAUUUUAUGGAUACCGAUGUUUUCCGUAAAUUUAGCACUAAAUAUGGACUUGACUCUGAGAUAGUAGCUUCUUUCUGUGAAUCUUUUGCAACUCAUGUUGAUCUCCCUAAGGAGAAGUGGUUUAAAUAUCAUCCUCCCAUAGAAGUAAAAGUAGUGCUACCUCUUUUAGCACUGCAUUGGUUUUCCCCGAAGAGGAAGGGAUGAUGCAGCAAAGUAGCGUAAGUAUUUCCCUGAGUUUUUGAGAACCAAGAUAUCAAUCCAGUAGGAGGCUACACACAAGUCCCUCGUACCUGCACAAACAAAUAAAUCCUCGCAACCAACGCAAAUAGGGGUUGUCAAUCCCUAUAGGGCCACUUACGAGAGUGAGAUCUGAUAGAUAUGAUAAAGAUAAUAUUUUUGGUAUUUUUAUGAUAAAGAUGCAAAGUAAAAUAAAGGCACAAUAAAUAGCAAAGUAAAUAACUAAGUAGUAGGAGAUUGAUAUGAUAAAGAUAGACCCGGGGGGCAUAGGUUUCACUAGUGGCUUCUCUCGAGAGCAUAAGUAUUCUACGGUGGGUGAACAAAUUACUGUUGAGCAAUUGACAGAAUUGAGCGUAGUUAUGAGAAUAUCUAGGUAUGAUCAUGUAUAUAGGCAUCACGUCCGAGACAAGUAGACCGACUCCUGCCUGCAUCUACUACUAUUACUCCACUCAUCGACCGCUAUCCAGCAUGCAUCUAGAGUAUUAAGUUAAAACAGAGUAACGCCUUAAGCAAGAUGACAUGAUGUAGAGGGAUAGACUCAUGCAAUAUGAAGAAAACCCCAUCUUGUUAUCCUCGAUGGCAACAAUACAAUACGUGCCUUGCUGCCCUUACUGUCACCGGGAAAGGACACCGCAAGAUUGAACCCAAAGCUAAGUACUUCUCCCAUUGCAAGAAAGAUCAAUCUAGUAGGCUAAACCAAACUGAUAAUUCGAAGAGACUUGCAAAGAUAACCAAUCAUACAUAAAAGAAUUCAGAGAAGAUUCAAAUAUUAUUCAUAGAUAGACUUGAUCAUAAACCCACAAUUCAUCGGUCUCAACAAACACACCACAUCGAAUAGAUCUCCACAAGAGAGGGGGAGAACAUUGUAUUGAGAUCCAAAAAGAGAGAAGAAGCCAUCUAGCUAAUAACUAUGGACCCGUAGGUCUGAAGUAAACUACUCACACUUCAUCGGAGAGGCUAUGGUGUUGAUGUAGAAGCCCUCCGUGAUCGAUGCCCCCUCCGGCGGAGCUCCGAACAGGCCCCAAGAUGGGAUCUCGUGGAUACAAAAAGUUACGGCGGUGGCAUUAGGGUUUUGGCUCCGUAUCUGAUCGUUUUGGGGUACGUGGGUAUAUAUAGGAGGAAGAAGUACGUCGGUGGAGCAACAAGGGGCCCACGAGGGUGGAGGGCGCGCCUGGGGGGGGGGGGCAGGCGCGCCCCCUACCUCGUGGCCUCCUGUUGAUUGGCUUGACGUAGGGUCCAAGUCUCCUGAGUUGUAUUCGGUGAGAAAAUCACGUUCCCGAAGGUUUCAUUCCGUUUGGACUCCGUUUGAUAUUCCUUUUCUUCGAAACCCUAAAACAGGCAAAAACAACAAUUCUGGUGGGCUGGGCCUCCGGUUAAUAGGUUAGUCCCAAAAAUAAUAUAAAAGUGGAUAAUAAAGCCCGAUAAUGUCCAAAACAGUAGAUAAUAUAACAUGGAGCAAUCAAAAAUUAUAGAUACGUUGGAGACGUAUCAAGCAUCCCCAAGCUUAAUUCAUGCUCGUCCUCGAGUAGGUAAAUGAUAAAAACAGAAUUUUUGAUGCAGAGUGCUAAUUGGCAUAAUUUUAUUGUAAUUCUUCUUAAUUGUGGUAUGAAUAUUUAGAUCCGAAAGAUUCAAGACAAAAGUUCAUAUUGACAUAAAAAUAAUAAUACUUCAAGCAUACUAACAAAGCAAUUAUGUCUUCUCAAAAUAACAUGGCUAAAGAAAGUUAUCCCUACAAAAUCAUAUAGUCUGUCUAUGCUCUAUCUUCACCACACAAAAUAUUUAAAUCAUGCACAACCCCGAUGACAAGCCAAGCAAUUGUUUCAUACUUUUGAUAUUCUCAAAACAUUUUCAAUUUUCACUCAAUACAUGAGCGUGAGCCAUGGGAUAGCACUAUAGGUGGAAUAGAGUGGUGGUUGUGGAGAAGACAAAAAGGGGAAGAUAGUCUCACAUCAACUAGGCGUAUCAACGGGCUAUGGAGAUGCCCAUCAAUAGAUAUCAAUGUGAGUGAGUAGGGAUUGCCAUGCAACGGAUGCACUAGAGCUAUAAGUAUAUGAAAGCUCAAAAAGAACUAAGUGGGUGUGCAUCCAACUUGCUUGCUCAUGAAGACCUAGGGCAAUUUUGAGGAAGCCCACCAUUGGAAUAUACAAACAAAGUUCUAUAAUGAAAGAUUCCCACUAGUAUAUAAAAGUGAUAACAUGAGAGACUCUCUACUAUGAAGGUCAUGGUGCUACUUUGAAGCACAAGUGUGGUAAAAUGAUAGUAACAUUGUCCCUUCUCUCUUUUUCUCUCAUAUUUUUUUCUCUUUUUCUCUUUUUUUAUUUGGGCCUUUUAUCUUUUUUUAUGGCCUCUUUUCUUUCUGUUUUUUAUUUUUCAUUCGGAGUCUCAUCCCGACUUGUGGGGGAAGCAUAGUCUCCGUCAUCCUUUCCUCACUUGGGACAAUGCUCUAAUAAUGAUGAUCAUCACACUUUUAUUUUUCUUACAACUCAAUAAUUACAACUCGAUACUUAGAACAAGAUAUGACUCUAUAUGAAUGCCUUCGGCGGUGUACCGGGAUAUGCAAUGAUGCAUGAGUGACAAGUAUGAAAGAAUUAUGAACGGUGGCUUUGCCACAAAUACUAUGUCAACUACAUGAUCAUGCUAAGAAAUAUGACAAUGAUGGAGUGUGUCAUAAACAUAACGGUGGAAAGUUGCAUGGCAAUAUAUCCCGGAAUGGCUAUGGAAAUGCCAUAAUAGGUAGGUAUGGUGUCUGUUUUGAGGAAAGUAUAUGGUGGGUGUAUGAUACCAGCGAAAGGUGCGCGGUAUUAGAGAGGCUAGCAAAGGUGGAAGGGUGAGAGUGCGUAUAAUCCAUGGACUCAACAUUAGUCAUAAAGAACUCAUGUACUUAUUGCAAAAAUCUACAAGUUAUCGAAGCAAAGUAUUACGCGCAUGCUCCUAGGGGGAUAGAUUGGUAGGAAAAGACCAUCGCUCGUCCCCGACCGCCACUCAUAAGGAAGACAAUCAAUAAAUAAAUCAUGCUCCGACUUCAUCACAUAACGGUUCACCAUACGUGCAUUCUAUGGGAAUCACAAGCUUCAACACAAGUAUUUCUCAAAUUCACAACUACUCAACUAGCAUGACUUUAAUAUCACCAUCUCCAUGUCUCAAAACAAUUAUCAAGUAUCAAACUUAUCAUAGUAUUCAACACACUCAUAAGAGAAUUUUUAUUAUUAAUCUUGCAUACCAAGCAUAUUAGGAUUUUAAGCAAAUUACCAUGCUAUUUAAGACUCUCAAAAUAAUCUAAGUGAAGCAUGAGAUAUCAAUAGUUUCUAUAAAACAAAUCCACCACCGUGCUCUAAAAGAUAUAAGUGAAGCACUAGAGCAAAAUUAUAUAACUCAAAGGAUAUAAGCAAAGCACAUAGAGUAUUCUAACAAAUUCCAAAUCAUGUAUGGCUCUCUCAAAAGGUGUGUACAGCAAGGACGAUUGUGGUAAACUAAUAAUCAAAGACUCAAAUCAUACAAGACGCUCCAAGCAAAACACAUAUCACGUGGUAAAUAAAAAUAUAGCUCCAAGUAAAGUUACCGAUAGAAGUAGACGAAAGAUGGGAUGCCUUCCGGGGCAUCCCCAAGCUUUGGCUUUUAGGUGUCCUUAGAUUAUCUUGGGGGUGCCAUGGGCAUCCCCAAGCUUAGGCUCUUGCCACUCCUUGUUCCAUAAUCCAUCAAAUCUUUACCCAAAACUUGAAAACUUCACAACACAAAACUUAAAGUAGAAAAUCUCGCGAGCUCCAUUAGCGAAAGAAAACAAAAGACCACUUCAAGGUACUGUAAUGAACUCAUUAUUUAUUUAUAUGGGUGUUAUACCUACUGUAUUCCAACUUAUCUAUGGUUCAUAAACUAUUUUACUAGCCAUAGAUUCAUCAAAAUAAGCAAACAACACACGCAAAACAGAAUCUGUCAAACACAGACACACUCUGUAGUAAUCUGUAGCUAGCGCAAGAUCUGGAACCCCAAAAAUUCUAAAAUAAAUUGCUGUACGUGAGGAAUUUAUCUAUUAAUCAUCUUCAAAAAGAAUUAACUAAAUAGCACUUUCCAAAUAAAAAUUGCAGCAGUUCUCGUGAGCGCUAAAGUUUCUGUUUUUUACAGCAAGUUCAACAAGACUUUCCCCAAGUCUUCCCAACGGUUCUACUUGGCACAAACACUAAUUAAACAUAAAAACACAACAAAAACAGAGGCUAAAUAAAUUAUUUAUUAAAUAACAGCAAGGAAUAAUAUUGGGUUGUCUCCCAACAAGUGCUUUUCUUUAAAGCCUUAUAGCUAGGCAUUGAUAAUUUUAAUGAUGCUCACAUGAAAGACAAGAAUUGAAGCACAAAAGGAGCAUCAUAAAACAUGUGACAAACACAUCUAAGUCUAACAUACUUCCUAUGCAUAGGCAUCUUAUAGGCAAACAAAUUAUCAAGGCAAGUAAAAACUAGCAUAUGCAAGGAAGCGGAAAGAAACAAUAGCAAUCUCAACAUAACGAGAGGUAAUUUAGUAACAUGAAAAUUUCUACCACCAUAUUUUCCUCUCUCAUAAUAAUUACAUGUAGGAUCAUAAGCGAAUUCAACAAUAUAGCUAUCAUAUAAAAUAUUCUCAACAUGAUCCACAUGCAUGCAAAGUUGACACUCUUCCGAAAUAGUGGGAUCAAUAUUAACUAAAGUCAUGACCUUUCCAAACCCACUUUUAUCAAAAACUUCAUGAGAUUGAACAUUCUCCAAAUAUGUGGGAUCUAAAGUUGACAUUGUUCCAAACCCACUUUCAAUAUUAUUGCAAACAUUAUAAUCAAUCUCAUAUUCAUCAUGGGGUUUAAAUAAAUUUUCAAGAUCAAAAGAAGAAUCACCCCAAUUAUGAUCAUUGCAACAAGUAGAGGACAUAGAAAAACUAGCAUCCCCAAGCUUAGGGUUUUGCAUAUUAUUAGCACAAUUGACAUUAAUAGAUUUUAUAAUAGCAUGAUUGCAAUCAUGCUUUUUAUUCAAAGAUCUAUCGUGAAUUACUUCAUAAAAUACUUCAUCACAAUUUUCAGAUUCACGAAUUUCAAGCAAAACUUCAUAAAGAUAAUCUAGUGCACAAAAAUCACUAGCAAUUGGUUCAUCAUAAUUGGAUCUCUUAAAAAGAUUAGCAAGCGGAUGAGGAUCCAUAGAUCUUAGGUUCUCUGUUUAGUAAUAAAUAAACAACUAUUCCAACCAUACAAGCAAACAAGAAACGGACAAAAAGAGGCAAAUAGAGAAAGAGAGGGAGGAUAGAGAGAGAGAGAGGCGAAUAAAACGGCAAGGGUGAAGUGGGGGGAGAGGAAAACAAGAGGCAAAUGGCAAAUAAUGUAAUGUGGGAGAUAAGGGUAUGUGAUGGGUACUUGGUAUGUUGACUUUUGCGUAGACCUCCCCGGAAACGGCGCCAGAAAUCCUUCUUGCUACCUCUUUUAGCACUGUGUUGGUUUUCCUCGAAGAGGAAGGGAUGAUGCAGCAAAGUAGCGUAAGUAUUUCUCUGAGUUUUUUAGAACCAAGGUAUCAAUCUAGUAGGAGGCUACACGCAAGUCCCUCGUACCUGCACAAACAAAUAAAUCCUCGCAGCCAACACAAAUAGGGGUUGUCAAUCCCUAUAGGGCCACUUACGAGAGUGAGAUCUGAUAGAUAUGAUAAAGAUAAUAUUUUUGGUAUUUUUAUGAUAAAGAUGCAAAGUAAAAUAAAGGCACAAUAAAUAGCAAAGUAAAUAACUAAGUAGUAGGAGAUUGAUAUGAUAAAGAUAGACCCGGGGGGCAUAGGUUUCACUAGUGGCUUCUCUCGAGAGCAUAAGUAUUCUACGGUGGGUGAACAAAUUACUGUUGAGCAAUUGACAGAAUUGAGCGUAGUUAUGAGAAUAUCUAGGUAUGAUCAUGUAUAUAGGCAUCACGUCCGAGACAAGUAGACCGACUCCUGCCUGCAUCUACUACUAUUACUCCACUCAUCGGCCGCUAUCCAGCAUGCAUCUAGAGUAUUAAGUUAAAACAGAGUAACGCCUUAAGCAAGAUGACAUGAUGUAGAGGGAUAGACUCAUGCAAUAUGAAGAAAACCCCAUCUUGUUAUCCUCGAUGGCAACAAUACAAUACGUGCCUUGCUGCCCUUACUGUCACCGGGAAAGGACACCGCAAGAUUGAACCCAAAGCUAAGCACUUCUCCCAUUGCAAGAAAGAUCAAUCUAGUAGGCCAAACCAAACUGAUAAUUCGAAGAGACUUGCAAAGAUAACCAAUCAUACAUAAAAGAAUUCAGAGAAGAUUCAAAUAUUAUUCAUAGAUAGACUUGAUCAUAAACCCACAAUUCAUCGGUCUCAACAAACACACCGCAAAAAGAACAUUACAUCGAAUAGAUCUCCACAAGAGAGGGGGAGAACAUUGUAUUGAGAUCCAAAAAGAGAGAAGAAGCCAUCUAGCUACUAACUAUGGACCCGUAGGUCUGAAGUAAACUACUCACACUUCAUCGGAGAGGCUAUGGUGUUGAUGUAGAAGCCCUCCAUGAUCGAUGCCCCCCUCCGGCGGAGCUUCGAACAGGCCCCAAGAUGGGAUCUCGUGGAUACAAAAAGUUACAGCGGUGGAAUUAGGGUUUUGGCUCUGUAUCUGAUCGUUUGGGGGUACGUGGGUAUAUAUAGGAGGAAGAAGUACGUCGGUGGAGCAACAAGGGGCCCACGAGGGUGGAGGGCGCGCCUAGGGGGGGCAGGCGCGCCCCCUACCUCGUGGCCUCCUGUUGAUUGGCUUGACGUAGGGUCCAAGUCUCCUGAGUUGUAUUCGGUGAGAAAAUCACGCUCCCGAAGGUUUCAUUCCGUUUUGACUCCGUUUGAUAUUCCUUUUCUUCGAAACCCUAAAACAGGAAAAAAACAACCAUUCUGGGCUGGGCCUCCGGUUAAUAGGUUAGUCCCAAAAAUAAAAUAAAAGUGGAUAAUAAAUCCCGAUAAUGUCCAAAACAGUAGAUAAUAUAGCAUGGAGCAAUAAAAAAUUAUAGAUACGUUGGAGACGUAUCAAGUAGCUACACCUAUUAAAGUUGAAGAAAAGACUAUCACCUAUAAUGAUCCUAUUGUUCCUACUGCUUAUGUUGAGAAACCACCUUUCCCUGUUAGGAUCAAAGAUCAUGCUAAAGCUUCAACUGUGGUUCGUAGAAGCAAGAUUAGAACCUAUACACCUGCUAAGCAAGUUAAAGUUGAACCUAAUAUUGCUAUUGUUAAGGAUCUCUUGGCUGAUAAUAUUGAUGGGCAUGUUAUUUAUUUCUGUGAGGAAACUGCUAGAAUUGCUAAACCUUGUGCUAAAGAUAAACAUAGACCUGUGGUAGGCAUGCAUGUUAUUUCUGUUAAAGUAGGAGAUCAUUGUUAUCAUGGAUUGUGUGACAUGGGUGCUAGUGCUAGUGCAAUACCUAUUGACUUAUACAAAGAAAUUAUGCAUGAUAUUGCACCUGUUGAGUUAGAAGAAAUUGAUGUCACAAUUAAACUUGCCAAUAGAGAUACUAUUUCACCAAUGGGAAUUGCUAGAGAUGUUGAAGUCUUAUGUGGGAAAACUAAAUAUCCUGCUGAUUUUCUUGUUCUUGGUUCCCCACAAGAUAGCUUUUGUCCCAUUAUAUUUGGUAGACCCUUCUUAAACACUAUUAAUGCUAGGAUAGACUGCGAAAAGGAUGUUGUUACUAUUGGUUUGGGUGAUAUGUCUCAUGAGUUCAACUUUUCUAAAUUUCGUAGACAACGUCGUGAAGAGGAAUUGCCUAGUAAAGAUGAAAUUAUUGGUCUUGCUUCUAUUGCCGUACCUCCUAGUGAUCCUUUAGAACAAUAUUUGCUAGACCAUGAAAAUGAUAUGUUUAUGAAUGAAAGAAGGGAAAUAGAUGAAGUGUUCUUUAAAUAGGGACCUAUUCUGAAACACAACUUGCCUGUUGAAAUCUUAGGGGAUCCCCCUCCACCCAAGGGUGAUCCCGUGUUUGAUCGUAAACCAUUGCCUGAUAAUCUUAAAUAUGCUUCUCUUGAUGAAAAGAAGAUAUAUCCUGUUAUUAUUAGUGCUAACCUUUCAGAGAAGGAGGAAGAAAAAUUAUUGAAAACUCUGAAGAAGCACCGUGCUGCUAUUGGAUACACUCUUGAUGAUCUUAAGGGCAUUAGUCCCACUCUAUGUCAACACAAAAUAAAUUUGGAGAAAGAUGACAAACCAAUUAUUGAUCACCAACGACGACUAAAUCCUAAGAUGAAAGAAGUGGUAAGAAAAGAAAUACUAAAGCUCCUAGAGGCAGGUAUAAUUUAUCCCGUUGCUGAUAGUCAGUGGGUAAGUCAUGUCCAUUGUGUUCCUAAGAAGGGAGGUAUUACUGUCGUUCCUAAUGAUAAAGAUGUAUUGAUUCCGCAAAGAAUUAUUAUAGGUUAUAGGAUGGUAAUUGAUUUCCGUAAAUUAAAUAAGGCUACUAAAAAGAUCAUUACCCCUUACCUUUUUAUUGAUCAAAUGCUAGAAAGAUUAUCCAAACAUACACAUUUUUGCUUUCUAGAUGGUUAUUCUGGUUUCUCUCAAAUACAUGUGUCAGCUGAUGAUCAAUCUAAGACCACUUUUACUUGCCCUUUCGGUACUUUUGCUUAUAGACGUAUGCCUUUUGGUUUAUGUAAUGCACCUGCUACCUUUCAAAGAUGCAUAAUGGCUAUAUUUUUUGAUUUUUGUGAGAAGAUAUGUGAGGUAUUCAUGGAUGAUUUCUCCGUUUAUGGAUCCCCUUUUGAUGAUUGCUUAAGCAACCUUGAUCGAGUUUUGCAGAGAUGUGAAGAAACUAACCUUGUCUUGAAUUGGGAGAAAUGCCACUUUAUGGUUAAUGAAGGUAUUGUCUUGGGGCACAAAAUUUUUGAAAGAGGCAUUGAAGUUCAUAAAGCUAAAGUUGAUGCUGUUGAAAAGAUGUCGUAUCCCAAGGACAUCAAAGGUAUGAGAAGUUUCCUUAGUCAUGCUGGUUUUUAUAGGAGGUUCAUUAAGGACUUCUCAAAAAUUUCUCGGCCCCUGACUAAUUUAUUACAAAAAGAUAUACCGUUCGUCUUUGAUGAUGAUUGUGUAGAAGCAUUUGAAAUACUUAAGAAAGCAUUGAUCUCUGCACCUAUUUGUUCAGCCACCUGGUUGGAAUUUACCUUUUGAAAUUAUGUGUGAUGCUAGUGAUUAUGCUGUAGGUGUUGUCCUAGGGCAAAGAGUUGAUAAGAAAUUAAAUUUUAUUCAAUAUGCUAGUAAAACUCUAGACAAUGCCCAGAGAAAUUAUGCUACUACCGAAAAAGAAUUCUUAGCAGUUGUAUUUGCUUGUGAUAAGUUCAGACCUUAUAUUGUUGAUACUAAAGUAACUAUUCACACGGAUCAUGCUACUAUUAAAUAUCUUAUGGAAAAGAAAGAUGCUAAACCUAGACUUAUUAGAUGGCUUCUCUUGCUACAAGAAUUUGAUUUCCAUAUUAUUGAUAGAAAGGGAGCUGAGAACCCCAUUGCAGAUAACUUGUCUAGGUUAGAAAAUGUUCUUGAUGACCCACUACCUAUUGAUGAUAGCUUUCUUGAUGAACAAUUAAAUGUCAUAAAUGCUUCUCACACUACUCCAUGGUAUGCUGAUUAUGCUAAUUACAUUAUUGCUAAAUUUAUACCACCUAGUUUCACAUACGAGCAAAAGAAAAAGUUUUUCUAUGAUUUAAGACAUUACUUCUGGGAUGAUCCACACCUUUAUAAAGAAGGAGUAGAUGGUGUUAUUAGAUGUUGUGUACCUGAGCAUGAACGGUAAUAGAUCCUACGCAAGUGUCACUCCGAAGCUUAUGGAGGACACCACGUUGGAGAUAGAACUGCACAUAAGGUAUUGCAAUCCGGUUUUUAUUGGCCUACUCUCUUCAAGGAUGCCCGUAAGUUUGUUGUAUCUUGUGAUGAAUGUCAAAGAAUUGGUAAUAUUAGUAGACGUCAAGAAAUGCCUAUGAAUUAUUCACUUGUUUGGGGCUUUGAUUAUAUGGGACUGUUUCCUUCCUCUAAUGGAUAUACACAUAUUUUAGUUGCUGUUGAUUACGUUACUAAGUGGGUAGAAGCUAUUCCAAAUAGUAGUGCUGAUCAUAACACCUCUAUUAAGAUGCUUAAAGAAGUUAUUUUUUCGAGGUUUGGAGUCCCUAGAUAUUUAAUGACUGAUGGUGCUUCACAUUUUAUUCAUCGUGCUUUCCGUAAAAUGCUUGCUAAGUAUGAUGUUAAUCAUAGAAUUGCAUCUCCGUAUCACCCAUAGUCUAGUGGUCAAGUAGAAUUGAGUAAUAGAGAACUCAAAUUAAUUUUGCAAAAGACUGUUAAUAGAUCUAGAAAUAAUUGGUCCAAGAAACUUGAUGAUGCAUUAUGGGCCUAUAGAACUGCAUAUAAAAAUCCUAUGGGUAUGUCUCCGUAUAAAAUGGUUUAUGGAAAAGCAUGUCACUUACCUCUCGAACUAGAACAUAAGGCUUAUUGGGCUAUUAAAGAGCUCAAUUAUGAUUUAAAACUUGCCGGUGAGAAGAGGUUAUUUGACAUUAGCUCACUUGAUGAAUGGAGAACCCAAGCUUAUGUGAAUGCCAAAUUGUUUAAAGAAAAAGUUAAAAGAUGGCAUGACAAAAGGAUACAAAAGCGUGAAUUUAAUGUAGGUGAUUAUGUAUUGCUAUACAACUCUCGUUUAAGAUUUUUUGCAGGAAAGCUUCUCUCUAAAUGGGAAGGUCCUUACGUUAUCGAGGAGGUCUAUCGUUCUGGUGCCAUAAAAAUCAACAACUUCGAAGGCACAAAUCCGAAGGUGGUGAACGGUCAAAGAAUCAAACAUUAUAUCUCAGGUAAUCCUAUAAAUGUUGAAACCAAUGUUAUUGAAACCGUAACCCCGGAGGAAUACAUAAGGGACACUUUCCGGAACGUUUUAGACUCCGAAAAGGAAUAUGUAUGUGGUACGGUAAGUAAACUGACUCCAAAACAGUUCUAAUGGCAAUUUUCUCUGUUUUGGAAUAUUUAGAAAAAUAGAAAAAUAAGAAGCAGUCCGGGAAGGACACGAGGGCUCCACGAGGGUGGAGGGCGCGCCCUACCCCCUGGGCGCGCCCCUUGCCUCAUGGGCACCUCAUAUGCUCUCCGGACUCUGUUUUCUUGCACGAUACGUAUUUUGGUCAGUAAAAAAUCAUUAUAUAAUCUCUCGAAGGUUUUGACCACCGUAUCACGCAAAUAUCUCCUGUCUUUGUUUCGAGCUAUUUUUUUGACAGGUCCAGGUCGUCAUGUCGUCUUCAAGUGCCCCCAAGGACCAGUUCUUCGAGAAGGUCAUCAACCCCUACCUCGCGGAAGUGCUGCAACACCCUCAAACCAUUGAGAUGCGUGAGGGAUUAUUGCACAUCCGCGAUGUUGAAGGACCAAGGAAGACCGGAAGCACGAAGGCAAGGCUCGAGGCAUUGGAGCAACAAGUUUUCAAGUGUCAGGAGAUGGUGGAGCGUGGACUCGACUCCAAUCACAUUAUGAUCACGAAGUUCACCAACAACCACAAGCUGGACGUCAAGGACAUUGGGGAGGCCAUCUUCAAGCUUCAUGAGAAAAUCGAGCACCUCCAAGCCCAGAUCUAUGACCUGCAAAAUCAAAACUGUGAGUAUGAAUAUAGAUUCAAAAGGAUGAGUUUGGCUGCAGAUUUGAGGAUUCAGGAGACUCAAUCAUCCUUCUAUGAUGGUGACCUAUGCCUUGGAAGAGGGACGACAAGCCUACAUCAUCAACAACUCCAACUCCUUCACCGAUAAAAGAGAUAUAAUCACAUGGGUAUGGGCAGUCCCCUUGGCAACUGCCAAGCUUGGGGGAGUGCCCCGGUAUCAUAUCACCAUCACUUUUAUCUUUACCGUUUUUCUUGGUUCGAUCCUUUUGGUAAUAUCUUGAUCUAGUAGCAUAAAGUUUUAGUAUGAUCUAGUUGUGAUUUUUGCUUUAUGAUCCUUCUAUGUAAUUGAGUCCGUGAGCUAUAUAUAAUAAAGAUUAGUGUUGAGUCAAGGGCUUGAUUAUUUUGCCAUGAUCUUGAGUGAAUAAAAGAAAAGAGAAAAGAAUAAAAAGAAACAAAGAGAUCAUAUUGAUCUUAUGUAGAGUAAUGACUUCACAUAGAAAGAGUAUGGUGAAUAAAAGUUGUUGAGAGUUGACAAACAUAGUUUUGGUCAUCGUUACAAUUAAUAGGAAGUAAUAAAGAAAGAGAGGUCUUCACAUAUAAAUACACUAUCUUGGACAUCUUCUAUGAUUGUGAGCACUCAUUAAAAUAUGACAUGCUAAAGAGUUGACGUUGGAUAAGGAAGACAACGUAAUGGGUUAUGUUUUCUUACAUCUAAGAUAAAUUAUAUUGCCAUGGAUCAUCCAACAUGAUUGAGCUUGCCUUUCCCCCUCAUGCUAGCCAAAUUCUUUGCACCAAGUAGAGAUACCACUUGUGCUUCCAAAUAUCCCAAAUAUCCUAAACCUAGUUUUGCCAUGAGAGUCCACCAUAUCUACCUAUGGAUUGAGUAAGAUCCUUCAAGUAAGUUGUCAUCGGUGCAAGCAAUAAAAAUUGCUCUCUAAAUAUGUACGACUUAUUAGUGUGGGAGAAAAUAAGCUUUAUACGAUUGUGUGAUAUGGAAGAAAUAAAAGCGACGGACUGCAUAAUAAAGGUCCAUAUCACAAGUGGCAAUAUAAAGUUAUGUUCUUUCGCAUUAAGAUUUUGUGCAUCCAACCAUAAAAGCGCAUGACAACCUCUGCUUCCCUCUGCGAAGGGCCUAUCUUUUACUUUUAUCUCCUACCUUACAUAAGAGUCAUGGUGGUCUUCACUCUUCCUUUUUACAUUUUAUCUUUUGGCAAGCACAACAUGUUGAAAGGAUCCUGGUAUAUAUGGCUAAUUGGAUGUGAGUUUUCAUGAACCAUUAUUGUUGACAUUACCUCUGAGGUAAAACAUUGGGAGGCAAAACUAUAAGCCCAUAUCUUUCUCUGUGUCCGAUUAAAACUCCAUACCCAUAAGUAUUGCUUGAGUGUUAGCAAUUGUGAAAGACUAUAUGAUAGUUGAGUAUGUGGACUUGCUGAAAAGCUCUUAUAUUGACUCUUUCCUAUGUUAUGAUAAAUUGCAGUUGCUUCAAUGACUGAGAUUAUAGUUUGUUAGUUUUCAAUGAAGUUUAUGAUUCAUACUUGAAAUUGUGAUUGAAUUGUUACUUUAGCAUAAGAGAACAUAUGACAAUGAUUAUAUAAGUUGUUGUUCUAAGAAUGAUCAUGAUGCCCUCAUGUCCGUAUUUUAUUUUUAUCGACACCUCUAUCUCUAAACAUGUGGACAUAUUUUUCGAUUUCGGCUUUCGCUUGAGGACAAGCAAGGUCUAAGCUUGGGGGAGUUGAUACGUCCAUUUUGCAUCAUGCUUUUAUAUCGAUAUUUAUUGCAUUAUGGGCAGUUAUUACACAUUAUGUCACAAUACUUAUGCCUAUUCUCUCUUAUUUUACAAGGUUUACACAAAGAGGGAGAAUGCCCGUGGCUGGGAUUCUGGGCUGGAAAAGGAGCAAAUAUUAGAGACCUCUUAUGCAUAGCUCCAAAAGUCUUGAAACUUCACGGAAGUUGUCGGUGUCAAAACCGGCGGAUCUCGGGUAGGGGGUCCUGAAUUGUGCGUCUAAGGCAGAUGGUAACAGGAGGUAGGGGACACGAUGUUUUACCCAGGUUCGGGCCCUCUUGAUGGAGGUAAAACCCUACGUCCUGCUUGAUUAUUCUUGAUAAUAUGAGUAGUACAAGAGUUGAUCUACCAUGAGAUCGGAGAGGCUAAACCCUAGAAGCUAGCCUAUGGUAUGAUUGUAUGUGUUGUCCAAUGGACUAAAACCCUCCGGUUUGUAUAGACACCGGAGGGGGCUAGGGUUACACAAGGUCGGUUACAAAGGAGGAGAUAUACAUAUCCGUAUUGCCUAGCUUGCCUUCCACGCCAAGUAGAGUCCCAUCCGGACACAAGGCGAAGUCUUCAAUCUUGUAUCUUCAUAGUCCAACAGUCCAGCCAAAGGAUAUAGUCCGGCUGUCCGGAGACCCCCUAAUCCAGGACUCCCUCAGUAGCCUCUGAACCAGGCUUCAAUGACGAUGAGUCCGACGCGCAUUGUUGUCUUUGGCAUUGCAAGGCGGGUUCCUCCUCCGAAUACACCACGGAAGAAUUGGAAUAUAAGGAUAGUGUCCGACCCUACAAAAUAAGUUUCCACAUACCUCUGUAGAGAGAAUAAUAUUUCCACAAAUCUAAUCUGCUGACAUGUUUUGGCAGCAUGACAUCAUGCCCUGGCCCGGUAAGUAUUCAAACCGUUUUUCCCUAACCAGCCCCGCACAUAACGCGAGGCGGUGUCUUGACACGUCUUGUCAAAGCAGAGAUCGUGUUCCCCUUAUUACGGGAUUCUCAUUAAUACGGACGUGGGUAACCAAACCGUGCCUAGGACUCCUAGAUUUUAGGCAAGUCCCAAACGGCCACGAGGAGGACGCUUGAUAUUCACCCUCUUUAUAAAGGGACAAGGCUUUUACUUUUUUCCCUCCCGUGCUCAAUCGAAUCCUUCCCCCGCCUCGAGUUCUAACACCCCAAAGCUUAGGUCAGGUGCUUCGGAUCUUCAAUCAUGUCCCGAUCCAGCCUUCAAGGCCGGUGGAUGCCUUCCUCCGUCAUGGAGGAGGAUAUCAAGAAGUUGAAGGAGGCCAGAUACCUGACCGCCGAAAUUUCGCAUAGGCUGCCCGCCCGAGGGCAGGUCAUCCCUACUCCUGAACCCAACGAGAGUGUUGUGUUUGUCUCCCACUUCCUCCGAGGACUAGGCCUCACUCUGGAUCCCAUUGUUGGGGGUCUUAUGUUCUAUUACGGGCUGGAUUUUCACGACCUAGCCCCGGAUUCCCUCAUCCACAUCUCGUCAUUUAUUGUUGUUUGUGAGGCCUUCCUCCGCAUUACCCCUCACUUCGGCCUGUGGCUCAAGACUUUUGACAUGAAGCCGAAGAUGGUCGAGGGACAGUACGCGGCGUGUGGAGGUGCUCUAAUAAGCAAAAUUGCUGGCGCUCUAUGGCCGAAGGGCUCCUUUCCAGAGGUGUCCGGAUUGUGGCAACGGGAGUGGUUUUAUGUCAUAGCUCCCCGAAGUGCCAAGUGGGUAGCUGCCCCCACCUUCCGCUCGGGCCCUCCACCACAACCGAUGUCAUGGAUCAGCAGGGGGCUGAGCUGGGGCCCAGCCAAGGAUGUGCCCAUACUGCAGAGCCGCAUCCAAGAUCUCUUUGAGGGAGAUUUUAGUCUAGUUAUGGUAAUGCAAGUCAUGCUGGUUCAUCGAGUCCAGCAUUGCAAACGCCGCCCCUCCGCAUGUGGGAAUGUAACCCGGAAGGACAACACACAAUUCAGAAUUUCCUCGGCCUGACGCACGAGGAGAUGUACAAAUCGUUCUUCGGACCCCAAAUAGAGUGUACGGACACUACCGAGGAUGUGGGCCUGAGCAGCAAUCGCACCGCUACCCAAGUAAGUAAUCCCAUGGCCGAACACACUGUUCUUUUCUUUAUCAUGACAUCAUUCUGAAAAUUGCUCUUUGACCAGGACUGGAUAACAAAGGCGAAGAUGAUCCGGUGUUCGGCCCCCCUUCCUGAAGGCUUGGACAAUCCGGUGCUGGAAAAGAUGCUCGAGCCAGCACCUUGCCUGGGGCCCUCGAAGGAAGGUGAAGGGGGGAAUAAAGAGGGAGAAAGUGGGCCUCCACCGCUACCUAUUCCAACCGAGGGAAUGAGCGCCUCCGUGAGGGAGGACAACCCAGGGGAAGAACCUGACAUUUCUCUCGCCCCGGGGGACGAAGAGGACUACCUUUGAAGAUCUGGAGACCAAGGUUUCCAAACGGGAGAAGAAAUCUCCACCCGAGGGUCCUGCCUCGGAGGGUGCUCUUGCCGCACAAUGUCCGCGCGGGGAUCAGCCCUCUAACGAGCUGUAAGUAAUCAAAAAGUACUUAAUAGUGAAGAUAUCCUUCCUUACUUCUGAGGAGAAUAACCGAAGCAUUUAUCUUGCAGUUUGGAUCUUAGCCCUUCACAGCAGAGCUCGUCUUCAGGGGAUCUUCUUUCGGAGAUGAUGGAGAGCAAAACGCCUCUCCCGGACUCCCCAGCUCAAGAAGCGGGCGACCUUGAAGUUUCAUCGCGGAGGGUCUCUCCGGAUCCGGUGAGGCCAGAAGAUAAUCCUGUGGCCACCCGAAGUCCCCAGUAUCUGGCUCUUCAAGAGAGCAACCAAAAGAGUCCGGCACCAUCUGGUAUGCAGUCGAACGUACUGAGGGAUCUGCUAGAGCGAGCAACUAUCUCAGAAGAGCACUGUACGUUGAUGGGUACGGUGAUUGAAAGGAUUUCGUCCGCCGAAAGUGGGUUGCAUGAAUCCUUUAUGAGUCUACUGACAAGUUUUGAGGUACGUGAAAUGAUGUACAUGUUUGACAGUACCGCACAUUUUAAGGUGUGCCCUGUGUAGUUAGUACCCCUGAGACUCUGGUUGUCGUCGAGAACGGCGGCAAAGAGAGGAUCGUAGUCUCAGGUAAUAACCAGACCGCCUUUAUGUGCAGGUGGUUGAAGCUCCGGUGGCUAGCCGGACUAAUGGGUUUGCCGGACUAAAGCGGCAACUGGAUGCGGCAGAUGCCGACACUGUGCUUGUCAACAAGCGGCUUGAUGAGGCACAGGGUGAGUUAUUUUUCUGGCGAUCGUCACAUAAUAAGAGCAGCAUGAUGCCAGUAUCUUUAAUAUGUUGUGACUGCAGAUGGAGCUUCCAAUGUGGAGACCCUUCGGGCGGAGCUUGCUCGAGCCAAGGAGCAAGCAAGGAGUAGUAAUGCGGCCGCUUUAAAGGUGGCCGAAGAGUUAAGAGCCGAAAAGGCCGCGCAUUGCGAGAGCAAAGAAAAAAUGGCCAAGAUGGCUGUAAAGUUAAAAGACACUGCCGACCGUUGCCAGCUUCUUGAAGAAGAAAACCAGGCGAAGGCGACGGACCUGGAAAAGGCCACGAUGGCGACCAAAGACACCCGCUCUGCGAUGAGAGCGAAGAAGGAGGAGAUGCGUCAAGCCGGGGAUAUCGCGGCUAGGAAACCCUUCAUGCUGCGGAGGAAGUUCGGAGAUCCUCAAUAUGCCCCUUUGGACCGGCUGCGGAGUUCGGCGGACGCAUAUCUAGACUUGGCGGCGAGUGCUAUCGAUGCGGCCAAAUACUCCCGUGAUCAAACAGAUUGUGAAGUGGACAAGCUAUUCUGGUCGCAAUUUAAUGUUCCAAAGCGUCCGCUUCCGUUGACUGAUCGGCUUGCCAAACGGGCCGAGCUGAAUAGAUUGUCCGGACUCGCCAUGAGGUCUAUUGUGGAUCAUCUGUGGCCGGAAAGGCCAAAGCCGAACAACUAUUUAGUUUGGUGCAGCAGUUCCUUGGUGCGGUGCCGCGCAUUAAUGCGGUGAAGAGGUCUGCGUGCAUAGAAGGCUCGCGGAUGGCCCUUGCCCAUGUCAAAACAUACUGGCGGAGAUGGAUGCCACCACUGUCGCGGCGCAGGGUUCGGCCAUAGGCCGAGUGGCUGCCGAGCACUAUUUUGAAGAAGUUCUUGAAGGUGCUCGUUCGAUAGAGGCCCAGUGCUCGAAGAAUAUUAUGUUUGAAUGACAUGUAUUUACAUUGUAAAAAACAAUGUUUUAUUAAGUUUAUCAAGGCUAUAUUUAUACUUUUGCCCGAAAGUAUUAUGAUGCCUCCUGUGCGGCCGUUUAUGUAUAUAUGUAUAUAACCUGAAAGAUUGCAGUCGUCGACUUCAGCCCCCACGCAUAUAAUGUGGGGGUGUUUGCAGAAGACGUAUGUUCACACUUGAUCCAACGUCUUGGUCCAUUAAGGAGGUGAUAGCGCAGCGAACUAGGCAACCAGACUAUAAUGCUUUAACACUUCCACUUAGCCAGAGGAGUUUGACAGUGGGGCUACUAUAUAGCCCCUGGUGGCUCUGCACUCAUCCGAAUUCGGGGUGCGUACGUGCCUGGCCGGGAAACGGCCCUUCGUUUAGGCGGAGGAAUCCCGAAGAUUCCGAUAGGUCAUCGAGUGGUUGACCAGUCUCACGCUAUAUCAUGGCAGUCAGUUUUCGGCUUUCUCUACUGAGGUGCUCGUACGGAUGAACCAGGGCACAAUCGCAGUAGUUCUCCUGGUGCCGCCUUAGCCGAUAGAGCGGAACAUAAGGCGGCAAAACACAGGAGUCGGGCAAACCCAACAUUUGACCAAAGACAUGAUUCGGAGCUGAUGCAUAUAAGGCCAAACUCGCGACGCCGAACACUCCCUAAGGUAUUCAUACUACAAAAAAAUACACUUCCGUGAUGAUACGUGUUUGUCACAGUAGGUCACUUUUUUUGUCAUGCAUGUACAUCCAAGACAAAUUUAUGACAGAAUCAAGAUAGUCAUACCUGUGCUGUCGUAGAAGUGUUCCAUGACAUUACCAAAUUUAUCAUCACGGAAGUGUCCACUUCCAUGACGAUAAAUCGCACGUCACAGAAGUGCUUUCGUCAUGGGUGACCGACACGUGGCAUCCACCAUAACGGAACGCCGUUAAGCUAUCGGGUCGGGUUUUGGAUCCGAUAACCCGUUAACAGCCCCGACCAAUGGGGAUUUUCCACGUGUAAAAUCAUCAUUGGCUAGAGGAAACACGUGUCGGAUCAUCGUCGGGACAGAUGUCAUCCACUCACUGGACAGAAUGCGCCUAUGAUACGUCAACACGUGGCACGGCCCAACAAGUUUAAAUGGGUCGGCCCAACUAAAGGCGCACAAGAUUUUGCGGACCAUAAUGGACCGGCCCAGCUAAAGGCCCACGAGAUUUUGCGGACCAUAAUGGGCUGGACCAGCUAAAGGCCCACAAGAUUUUGCGGGCCAUAAUGGGCCGGCCUAGGUAAAGGCCCACAAGAUUUCCGUGUGCCAUAAUAGGCCGGCCCAGGUAAAGGCCCACAAAAUUCUUGCGGAUCAUAAUGGGCCGGCCCAGCUAAAGGCCCACGAGAUUUCGCCAACAUUAAUGGGCCGACCCAGCUGUAGGCCCACAAGAUUUUGAGGACCCUAGUAGGCUGGCCCGUUAACUGGCUGCCAUGUUUUGGGCCAAAUGUCGGCUCAUAUUUGAUCCGGUCUAUUAAUGGCCUGCCACGCUCCGGGCCUAAUAGUGGCCCAUAUGAGAUCCGGCCCGUUAAAAGCCUACCACAUUCUAGGCCCAAUUACGGCCCUGAUCAGGUCCGACCCUUUAAAAGGUUUUGGGCCUAAUUAUGGCCCACAUCAGAUUCGGCCCGUCAACUGGACACUAUGCUUUUGGGCCCACUUGCUAAAGGCCCACUUAGUAAUUCGGCCUGAUAUUAGUUUUGGCAUGUUAAGGGCCCAUUUAACAUUUCGGCCCUAUAUUAAUUUCAGCCUGUUAAAAGCCCGUCAUAUAGUUGGGCCUAACUACGGCCCGGUUUGCAUCUGGCCUGCUCGCAGCCGAUAUCUGAUUGGGCCAAACAAGGACUGAGACAAUUUUUCGGCUUGUUAAAAGCUCGUGAUUUGAUUCGCACAAUCUUUGGUCGGGGUUCAUUUCGGACUGCUGCCGGCCCAUGAGUUGAUCGGCACGUUUUAGGCCCAAAGUACAUCGUGAUUGCAUGACGGCCCGAUUAUGUACCAUAAUUUUACGGUUUGGCCGGUUUACUGUGAAGACAGGAUAUAUAUACAGUAAAAUAACUGCAGCAUCAUGAAUAAGAAAAAACCUAUACUAUACAAUAAAGAAAUUACGGCAUAUUACAUCCACUGGGCAUCAAAGUUCGCCACUAUGAUAAUAAAGCACAAGCAGACAGCAGAUUACAUACACUGGGCAUCAAAGAUUGCCACCAGUGCAAAUAAACACACCGACAAAAUAAUAUACAAAACCGACAGCACUUCAAUAGAGUUCAAGAAAGGUUAACCCUGCUGGGGAGCUGCAGCGCAAGCAGCUGAGCAAGAUGAUGAGACUGCGCUUGUUCAACACUUAUAUCUUCCUCACUCUGAAAGAUAAACAAGCAGAAAGAUGACAAGUUUUGCACAUAAAAGUAUUAGUGCUGACAAUUCAUCACAUUUCUUACUUAUGAAUAAAGUGACACAGUUUAAAUUUGCAUUAACACAAUAUGGUAUUAUUCAGGUCAAGACAUGGCAGGAAAUGUCAUUGUGAAGGAGUUGGCAGCUUCACGACACCACUGGAUUACAGAUCAAGAAUUCAUAAGUAUCAAUGGUUAGUGUGCUGUCAAUUUAUACCAUUUCAGAUUGGCAAAUAAAGAGAUGGUUUAAAUAAUAGUAGAAUGAUAUGACAUUGUUCAUAGUUAAGACAUUGCAGAAUAUGACAUUUUGUUGUAGUGGGUAGGUUCACCACACCACUGGAUUAUAGAUGAAGAACAGAAGCAUACAUGCAGUGCAAAAGAAGAUCACUUGCUCUGUAUAGUUUAAUUUACAUGGUAUGAAGAAGGAAGUUGGUUGUACAACUGAAAACUUAAAUUGAGAAAGGACAAACUUUUGUUUAUGAACUACAUAAUAAAUUUUAAAAAAGCAAUUUGACGCAAACACCAAAAAUAAACAGCUGUUGCAGUCAUGCCUAACCAAAUAUAUACAACAAAGUUUGAAGGCUUGAGAUGGACAAACUUACAUUAUUGGUGAAGACAUGCUCUAUAAAGGCCUUGUCCAUGCUGAUGGGGGGGGGGCAAUCCAAGAAGUUUACCAUAGAAUCUUCUUCAAAAGCAUUGCCUUUAUUCUACAUUUUGUUAAGAGUAAAUAUAGAUGUGGUAAUAUACGAAAAAUGGAGAAUAUUUAAGAUAAGAAGAAGAGUGAUGCUACAUAACCAAGUAGCUAUAAAUGUAAGUGCAGCGAUACAGGCAAAAGGUACAGCCAAGAGCAAUGCACGGCUAAACUUCUUUAGUACCAACCUUAUGGUAAGAGUAAAUAUAGAUCUGAUGUGUAGAAAAUGGAGGGCAAUGGAAAAUAAGCUGCAGAGUGAUGGUACAUGAACAACUACAUGUCAUUAUAAGUACACUGAUAAAGGACAGCAUGUACUUACAAGAACAAUGCAGAGCUAAAAAAACAUUGGCAUUGGAUAUAUUCUACACUAAUGUAACCCUUCAUACAGAUCAGAUAAUUUGGAGCGAACAAUUGAUAAGCAAGCUAUCAUGCAUACUGCUGUCACAUAAUGAACCAGGUAUGUAUGCAAGUACAGUGAUAUAGGACAACAGGUACUAACAAGAGCAAAGCAACGGGCAACAUAUUUGUGAUAUCCUGUCGUUCUUGUCAAACCGGAAUUCUUCUUCGAGCAGAUUUCCUGCAAAAAAGAUCCGUAAGGCACAUGCGGAAAAGUAGAAGUUCAAAUUGUCAUGUGAUUUCAUAGACAGUACCUCAUCCUGGGAACGAGACCAGUGCAUAAAAAGGUUUUUCCAUUCAAUGUCUUCUAAAUUUAGCACGGGAGACUUCACCGGAAAUUCGUUUAUAGACUUGCCAUCAAAGUGUGAUUUCCUCAGGUAACACCGAUACUGCUGCAAUGCUUCCUUGAAAAGCACAAGCAAGCUUUGCUCGUCAUGACUAUCCAGAUUGACCCUGGCCUAGUUACAACAAUGUAAUGUAAAUCAUUCAUGUGUUCAAUUAGCAGAAAACAGGAAAAUAAUAACCAUGAAUAAUAGCACUUACACGUAAGUUGGACAGGAAGAUGUGAAAAUGGUGUUUGUCUUCACAAUAAUCUUCCCAUGAUGGGAAUAUAUGCACGUAGUCCCUAACAACAUUGAAAGCAUUGUCUUUUAAACUGGGAAUAAGUGGAAUGGGGUUCUAAUCUGCAGGAAUUGACCGUCUCUGCAGUUGGGAUAGGUCUUCGGCCAGUGGACUUGCUGUAGUUUUUUGCUAGAGUGGGAUUUUUCUAUGGUAUAACUAGUGCUAUGGCAAAUGAAAUCGGUAUACCUUUUGUUGGAGUGCAGGUCCUAUGUGGUGGGGCUAGUGGUGUGGCCAGUGAAGUAUGGGUACAGUCUGCUGGAGUCGGUCCUACGUUUUGUGUCACUGGUUGUACAGCCAAUAUAAGUGGGGUGUUGUCUGAUUUCUCCGGCACCACCACAUUUUUCAAGGACUUUGCUGGUGCUCCUUCAGGUUCGGCAAUCACCCUCUUCCUUUUUGAUGUCUGAUGCACAAGAACAACAUUUGAGUGGAAAAACAUGGUAUGAUGACAAAUGGAAUAUGUAUUGAUAAUGGAUGGGCAUGGCAUCUCGACAUAUAUGAUGAGUAAACUAAGCAGAUGGAGGUGCAAAAAAGUAGAAGAAAUGCAAGACAACAUAUGCAAGAUACCCGCAAUCAAUAAAACAUUGCCAAAUUAGAACAGGCACCUUGAUGGGUGAACAGGACAGGCCAUCUGCCUUUGACUCCUCGAGGUUAGAAUAGUCAUUAGGAUGAUAUUCUGAACAAGAAUCAACAGGUGGGGAGCGUAUGAGUUUCAUUGCAUCCAGAAUGGUACUCAAUGCCUUGGUGCCAAUUUUGUAAGUCAUUGCAGUGUUUAGCUUCAAGAGUGGAGUGUUGCUAGUGCGACACAAAGCAGCUACACAGAUCAUAGUGUAGAUAUAACGGGAAAACCUUAAGCAUCAGAGUAAAAUCAGCAAAGUGGAACUUGCUGGAAUAUAUGUGCUAGUAUUGCCGGUACGGCUAGAAAGGCUUCGGAUACCAGCUCUCUUCAAGUAAAGGUGCAGUACUGUUAAUAUCAAUGUAACUCUCAAAGGCGACACAGCUCCCCGCAUUUCCUUGCUAUUCUUAUAGGAUUCAAGUGGGCAGACCACUACAAAUCCUAUUCCUAUGUUUACAAGAUCCUACGAAUCAAAGAAGCUCAAAGUGUCCAUCACAACCGACCAUAUAGACCUCUGCACUGCAAAUGUCCCUGCUCAUCUUCAGUACAAGGAACAUACUGUACUACUAUCAUACUCCCUCCGUUCCAAAAUAUAAGUCUUGGUAGAGAUUUCCACUAUGGAUCACAUACAGAUGUAUCCAGGUACAUUUUAGAGUGUAGAUUCACUCAUUUUGCUCCAUAUGUAGUCCAUGGUGGAAUCUAUACAAAGACUUGUAUUUAGGAACAGAGAGAGUACAUAUUAAAGAAGAAUGGAAGAGGAACAUGGUAAAGAAGAGCAAGCAGAUUUUGGAUAAUAAAAUGUUGGUUGCGCAGUGCCCACACAUGAUGAACCAGAGCACAUUAAGAAUGCAACUCCUAGCUGUCUCUCGACCAUUUAAGGCGGUUGGAUGAAGAUCCUAUGUCUCCUAACCCUUCUUCUUCCUCGUCUCUGAUUCUUCCCAUACAGAACACCACACGGGUCGCCGGCCGGACCACCGCCCCCACCGCCUGUGUUCCUCCGCCACCCCCACCCUCACCCCCACCCGCGUCGAGUUUUCUUCGUUCGGUGAGGCCCCACAACCACCUGAGCCCCUUCGAUCGCACCGGCGAACUCCGGCGAGCUCUGAAAAAUCGACUGACCCAAUUUUGAAAUUUAGUCUACUGUGAUUUAACUAGUGUGGAAUAUAAAAGGGGAAACCAUAAGCAUUGCGAGUAUGGUGUUGAGCGUGCCAUGGCGGAUCUGAAGGUGCAAACCGGACAAAGGCAACUUCACAACCAAGACAAGAAAUAAGAGUAAAGCAGUGGCGAUCUAUUUUCUUGCUGCGAUAAAUAAGUUGAGGAGAUACGAAAGAGUACCGCCUCUGGUGCGGCGCCGUGUACGCAUCUGCUGAGAAUUUGACGGUGCUGCGGUAGCGAUGGCUGUCGGUGGCAUGGAAGCAGGUCUAGGAGGGUAGACGGUGGCGGCGGGGCGCGGUGGACGAGACAGUCGUAGGAGCGGCGCCGGCAAGGUGGACGACGGCGGGGAUGAAGCAAGAGGACGGGAUGCAAGGAUCACGGUCCAAAACCGUGGACGAGAGAGGUCGAUCUCUUGUAAUGGACAGCGGCGUCGGGGUAUCAGCUCCGGCAUGGUGGAGGAGGAUGGCGGUGGAUGGGGUGGCGGACGGAGGAGGGUGGGGUGGAGAGGUUGUUUUGGCGCCCACGGAGUACGAAUGGGGAAAAGGGAGGUAGAGAGGAAGGGGGAACCAUGUAUUUAGGGCGCGCUUGUCUCAAAUGCGAGGAAAUUUACAAACUUAGCUCCCGUUUCAAAUUUCUACUACAUCACAGCAGCACUAGUCGGUUGGGGAUAGGACGGUAAUCUCGCAUACACCGAAUAUUUGCCGACGAGAGUUUGUUUUUGGUGCCCACCGUGUAUGAAUAUGAAUCAGGGAGGGAGUCGAUUUUGGCCGAGGACACACUGUGUUUUGGCGCCCACCGUGUAUGAAUCCGGGUGAGAGGCGGUGUCACGUUUGGGUGAAAUUACAAACCUACCCCUAUCGAAACCUAUAGAAAUCCAGCAUAUAGGCUUUGCAUGGCAGGGAUAGGCAGCAGUGAUUUACACCUCGCAGAUUUUGGUUCCAGGCGGUUACUGCGACUUUCCCCGCUUCGUUCAAAUUUUGCAGAGUGCACGUUUACCGUGCCAACUCAAUUCGAAUUCCGUUUGUAUUCUAUUUUUUUCGGGCGAGAUCCAUUUUCAAUUGGAAUUACAUUCUAUAUACAUCAUUUUUUAUAUAUACUUUCAAAAGCACAACACCAUUUAUACAUAAAUAUGGUUUACAAAUGGCAUGAUCUCAGAUUCAUAAGGUUGUAUCCAUCAAUUUGGAUUUUCAAAUAUUUGAAACCACUUUAUGUUGAAAUCCAAUGUAUGCAUUCCUCGCUAACUGUCUCCAAUUAAUGUGUGUUUCAUGCGGGUUUUUUUUACUUCUCAAACAUGUAUAAUGUGUUUCACACACGCAACAUAUAGUGUAAUCCCGUUUAGACAUUAAUUGCAUAUAAACCAUGCAUUGUUUGUAAUUGAAGAAUCUAUGGAUCACCAAUAUUGAUAAACUAUAUAACAUUACACGUGUGCCCAAAUUCAAAUGAAUAUGCAUGUUUGAUACACCAAUUUGCGUUAUGAUAUUAGCGAUGUCGUGAUCUCCAGUUUAAAUAUUUGAAUCCCCUUUAAUCCAGAUAUUCGUCUCAUAUAGCUAUCACUCAUGCUUAUAUAGGACUAUCUCUCUGGACCUAUACGCGUUCAUCGUCUCUCAGGUAUCUCUCAUGCUACCUGUAUGUCGACAAUGAUCGUUUAUCUUCGUAACACACUGACGGUACUCUCUCCCUCAACCUUCAUCACUCUAUCUCUCUCUCUAAGUAUAUCUCGCUCCCUGCUAUGUGUCUCUAACUGUGAUUCACCAUGUGGAAUCUCUUUCUCUCUCACAAACACAAAACUUUGUCUCUCGGGGUCUCAUUUCUCUCUACUAUUCCCAUGUGUGCCACUCACACACCCCUCAUACAGAGAUGUCUUUCGCUCCUUAGAUAUGAGAACCUACGAAUCUUCCUCUUCAAUAUCUCUUUCUCACACACAAACACAAAAUCUGUCUCCCAAGGUCUCAUAUUUCUCCAUUGUUCUCUUGUAUGUCGCUCACACACACCCUCUCUCCCUAGAGAUAUCUUGCGUUCCCUCAUAUGUCUCUCUAGCUAUCACUCUCGUUGUGAAAUAUCUUUCUCUCCCGCAGACACAAAACUCCGUCUCUCUGGAUCUCAUUUCUCUCUGAUAUCUGUUUGUAUGUGACUCACAUGCACCCUCUCUCUAUAUCUCUCACACCCACACACAUAACCCAGCCUUCUGAUCCACUCGACUCCUAUCUCUAACGCACACUAGCUAGCAUCUUUAUCUUUCUAUUUAUCUGUUUCUCCAUCAACCUUCUUUCUCGCCCUCACUCUUGAUUCCUAUCACGCACACUACAUAUGUUUCUCUCUACAUGCAGUCAAGUGCCCUCUCACACACAUAUAUAACUUCACCCUUUGAACCACCUGACGGUCAUCUCCAACACCCAAACUAGCGGAUGUCCCUCUAGCUAGCAUCUCCAUCUCCGUAUCUAUCUGUAGUUUCUCCGUCAACAUUUCUUUCUCGCACAGAGUCUUGCUUCCUAUCACCCACACUAUAUAUGUCUCUCCAUACAUAUGCAUUUAUAGGUUGGUCUCUUUUGCACAAUCGUUGCGCCUCACUCCCUCUGCUCGCCAUAGAUGCAUGCUCCAGCCCAUGCCACUAUCUCUUAAAGACAAAAACACAUGCUCAAUUGUCGGGCCUUCUUCCCUGCAUUCUCACAUGCAUGCAUAUUGUCAUACCGAUCCGUCUCUCCCAUGUCGUUAAUCUUAUGACUUAUGUCUUCUUUCUUUUAUCUCGAUCAUGCGCGCGCGCACACGCACACAUCCCACGUAUACAUGUAUACCUCUCACACAUGCACGUUCAAGGUCUCUAUGUCUCCAUACGUAGUUAAUUACCCUCAAUCCUAACGCCACAUCGAAUUGUUCUCCUCUUUUGUGCACAUAACUUCCGCCUGGAUGGGUAAAACACACACUCAGACUUAACAAUCUCCUUCUAGCUACCCCCCGCCUCUCACUCUUCCCCUAUAUCCCCUAAACCAAUAAGACCAUCCCUUUGUUUAAUUCCCGCCUACAUGAACAUCGAUAUAUAGUAGUCUUCCUCGGUGUCUCUCGAACAAACACGUUCUCUCGAUGUCGACUCCUCUCACACGCACACACCUUCUCUUCCCUCUCUACGGGCAUUUUCUCUCUCGCACCCCAUCGUUGGUGGCCUCUGCCAUACACAUCACCUCUCUAUGAUGAAGCCAUGCACACUUAAAUUACAUCCGCCAUAGAGGACCCCGCGACACACACACACACCCCACCCCCCCACACACACUAAGACUCCAUCUCUCUCACACACACACACACACACUAAGACUCCAUCUCUCUCUCUCUCUCACACACACACUCACAAACACACACACACACACGCAUGAACCCCCCCACACACACUAAGACUCCAUCUCUCUCUCACACACACAAACUAAGACUCCAUCUCUCUCUCACACACACACACACUAAGACUCCAUCUCACACACACAUGCUCUAGGCGGAGCAUUUGUUCCUACCACCCUUCAUCCAACCUUACCCAUAUGAUGAACAAUCAGCUUUAUUUACUUGCAUAACAUGGACAAAUUCCACUUUACUUUAGUAGUCAACAAACUUAUCAUCUGUACCCUUAUAAAAAACGAGUUGGUGGUGAUGGUGUGCCUGCCAUCUUGUAAUACAGACCUUAUGAUCUAUAUCUGAGGAUAGAAAGCAAACUAUGAUAAUUUUACAGAAGAUACCCGCACCUCUCUCCACAUCAUUAUCUCCCGCAACCGUGGGCGUUCUACUUACUAGUACCAUUUACGUGCCGCCACGCGUCCCCUUUUUUAUUAGCUAGGAGGCAACGUGCAGGGUAGCUAUUUGAGUACGAGAGGCAUGCAAUCAGACCCCUGCGCGUGCUUAUCGGGAGGAGAGCCCUUUGACCUCCAUCUGCCGUCCACCUCUCUCCCAAGGUCUCCAUUAAAUGGCGCCCGAGCCUCUGUUUAAUGGCGUGGCUAUGUCUCACUCGACUGAGAUUUAAGAGAGAAAAAAGAAAUUCUGAAAGCACAGAUCUUGAUGUAAGAUCCGACGGACCUAUAUAGCAUCUACUGCGACUUAUAGCAAGACUGAUGAAUAUAUAAGGACGAUUAAAUUUUCUUUUUGAUCAAAGAAGGGCUUGCCCCUUCCGAUUUUCAUUACUGAAAACCACCACAAUUCACAAGAAGUUCAGCACAACUCUAGCCUAACACGAAGGACUAAAAUCUACCAGAUUGAAAUCGUAACAUCCCAAGAGGCCAACAAAGGCCAAACAUCCGCGCUAGAACCCAACAUUUCACAACCGACGACACAAUCCACAUCCUAAACCGAUUAUUACAUCAAAAGAAACCAGGAAACUAGUCUCCGCGGCGAGUGGCAAUGAGCUCUUUCGUGUCCUCAAGACGCUGCUUGAGAACAUCCACGGAUUCCUCCACCAGCCUUUGGCGCUUGUUGCGGAGCAUGUCAUUCUCGUCCAUAAGUUUCUUCAACAAGACACUAGUCUCCUCCUGCAGGUCUGCACUUCGGACGAUCUUCUCCCUUAGCAGGUCGCGCUCGUCCCGGAGCCUCUCAUUGCCCUCCCUUAGUUGCCGGAUGAUGCUGGUAGCCUGUUCAAACGAGGCUAUCAUGUCGUCCUACAACCUCGCCGAGCGGGAGAUCUGAUCCAUCUGGCUAUGGACGAUUGCAUGCAUGCGCCUGUAACAGUGGUCACGUGCCCGCGAGAAAUUUUCCCAGGCCGCCGCGGCGCGGUGGGACAUCUCUACUGCAUUCGUGGCGCGACGGGACAUCUCUGCUGCUUCCGCAGCGCGGCCGGACCAGUCUGCUGCAUCGACGGCGCGGCGGGACCUCCAUGCUGCUUCAGCGGCACGGCGGGACCUCUGUGCUGCUACUUCCGCGCGGCGGGACAUGUCGGCUGCUCUCGCAGCGAGGCGGGACAUCUCUCGUGCUUCCGCUUCCAUGCUCGCCUCUCCCUGGUGGCAAUCUCUUGACCCAGAACUCAAGUUGGCCAUGGAAGACGCAAGGGAAGGAUACUGAAUGACUUGUUUGUUUUUGUGGAUGAGGAGUUGAGGAGGAAUGUGCAGUCAUCUUGGCAUACUAGUAUUUAUAACCGAGUACUAAUACGCUCCUAAGUGGGAAACCGUUUAGGUUGUGAUCGGUGUGAAUAGGUUUGCAAUUCAAUAUAGCAUGGAGUAAUUUGGAAUGUGACGAGACGCAAGCUCAAAAUUUAUUGACGGUUCUAGUUUCGAAGUGCGGCACUAUUCCCGGAUGGAGUACUUCUUUUUCUACUCCCUCCUUUCCGGUUUUAUAGGGCUUAUCUCAAAAUUUUAGUUUUUCCAUUUUAUAAGGCUUAUUUGGUUGUCCCCAACACAUGUUCAGAUUCCAAGGUGCAUUAAAUCAUUGCAUGCAAGUAUUAAGAGAAAAUUGACCAAUGCAUGUACUUUAUGCAUGCAUGCAUUGCAAUUAAUGCAUUAAACCUAUCUCUCGGGACUUCUCGCACGCACCAUCGUGUCACCCACAAAAACUUGUACUCUGAGUUUAGUAGUACGUUAUAUAGGAAGAGAAGAGGUGCAUGCACGCACUCGUCCUCUCACACACGCGUCUAUUUUUUCUUGAAAAGGAGGAUGAUGACCCCCGGCCUCUGCAUCUGGGAGUCACACACGCAAAUUAUUGAAAUAUAUCGAGUGCAGUGCUUUGAUGUGUUGCGUCAACUCGUACAUCAACGAGAAGUUUGAUUAUCCUCUCCCUCGCGGACUUAACUGCACAUGCCUUUGGCUGUAUGACAGGUUGGCCACACACCUGUAGGGCCCACCUGUCAUACACGCAAAGGCAGGAGCGUCCCUCCCUCGCCCAUGAGCGUGGUGGCUGGCAAGACUAGGAGAAGCUUUCGCUACACGCUCUCCCUCCCGCACACGUGGACAUGCAGCAGUUCAAUCGGUGUCAUAUGGCCAGAAGCGUACUGUAGUACUCCUCUAGUGCAGUAGUAUUCCAUCAUUGUUUGACUUCCCGAAGAGGCGAAGAGCCAAGUGCAGCCCGGACGCUCGUGUGGCAGUUUCGUGUGUAUAGUAGUCUAGGAUAGCGUGUAUUGUGCAUCUAAGCUUAAAAUCGCUGGGGUCAGCUCCAUGCUAUGUGGUAGUCUUGAAGUUUUUUAAAAAAAUUAAAAUAGUCUUCUGGCCCUACCCGAAAACUGCCGCGCGUACUGCCCGGGAAAAGCCCCGCCCUCAACUUUUAACUACGCGAAAAUAGUUCGAGCUUGUUCGUUCUAUAUAAAUAUAGUACUUACUGUAUGUUUAUUCACCCGUGGGGUUGUUCAAUGAAUGGAGGGGCGGGGAGCACAAGUGAACAAUACUGUAGUACUACUAGUAGUAAGUAGGAGUCAUACAGUAGUCACCUUAAAUAGAGAGUUUCUUUUCUUUAAUGCCACGUACACAAAUUGAAACGCUUGUUGUGGAGAGAAAAAAGAUAAUCACUCCACUAUAUAUGGACGCAGGGGCCUGAGCGCUUGCUUUACUAGGGUUUCUCUCUUCAUUCUCUCAUCCUCUCCAGAUAUAAACAAGACAGCAGUAGCGACAUUUUCUCUCUGCUCACCGCUGGUCACAGAUCCGGUCAGAUCCCUUCGGUCGGUGUGUGUAGAGGACUAAAAGGUGCAUCGUUCACGCGGUCAUCACCGUCGAGGGAGGAAACCCACAGCUGCCGGAGGGGCCUGAUCCUCUGCCCAUGCCAUUCUCUCUAACACAUGGCCGGCUCGGGAGGUCCUCCGACCCUUCUUCCUCCCUGCCGUAUUGUUCGCAGAUCCGACCUGCCGCCGCCGACAUCCCGGCGACCCUCAGGUAUAAGUUCUUCGAAAGCGGCUAAGGGAGUCCUGGAUUAGGGGGUCUCCGGACAGCCAGACUAUCUCCAUUGGCCGGACUGUUAAACUAUGAAGAUACAAGAUUGAAGACUUCGUCUCGUGUCCGGAUGGGACUCUACUUGGCGUGGAAGGCAAGCUGGGCAAUACGUAUAUGGAUAUAUCCUCCUUUGUAACCGACCUUGUGUAACCCUAACCCUCUCUGGUGUCUAUAUAAACCGAAGGGUUUUAGUCCGUAGGACAACAAUCACAACAUACAAUCAUACCAUAGGCUAGCUUCUAGGGUUUAGCCUCUCUGAUCUCGUGGUAGAUCUACUCUUGUAACACCCGUAUCAUCAAUAUUAAUCAAGCAGGACGUAGGGUUUUACCUCCCUCAAGAGGGCCCGAACCUGGGUAAAACUUCGUGUCCCUUGCCUCCUGUUACCAUCCGGCCUAGAUGCACAGUUCGGGACCCCCUACCCGAUAUCCGCCGGUUUUGACACCGACAUUGGUGCUUUCAUUGAGAGUUCCUCUGUGUCGUCGCUGUUAGGCUUGAUGGAUCCUACUAUCAUCGAUAGCGAUGCGGUCCAGGGUGAGACUUUUCUCCCCGGACAGAUCUUCGUAUUCGGCGGCUUUGCACUACGGGCUAAUUCGCUUGGCCAUCUGGAGCAGAUUGAAAGCUACGCCCCUGGCCAUUAGGUCAGAUUUGGAAGUUUGAAUUACACGGCCAAUAUCCGUGGGGACUUGAUCUUUGACGGAUUCGAGCCACAGCCGGGCGCGCCGCACGGUCGCUAUGGGUAUGACCUAGCUCUGCCACCGGACGGUACUCUAGAGGCCGCGCCCGCAUCAGCUCCGACCCUUAGCUCGGAGCCAACUGCACCAAUCGAGGACGGGUGGCUAGACACCGCCUCAGGGGCUGCAGUCUCGACGGCGAUCGAGCCAAACACCAACAUAAUCCUCUGCACAGCCCGUGACUCCAAGGUGCCGGACUCUCUUCCGGACUCCGAGCCAUCCGCGCCCCUGCCAAUCGAAUCCGAGUGGGCGUUGAUCAUGGAAUUCACCACCGCGGAUAUCUUUCAGCACUCGCCCUUCGACGACAUUCUGAAUUCACUAAGGUCUCUCUCUUUGUUAGGAGAGCCCUGGCCGGAUUAUGGCCAACAGGAUUGGGAUGCGGACGAUGAAGAAAUUCGACGCCCACGCACCACCCACUUUGUAGCCACUGUCGAUGACUUAACUGACAUGCUCGACUUCGACUCCGAAGACAUCCAUGGUAUGGACGACGAUGUAGGAGACGAACAUGAACCAACACCUAUAGGGCACUGGACAGCCACCUUGUCGUAUGACAUAUACAUGGUGGAUACACCCAAUGAAGGCAACGGCGACGAGAUAACAGAGGAUGACCCCUCCAAGAAGCAACCCAAGCGCCAACGUCAGCGGCGCCGCUCUAAGUCCCGCCAAAGCAAAAGUGGUGAUACCGGCACAGGAGAUAAUAACACUCCGGAUAGCGCCGAAGACAACAACAAUCCCCUCCAGCAAGAGCAGGAGGAUGAAGGAGCCAACUCUCCUGAGAGAGCGGCUGGCGGAGAGGAGGAGGAUGAUGUUGGAAAUAUGCCCUAGAGGCAAUAAUAAAAGCAUUAUUAUUAUAUUUCCUUGUUCAUGAUAAUUGUCUUUAUUCAUGCUAUAAUUGUGUUAUCCGAAAAUCGUAAUACAUGUGUGAAUAACAGACACCAACAUGUCCCUAGUGAGCCUCUAGUUGACUAGCUCGUUGAUCAACAGAUAGUCAUGGUUUCCUGACUAUGGACACUGGAUGUCAUUGAUAACGAUAUCACAUCAUUGGGAGAAUGAUGUGAUGGACAAGACCCAAUCCUAAACAUAGCACAAGAUCGUAUAGUUCGUUUGCUAGAGUUUUCCAAUGUCAAAGUAUCUUUUCCUUAGACCAUGAGAUCGCGUAACUCCCGGAUACCGUAGGAGUGCUUUGGGUAUGCCAAACGUCACAACGUAACUGGGUGACUAUAAAGGUAGACUACGGGUAUCUCCAAAAGUGUCUGUUGGGUGACAUGGAUCAAGACUGGGAUUUGUCACUCCGUAUGACGGAGAGGUAUCACUGGGCCCACUCGGUAAUGCAUCAUCAUAAUGAGCUCAGAGUGACCAAGUGUCUGGUCACGGGAUCAUGCAUUACGGUACGAGUAAAGUGACUUGCCGGUAACGAGAUUGAACGAGGUUUUGGGAUACCAACGAUCGAAUCUCGGGCAAGUAACAUAUCGAUAGACAAAGGGAAUAGCGUACGGGAUUGAUUGAAUCCUCGACAUCGUGGUUCAUCCGAUGAGAUCAUCGUGGAGCAUGUGGGAGCCAACAUGGGUAUCCAGAUCCCGCUGUUGGUUAUUGACCGGAGAAGUCGUCUCGGUCAUGUCUGCUUGUCUCCCGAACCCGUAGGGUCUACACACUUAAGGUUCGGUGACGCUAGGGUUAUGAAGAUAUGUAUAUGCAGAAACCCGAAUGUUGUUCGGAGUCCCGGAUGAGAUCCCGGACGUCACGAGGAGUUCCGGAAUGGUCCGGAGGUAAAGAAUUAUAUAUAGGAAGUGCUAUUUCGGGCAUCGGGACAAGUUUCGGGGUUAUCGGUAUUGUACCGGGACCACCGGAAGGGUCCCGGAGGUCCACCGGGUGGGGCCACCUGUCCCGGGGGGCCACAUGGGCUGUAGGGGGUGCGCCUUGGCCUAGAUGGGCCAAGGGCACCAGCCCCUAUAGGCCCAUGCGCCUAGGGUUUCCACCAUGGAAGAGUCCAUGUGGUGGAAGGCACCCCUAGGUGCCUUGGGAGGGAGGGAAACCUCCCCUUGGCCGCCGCCCCCCCUAGUAGAUCUCAUCUACUAGGGCCGGCGCCCCCCUGGCACCGCUAUAUAUAGUGGGGGGGAGAGGAGGGAUUUCACACCAGCCCCUGGCGCCUCCAUCCCCCCCCCCCCGUUACGUCUCUCCCUCGUAGUCUCGGCGAAGCCCUGCUGCUGUGACGCCCUGCAUCCACCACCACGCCGUCGUGCUGCUGGAUCUUCAUCAACCUCUCCUCCCCCUUGCUGGAUCAAGAAGGAGGAGACGUCUCCCAUCCCGUACGUGUGUUGAACGCGGAGGUGCCGUCCGUUCGGCGCUGGCCAUCGGUGAUUUGGAUCACGUCGAGUACGACUACAUCAUCAUCGUUCUUUUGAACGCUUCCGUGCGCGAUCUACAAAGGUAUGUAGAUGCAUCUAAUCACUCAUUGCUAGAUGAACUCCUAGAUGAUCUUGGUGAAACGAGUAGGAAAAUUUUUGUUUUCUGCAACGUUCCCCAAUAGUGGCAUCAUGAGCUAGGUCUAUGCGUAGUUCUUCUUGCGCGAGUAGAACACAAUUUGUUGUGGGCGUAGAUUUGUCAACUUUCUUGCCGUUACUAGUCCUUUCUUGCUUCAGCGGUAUUGUGGGAUGAAGCGGCCCGGACCAACCUUACACGUACGCUUACGUGAGACCGGUUCCACCGACUAACAUGCACUAGUUGCAUAAGAUGGCUGGCGGGUGUCUGUCUCUCUCACUUUAGUUGGAGCGGAAUCGAUGAACAGGGUCCUUAUGAAGGGUAAAUAGAAGUUGACAAAUCACGUUGUGGCUUUAACGUAGGUAAGAAAACGUUCUUGCUAGAACCCUAAUUCAGCCACGUAAAACUUGCAACAACAAUUAGAGGACGUCUAACUUGUUUUUGCAGCAAGUGGUUUGUGAUAUGAUAUGGCCAAAGUUGUGAUGAAUGAUGAAUGAUCUAUAUGUGAUGUAUGAGAUGUUCAUGCUAUUGUAAUAGUAUUCAUGACUUGCAUGUCGAUGAGUAUGACAACCGGCAGGAGCCAUAGGAGUUGUCUUUAUUCUUUUUAUGACCUGCGUGUCAUCGAGAAACGCCAUGUAAAUUACUUUACUUUAUUGCUAAACGCGUUAGCCAUAGUAGUAGAAGUAAUAGUUGGCGAGCAACUUCAUGGAGACACGAUGAUGGAGAUCAUGAUGAUGGAGAUCAUGGUGUCAAGCCGGUGACAAGAUGAUCAUGGAGCCCCAAGAUGGAGAUCAAAGGAGCUAUGUGAUAUUGGCCAUAUCAUGUCAUGUUUAUUAUUUGAUUGCAUGUGAUGUUUAUCAUGUUUUGCAUCUUGUUUACUUAGAACGACGGUAGUAAAUAAGAUGAUCCCUCACAAUAAAUUCAAGAAGUGUUCCCCCUAACUGUGCACCGUUGCGACAGUUCGCUGUUUCAAAACACCACGUGAUGAUCGGGUGUUUUAUUCAGACGUUCACAUACAACGGGUGUAAGACAGAUUUACACAUGCAAACACUUAGGUUAACUUGACGAGCCUAGCAUGUACAGACAUGGCCUCGGAACACAGAAUACCGAAAGGUCGAGCAUGAGUCGUAUAGAAGAUACGAUCAACAUGAAGAUGUUCACCGACGUUGACUAGUCCGUCUCACGUGAUGAUCGGACACGAUCUAGUUAAACUCGGAUCAUGUAAUACUUAGAUGACUGGAGGGAUGUCUAAUCUAAGUGGGAGUUCAUUAAUAAUUUGAUUAGUUGAACUUAAUUAUCAUGAACUUAGUCUAAAUAUUUUACAAUAUGUCUUGUAGAUUAAAUGGCCAACGUAGUCCUCAACUUCAACGCGUUCCUAGAGAAAACCAAGCUGAAAGACGAUGGCAGCAACUAUACGGACUGGGUCCGGAACCUGAGGAUCAUCCUCAUAGCUGCCAAGAAAGAUUAUGUCCUACAAGCACCGCUUGGUGACGCACCCGUUCUCCCUGCAGAACAAGAUGUUAUGAACGCUUGGCAGGCACGUUCCGAUGACUACUCCCUCGUUCAGUGCGGCAUGCUUUACAGCCUAGAGCCGGGGCUCCAAAAGUGUUUUGAGAGACAUGGAGCAUAUGAGAUGUUCGAAGAGCUGAAAAUGGUUUUCCAAGCUCAUGCCCGGGUCGAGAGAUAUGAAGUCUCUGACAAAUUCUUCAGCUGUAAGAUGGAGGAAAACAGUUCUGUCAGUGAGCACAUACUCACUAUGUCUGGGUUGCAUAACCACUUGACUCAGCUGGGAGUUAAUCUCCCGGAUGAUGCGGUCAUUGACAGAAUCCUCCAGUCGCUUCCACCAAGCUACAAGAGCUUUGUGAUGAUCUUCAAUAUGUAGGGGAUGGAAAAGACCAUUCCUGAAGUAUUUGCUAUGCUGAAAUUAGCAGAGGUAGAAGUCAGGAAGGAACAUCAAGUGUUGAUGGUCAAUAAAACCACUAAGUUCAAGAAAGGCAAGGGUAAAAAGAACUUCAAGAAGGACGGCAAGGAGGUUGCCGCGCCCGGCAAGCAAGCUGCCGGGAAGAAGCCAAAGAAUGGACCCAAGCCCGAGACUGAGUGCUUUUAUUGCAAGGGAAGCGGUCACUGGAAGCGGAACUGCCCUAAGUACUUAGCGGAUAAGAAGGCCGGCAAAACAAAAGGUAUAUGUGAUAUACAUGUAAUUGAUGUGUACCUUACUAGUGCCCGUAGUAGCUCCUGGGUAUUUGAUACCGGUGCAGUUGCUCACAUUUGUAACUCAAAGCAGGGGCUGCGGAAUAAGCGGAAACUGGCAAAGGACGAGGUGACGAUGCGCGUCGGGAAUGGUUCCAAGGUCAAUGUGGUCGUCGUCGGCACGCUACCUCUGCAUCUCCCUUCGGGAUUAGUUUUAAACCUUAAUAAUUGUUAUUUAGUGCCAGCUUUGAGCAUGAACAUUGUAUCGGGAUCUCGUUUAAUUCGAGAUGGCUACUCUUUUAAAUCUGAGAAUAAUGGUUGUUCCAUUUUUAUGAGAGAUAUGUUUUAUGGUCAUGCUCCUAUGGUGAAUGGUUUAUUCUUUAUGAAUCUCGAACGUGAUGCUACACAUGUUCAUAAUGUGAGUACCAAAAGAAGUAAGGUUGAUAAUGAUAGUCCCACAUACCUGUGGCACUGCCGCCUUGGUCACAUAGGUGUCAAACGCAUGAAGAAGCUCCAUGCUGAUGGACUUUUAGAGUCUCUUGAUUAUGAAUCAUUUGACACAUGCGAACCAUGCCUUAUGGGUAAAAUGACCAAGACUCCGUUCUCAGGAACAAUGGAGCGAGCAACCGACUUAUUGGAAAUCAUACAUACUGAUGUGUGCGGUCCAAUGAGUGUUGAGGCUCGCGGUGGCUAUCGUUAUGUUCUCACCCUCACUGAUGAUUUAAGUAGGUAUGGGUAUAUCUACUUAAUGAAACACAAGUCUGAAACCUUUGAAAAGUUCAAGGAAUUUCAGAGUGAGGUUGAAAAUCAACGUGACAGGAAAAUCAAGUUUCUACGAUCAGAUCGUGGAGGAGAAUACUUGAGUCACGAGUUUGGCACACACUUAAGAAAAUGUGGAAUAGUUUCACAACUCACGCCGCCUGGAACACCUCAGCGUAAUGGUGUGUCCGAACGUCGUAGUCGCACUCUAUUAGAUAUGGUGCGAUCUAUGAUGUCUCUUACCGAUUUACCGCUAUCCUUUUGGGGCUAUGCUUUAGAGACUGCCACAUUCACUUUAAAUAGGGCUCCGUCGAAAUCCGUUGAGACGACACCGUAUGAAUUAUGGUUUGGGAAGAAACCUAAGCUGUCAUUUCUAAAAGUUUGGGGAUGUGAUGCUUAUGUCAAGAAACUUCAACCUGAAAAGCUCGAACCCAAGUCGGAAAAAUGUGUCUUCAUAGGAUACCCAAAAGAAACUAUUGGGUACACCUUCUACCUCAGAUCCGAAGGCAAGAUCUUUGUUGCCAAGAAUGGGUCCUUUCUGGAGAAAGAGUUUCUCUCGAAAGAAGUAAGUGGGAGGAAAGUAGAGCUUGAUGAACUAUUACCUCUUGAACCGGAAAAUGGCGCAACUCAAGAAAAUGUUCCUGAGGUGCCUGCACCGACUAGAGAGGAAGUUAAUGACAAUGAUCAAGAUACUUCUGAUCAAGCCCCUGCUGAAAUUCGAAGGUCCACAAGGACACGUUCCGCACCAGAGUGGUACGGCAACCCUGUCUUGGAAAUCAUGCUGUUAGACAACGGUGAACCUUCGAACUAUGAAGAAGCGAUGGCGGGCCCGGAUUCCGACAAAUGGCUAGAAGCCAUGAAAUCCGAGAUAGGAUCCAUGUAUGAAAACAAAGUAUGGACUUUGACUGACUUGCCCGUUGAGCGGCGAGCCAUAGAAAAUAAAUGGAUCUUUAAGAGGAAGACAGACGCGGAUGGUAAUGUGACCAUCUAUAAAGCUCGGCUUGUCGCUAAGGGUUAUCGACAAGUUCAAGGGGUUGACUACGAUGAGACUUUCUCACCGGUAGCGAAGCUGAAGUCCGUCCGAAUCAUGUUAGCAAUUGCCGCAUUCUAUGAUUACGAAAUAUGGCAAAUGGACGUCAAAACGGCAUUCCUUAAUGGUUUCCUUAAGGAAGAAUUGUAUAUGAUGCAGCCGGAAGGUUUUGUCGAUCCUAAAAAUGCUGACAAAGUGUGCAAGCUCCAACACUCGAUUUAUGGGCUGGUGCAAGCAUCUCGGAGUUGGAACAUUCGCUUUGAUGAGAUGAUCAAAGCGUUUGGGUUUACACAGACUUAUGGAGAAGCCUGCAUUUACAAGAAAGUGAGUGGGAGCUCUGUAGCAUUUCUCAUAUUAUAUGUAGAUGACAUACUUUUGAUGGGAAAUGAUAUAGAACUCUUGGACAGCAUCAAGGCCUACUUGAAUAAAAGUUUUUCAAUGAAGGACCUUGGAGAAGCUGCUUAUAUAUUAGGCAUCAAAAUCUAUAGAGAUAGAUCGAGACGCCUCAUAGGUCUUUCACAAAGCACAUACCUUGAUAAGAUAUUGAAGAAGUUCAAUAUGGAUCAAUCCAAGAAGGGGUUCUUGCCUGUGUUACAAGGUAUGAAAUUGAGCUCAGCUCAAUGUCCGACCACGGCAGAAGAUAUAGAAGAGAUGAGCGUCAUCCCCUAUGCCUCAGCCAUAGGUUCUAUUAUGUAUGCCAUGUUGUGUACCAGACCUGAUGUUAACCUUGCCGUCAGUUUGGUAGGAAGGUACCAAAGUAAUCCCGGCAAGGAACACUGGACAGUGGUCAAGAAUAUCCUGAAGUACCUGAAAAGGACUAAGGAAAUGUUUCUCGUUUAUGGAGGUGACGAAGAGCUCGUCGUAAAGGGUUAUGUCGACGCUAGCUUCGACACAGAUCUGGAUGACUCUAAGUCACAAACCGGAUACGUGUAUAUUUUGAAUGGUGGGGCAGUAAGCUGGUGCAGUUGCAAGCAAAGCGUCGUGGCGGGAUCUACAUGUGAAGCGGAGUACAUGGCAGCCUCGGAGGCAGCACAUGAAGCAAUAUGGGUGAAGGAGUUCAUCACCGACCUAGGAGUCAUACCCAAUGCGUCGGGGCCAAUCAAGCUCUUCUGUGACAACACUGGAGCUAUUGCACUUGCCAAGGAGCCCAGGUUUCACAAGAAGACAAGGCACAUCAAGCGUCGCUUCAACUCCAUCCGUGAAAAUGUUCAAGAUGGAGACAUAGAGAUUUGUAAAGUACAUACGGACCUGAAUAUAGCAGAUCCGUUGACUAAACCUCUCCCUAGAGCAAAACAUGAUCAACACCAGAAUUCCAUGGGUGUUCGAUUCAUCACAAUGUAACUAGAUUAUUGACUCUAGUGCAAGUGGGAGACUGUUGGAAAUAUGCCCUAGAGGCAAUAAUAAAAGCAUUAUUAUUAUAUUUCCUUGUUCAUGAUAAUUGUCUUUAUUCAUGCUAUAAUUGUGUUAUCCGGAAAUCGUAAUACAUGUGUGAAUAACAGACACCAACAUGUCCCUAGUGAGCCUCUAGUUGACUAGCUCGUUGAUCAACAGAUAGUCAUGGUUUCCUGACUAUGGACACUGGAUGUCAUUGAUAACGAGAUCACAUCAUUGGGAGAAUGAUGUGAUGGACAAGACCCAAUACUAAACAUAGCACAAGAUCGUAUAGUUCGUUUGCUAGAGUUUUCCAAUGUCAAAGUAUCUUUUCCUUAGACCAUGAGAUCGUGUAACUCCCGGAUACCGUAGGAGUGCUUUGGGUAUGCCAAACGUCACAACGUAACUGGGUGACUAUAAAGGUAGACUACGGGUAUCUCCGAAAGUGUCUGUUGGGUGACAUGGAUCAAGACUGGGAUUUGUCACUCCGUAUGACGGAGAGGUAUCACUGGGCCCACUCGGUAAUGCAUCAUCAUAAUGAGCUCAAAGUGACCAAGUGUCUGGUCACGGGAUCAUGCAUUACGGUACGAGUAAAGUGACUUGCCGGUAACGAGAUUGAACGAGGUAUUGGGAUACCGACGAUCGAAUCUCGGGCAAGUAACAUAUCGAUAGACAAAGGGAAUAGCGUACGGGAUUGAUUGAAUCCUCGACAUCGUGGUUCAUCCGAUGAGAUCAUCGUGGAGCAUGUGGGAGCCAACAUGGGUAUCCAGAUCCGCUGUUGGUUAUUGACCGGAGAAGUCGUCUCGGUCAUGUCUGCUUGUCUCCCGAACCCGUAGGGUCUACACACUUAAGGUUCGGUGACGCUAGGGUUAUGAAGAUAUGUAUAUGCAGAAACCCGAAUGUUGUUCGAAGUCCUGGAUGAGAUCCCGGACGUCACGAGGAGUUCCGGAAUGGUUCGGAGGUAAAGAAUUAUAUAUAGGAAGUGCUAUUUCGGGCAUCAGGACAAGUUUCGGGGUUAUCGGUAUUGUACCGGGACCACCGGAAGGGUCCCGGGGGUCCACCGGGUGGGGCCACCUGUCCCGGGGGGCCACAUGGGCUGUAGGGGGUGCGCCUUGGCCUAGAUGGGCCAAGGGCACCAGCCCCUAUAGGCCCAUGCGCCUAGGGUUUCCACCAUGGAAGAGUCCAUGUGGUGGAAGGCACCCCUAGGUGCCUUGGGGGGGAGGGAAACCUCCCCUUGGCCGCCGCCCCCCCUAGUAGAUCUCAUCUACUAGNNNNNNNNNNNNNNNNNNNNNNNNNNNNNNNNNNNNNNNNNNNNNNNNNNNNNNNNNNNNNNNNNNNNNNNNNNNNNNNNNNNNNNNNNNNNNNNNNNNNNNNNNNNNNNNNNNNNNNNNNNNNNNNNNNNNNNNNNNNNNNNNNNNNNNNNNNNNNNNNNNNNNNNNNNNNNNNNNNNNNNNNNNNNNNNNNNNNNNNNNNNNNNNNNNNNNNNNNNNNNNNNNNNNNNNNNNNNNNNNNNNNNNNNNNNNNNNNNNNNNNNNNNNNNNNNNNNNNNNNNNNNNNNNNNNNNNNNNNNNNNNNNNNNNNNNNNNNNNNNNNNNNNNNNNNNNNNNNNNNNNNNNNNNNNNNNNNNNNNNNNNNNNNNNNNNNNNNNNNNNNNNNNNNNNNNNNNNNNNNNNNNNNNNNNNUGCAUCCACCACCACGUCGUCGUGCUGCUGGAUCUUCAUCAACCUCUCCUCCCCCUUGCUGGAUCAAGAAGGAGGAGACGUCUCCCGUCCCGUACGUGUGUUGAACGCGGAGGUGCCGUCCGUUCGGCGCUGGUCAUCGGUGAUUUGGAUCACGUCGAGUACGACUACAUCAUCACCGUUCUUUUGAACGCUUCCGUGCGCGAUCUACAAAGGUAUGUAGAUGCAUCUAAUCACUCGUUGCUAGAUGAACUCCUAGAUGAUCUUGGUGAAACGAGUAGGAAUUUUUUUUUUUUCUGCAACGUUCCCCAACAGAUGACAAUUACAUGCCCCCCUCCGAAGACGAGGCAAGCCUCGGUGACGAUGAAUUCGCCGUACCAGAGGAUCCCGUCGAACAAGAGCGCUUGAAGCGCAGGCUUAUGGCCACGGCAAAUAGCCUGAAGAAAAAGCAGCAGCAGCUUCAAGCUGACCAAGAUCUGCUAGCUGACAAAUGGACCGAAGUCCUCGCGGCCGAGCAAUAUAAACUCGAGCGUCCCUCCAAGAGUUAUCCAAGGCGCAGGUUGCUUCCCUGACUGGAGGAAGAAGCGUACGAAACGGCUGAUCGGCCACCUCGUGGCCGCGAUAAAGAGGCAUUCCAGCCAAAAGCUCAGCCUCCACCCCAACGCCAUUCAAAUAAAAAGGCAUGCGGAGAUACGCCAGACCUGCGAGACAUAUUGGAGGACAAAGCAAAGCAUUCAAGAUCGAUCUACGGAUCACGAGGGCGCACCACUCUACGAGAUGAUAAACGUCACGCCGGAUACAGUAAAAGCAAAUCCGGCCGGGCUGAACACAGCGGGCAGGACCCAUUCGAGCUGCGUCGUGAUAUAGCCCAAUACAGAGGCGCCGCAUACCCCUUGUGCUUCACAGACGAAGUAAUGGAACAUCAAUUCCCAGAAGGUUUCAAACCUGUAAGCAUUGAAUCAUACGACGGCACUACAUACCCCGCGGUAUGGAUUGAGGACUUCCUCCUCCACAUCCACAUGGCCCGCGGUGAUGACUUACAUGCCAUCAAGUACCUCCCACUAAAACUUAAAGGACCAGCGCGGCAUUGGCUUAAUAGCUUGCCAGCGGACUCCAUUAGCUGUUGGGAAGAUCUGGAAGCCGCAUUCCUCGACAACUUUCAGGGCACUUAUGUGCGACCACUAGACACCGAUGACUUGAGCCACAUAAUUUACUAGCCAGAAGAGUCGGCCAGGCAAUUCUGGACUCGGUUCCUUACAAAGAAAAAUCAAAUCGUCGACUGUCCGGAUGCGGAGGCCUUAGCGGCUUUCAAGCACAACAUCCGAGACGAGUGGCUAGCCUGGCACCUUGGUCAGGAAAAGCCGAAAUCUAUGGCAGCCCUCACGACGCUCAUGACCCGCUUUUGUGCAGGAGAAGACAGUUGGUUGGCUCGCAGUAAUAACAUAUCAAAGAACCAUGGUACCUCAGAUACCAAGGACGGCAAUAGCAGGUCACGUCGCAACAAGCAUAAGCGCCGCAUUAACGGCGAAAGUACUGAGGAUACGGCAGUCAAUGCCGGAUUCAAAGGCUCUAAACCCGGUCAGUGGAAAAAGCCAUUCAAACAAAGUACGCCGGGUCCGUCCAGCUUGGACCGUAUACUCGAUCGCUCGUGUCAAAUACACGGCACCCCAGACAAGCCAGCCAAUCACACCAACAGGGAUUGUUGGGUGUUCAAGCAGGUCGGCAAGUUAAUUGCCGAAAACAAGGACAAGGGGCCGCAUAGCGAUGACGAGGAAGAACCCCGGCAGCCGCACACUGGAGGACAGAAGAGGUUUCCCCCGCAAGUGCGGACGGUGAACAUGAUAUACGCAACCCACAUACCCAAGAGGGAGCGGAAGCAUGCGCUCAGGGACGUAUAUGCGUUGGAGCCAGUCGCCCCAAAGUUCAACCCUUGGUCCUCCUGUCCGAUCACCUUCGAUCAUAGGGACCACCCCACUAGUAUCCGUCAUGGCGGAUUCGCCGCACUGGUCCUAGACCCAAUCAUCGAUGGAUUUCACCUCACUCGAGUCCUUAUGGACGGCGGCAGCAGCCUGAACCUGCUUUAUCAGGACACAGUGCGCAAAAUGGGUAUAGACUCCUCAAGGAUCAAACCCACAAAGACGACCUUUAAGGGCGCCAUUCCAGGCGUAGAGGCCCACUGCACAGGCUCAAUUACACUGGAAGUGGUCUUCGGAUCCCCGGAUAACUUCCGAAGCGAAGAGUUAAUCUUCGAUAUAGUCCCAUUCCGCAGUGGUUAUCACGCGCUGCUCGGACGAACCGCAUUUGCUAGAUUCAAUGCGGUACCACAUUAUGCAUACCUCAAGCUCAAGAUGCCAGGACCUCGCGGAGUUAUUACAGUCAAUUGAAACACAGAGCGCUCUCUCCGAACAGAGGAGCACACCGCGGCCCUCGCAGCAGAAGCGCAAAGCAGCCUCUCAAGGCAAUCUACCAGUUCGGCGUUUCAAAGCCCGAACACCUUCAAGCGUGCUCGGGGCAAUCGGCAAAUAGACCGCCUGGCGCGAUCUGAGCUCGCGUAGCAAUACGGCGGCCACCCCAAUCCCAGCCCAACGGCAUUGUUCGUGCCGCGCAUACAUAAUUACGCAUUAAUAAUACCAUGUGCACAGGUGGGGAGGGGGCACAACUACGGCACGCCCCAAAACGCGGCCUAAACCGCACCAGGGGCUUCCCGUUUGGUUAUUUUUCUUUUUCUUUCAGGACUUCAAUCUCUGGACACACUGUCCGGCAGCUCUAUUGCCGAGCACAUGAUACAUCAACCAAGGAGGCCGACAACUACGGAAUUCCCAGGUGGAUUACAGGUUUCUUCCUCAGCUCGCCCUUGGAAGGGACAUAGUCCUACUCUUUUGCUUAUUACACUAUCUGUAUCACUCUGCUUUAAUACAAUUUUUUAAUAUAUAAUACAUGACAUUACGACUAUUAUCGCAUUUUUGUUAUAUAUAUACAUAUCUAUGUGUUCAUUUAUGACGCCUAGCAACCAUACACUCUGGUACGGCCAAUGCACCAGGGGCUUACGUACCCACAAUAUGGUGUGAAAACUCUGAACGCUUUCACAAGUGCGGCACCCCGAACUUAUAGCAUUAUAUGCAUUAGCUCCGAAUCAUGUCUUUGGUCAAAUGUUGGGUUUGCCCGGCUCCUAUGUUUUGGUACCUUACGUUCCGCUCUAUCGGCUAAGGUAGCGCUAGGAGAACUACUGCGAUUGUGCCCCGGUUCUGCCGGGCCAAGCACCUCAGUAGAGAAAGCUAAAACUGACUGUCAUGAUAAGGCGAGAGACUGGUCGCUGUUCGGCGAGGUUUUUCGAGUCACUAAAGACUUAUGCCGCUUAGGGAGAGGGGCUGGCUCCGUCCGACUUACAGGCGUGUAUCGCGCCCCGAAUUCGGCCUUCCGAAUACCAGGGGCUUUGCCGAAAUUUAAAAUUAUAGAAUUCUAUGGCUAAGUGAGAGUGAUAAAGCAUUAUUAGUCUGGUUGCCUUGUUCAUUGUGCUGAGCACCUCCCUCGAAGGACCCAAACAUGGGAACAAGAGUGCUCAGGUUUAUCCCGAACACCCCGGCACUCGUGGCAUGGGGGCAGAAGCCGAGGACUAGCCAUCUCUCAGAUUGGAUAAACAGCCAAACAGAAGGUAAUAUUUUAAAUUCACACAAACGUUGCAUAGCGAAUACGAUACAAGUUUUCAUACAUACAGGACAAAACGAGCAAGUCUCAUUCAAAUAUUACAUUUUGCAAACACUCAUCCGCGAUAAGACGGGCGCCCGGCAGAACACCCCCGUAGUACAUCUCGGGGUGGCGGUGCUCCUUGCCCUUCGGCGGACCCUCCUUGAUUAGCUUCACGGCGUCUAGCUUGACCCACUGUGUUUUUACACGGGCGAAGGCCCGGCGUGCACCUUCAAUGCAGACGGAUCGCUUGACGACCUCCAGCCAUGGGCAGGCAUCCACAAGCCGUCUCACCAGGCCAAAGAAGCUGUUCAGAAGGGCAUCGCCAGGCCACAACCGGACUAUGAAGCCCUUCAUGGCCUGAUCGGCCGCCUUAUGUAGCUCAGCCAUCUGCUUCAGCUAGUCGCUCAUCGGCACCGGAUGUUCGACCUCAGCAUACUGAGACCAGAACAGCUUCUUCGUCGAGCUACCGUCCUCGGCCUGGUAAAAUUGUGCGGCAUCGGACACACUGCGGGGCAAAUCUGCGAAUGCUCCUGAAGAGCUCCGGAUCCGGGUAAGUAAUCGAUAAUUUACUUUUACAUGCUUGCUUUGCAUAUAGAAAGCCUUACCCACCGCUAUCUUCUUUAUCGUGUCGAUCUCCUAAAGGGCCAUCUGGGCCUCGGCCUUGGCACUCUUCACGCUCUCACGGGCCGCGGCAAGCUCAGAUUCUCGCGUCUUCAAGUCAAGCUCCAACGCCUCGUGCUUCGUCACGAGAGCCUGGAGCUCUUGCUGCACCUCGCCCACCAGAGCCUCGUGCCUCUCUCGCUCGGUGUGCUCCUGGGCCGCCUUCUCUUCGGCCUGGGACAGUGCUUGCUUCAGGGUCGCCACCUCGUCGUGGCCCCUGACAAACAUACAAUGAUCCUGUCAUUUAGCAAUCGCGUCCUUUUUCUCAUCUACAGACGGGGUAUUACUUACCCUUGUUCUCCUCGAGCUACCUCUUAGCAAAGCCGAGCUCUUUCUGGGACCCCUCAAGGGCCUCCUUCAGUACGGCGACCUCCGCAGUUAGUGCGGCGGACGCCAGCGGCGAAGCCUGCAUAUGCAUAUUGACAUACUUAUAUUAGACUCCUGCGAUAUUAUUUGAUCCUCUGUUCGGCUUUUCUUUGUGAACACCGAACAAAGCAUCAGGGGCUACUGUCUAUGCGGUAAUAUUUCUACUACAUUUUAAAACACUUACCUCGAAGCCUGUUAGAAGGCUAGUACAGGCUUCAGUCAAUCCGCUCUUGGCGGACUGAACCUUCUGGAUCACCGCACUCAUGAUAGUGCGAUGCUCCUCCUCGAUGGAAGCGCUGUGAAGCGCUUCCAACAUAUUAUCCAGCGCCUCUGGAUGGACAGAGGUCACCAGCACAUGCGUCUCACCCCUCUUAGAAGGAGAUAGCCUGCCCGAGCCCGGAACCGCUGGAGGUUCCGGCGCGGGGUUCGGCUGAGGGUCGAACUCGGAGCUCUUAGGGGGCCCGUCCCCUCUGCUCCCGGAGUCCGGAAGGUCGCCUUGAGGCGCCUUCAGGACUGUCUCCCCUUGAUCCGGUGCCACUUGGGACAACACCUCGGCGUCGUCGGCAGGAUGAGGGGAGGUGGCAGUCGGGACUAGAUCGCUAUCCAUGUCCGACGAACCCAGGGAGCCAUCUGAUGAUACCUCGAUAUUGGCUCGUGGCGGCCUGCGUAAUUAUGUUCGGUGAUUAGGGAAAGCAAUGCGACAAAGGAAUCCUAUGGGUUACUUUGGUAUCCGAACACUUACGAUCUCCCCUGGGGCUUGGCCCUGGGCAACCACUCGUCUUCACUUUUGUCGGCGGCGGUGGAGCUGUCCGGAAGGAGAGUCCUUCCCUUCUUGGACCCUCCGGCCUCCCCAGUUGGGGCGGCCUUCCUUUUCUUGUCUCCCCCAGUCGGUGGGGGAGCCUCUUCUUUGUCUUCUCGUCUUGGGGGAAGAGUGCGCCGCAGAGUCAUUAGACGGUGAGUCCGACGACGCUUGGCGUCGGGAACUCUUUCGAGCUCCCUUGGCCUUCUUGGUCUUCUCCAGCACCUUAUAAGGGGCUGGAGUCAGCAUCUUCGUCAGAAGAGCGUCUACGGGGCCUUCGGGCAAGGGAGUUGGAUAGUCGAUCUGUCCGGCCAUCUUCUGCCAGUCCUGUCAAAAUUACGGGAAUUUAGAUCCCUCAUAGAGUCAAUCAAUAUAGAAAACAAGUAUCCUGUAAAAGGUAAAACAGCUUACCGCACUAGCUUGGCGCUUCGCGCUGAAUCCGCCAUCCUCAGUAAUGGGGGGAGGGACCGUGGCGCCCUUGAACAGCACCCUCCAGGCAUCUUCAUGAGUCGUGUCGAAGAGCCUGUUCAAAGUUCGGUGCUGCGUCGGGUUGAACUCCCACAAGGUGAACUCCCAUUGUUGGCACGGGAGUAUCCGGCGGAUGAGCAUAAUCUGGACUAUGUUGACGAGCUUGAGCUUCUUGUCCACCAGGUUUUGAAUACAUGUCUGAAGUUCGGACAGCUCUUUUGAAUUACCCCAGGACAGGCCCUUCUCUUUCCAGGAGGUGAGCCGCAUGGGGAUGCCAGAUCGGAACUCGGGGGCCGCUACCCAUGCGGGGUCGCGCGGCUCGGUGAUAUAGAACCACCCGAUUGCCACCCCUUUAUGGUAUCCACGAAGGAGCCCUCGAGCCAUGUGAUGUUGGGCAUCUUGCCCACCAUGGCGCCUCCGCACUCCGCUUGGCAGCCGCCCACCACCUUCGGCUUGACGUUGAAGGUCUUCAGCCAUAGGCCGAAGUGGGGCUUGAUGCAGAGAAAGGCCUCGCACACGACGAUAAACGCCGAGAUGUUGAGGAUGAAGUUCGGGGCCAGAUCGUGGAAAUCCAGGCCGUAAUAGAACAUGAGCCCCCGGACAAAGGGAUGGAGAGGGAAUCCCAGUCCGCGGAAGAAAUGGGUGAGGAAUAUGACCCUCUCAUGGGGCCUGGGGGUGGGGAUGAGUUGCCCCUCAUCUGGGAGCCGGUGCGCGAUGUCGUCGGGCAGGUAUCCGGCUCUCCUCAGUUUCUUGACGUCUCCCUCCGUGACAGAGGAGACCAUCCACUUGCCUCCCGCUCCGGACAUGGUUGGAGAAGGUUGAGAUGGAAGUGAGGACUUGGGCGCUAGAGCUCGAGUGUGCGGGAGCGGAUGAGCAGAGGAGGAAGAAGGUGUGGAUAGAAAGGUGAAUCCUUAUCCCUUUAUAUGGGCGGACAAAAUUAAGCGUCCCCACUUGCCUGGUAAAACUCUCUUGUCUCCCAAGCGCCGCAAUUGAUGGUGCGGUUGGGUUACCCACGCCCGUAUUGAUGAGAAUCCCGUAAUAAGGGGACACAAUCUCUGCUUUGACAAGACGUGUCGAAAAACUGCCUCGCGUUAUGUGCGGGGCUGGUUAAAAGAAACGGUUCGAAUAAUCACCGGGCCAUGACGUAACGUCAUGCUGCCGAAACAAGCUAGCAAAUUAGAUUUGUGAAAACAUUAUUCUCUCUACGGUGGAAUGUGGAACUUAUUUUGCAGGGUCGGACACUAUCCUCGUAUUCAAAUUCUUCUGUGACGUAUUCGGAGAAGGAACCCGCCUUGCAAUGCCGAAGACAACUACGCGCCGGAUUCAUCGUCAUUGAAGCCUGGUUCAGGGGCUAAUGAGGGAGUCCUGGAUUAGGGGGUCUCCGGACAGCCGGACUAUCUCCAUUGGCCGGACUAUUAGACUAUGAAGAUACAAGAUUGAAGACUUCGUCUCGUGUCCGGAUGGGACUCUACAUGGCGUGGAAGGCAAGCUGGGCAAUACGUAUAUGGAUAUCUCCUCCUUUGUAACCGACCUUGUGUAACCCUAACCCUCUCCGGUGUCUAUAUAAACCGAAGGGUUUUAGUCCGUAGGACAACAAUCACAACAUACAAUCAUACCAUAGGCUAGCUUCUAGGGUUUAGCCUCUCUGAUCUCGUGGUAGAUCUACUCUUGUAACACCCAUAUCAUCAAUAUUAAUCAAGCAGGACGUAGGGUUUUACCUCCAUCAAGAGGGCCCAAACCUGGGUAAAACUUCGUGUCCCUUGCCUCCUGUUACCAUCCGGCCUAGACGCACAGUUCGGGACCCCCUACCCGAGAUCCGACGGUUUUGACACCGACAGCGGCCUUGCUCUACUGCCCCAGCUCCCCACGUGUCUGCAUGUGCAUCUUUUUCUACUCCCAUCAGCUCUUCCAAAGCCACCUAAAUUUUUAGUAUUAUUAGAGGUAAAGCUACUUCAUGCAUUCGAAUCUAGGGCUUUGUUCAAACAACGAAGAAAGGGGGGAAAGUUGUAGCAUGAAUCUAGGACUUGAUUCAAAGAGGAAAUAAUAUGGUGAAAGUGGUAGAGACCGGAUACCCAACCGGUCUCUUGGUUGAAAAGGGAAAUAAUGGGAAAACGCAGUACAAACUAGAUAAGGAACAGAUCUAUUAUUGGUUGAAAAAAGGAUAGAAAGUGGCGGCUGGUGGGCAAAUCAACAGAGUAUGUCCAGGAUUAGAUUUGCUGCCAUCACAUAGUAAAAGGUCUCCAGGAUUAGAUUUGCUGCCCUCACAUAGUAAAAGGUCUCAGGAUUAGAUUUGCUGCCCUCACAUAGUAAAAGGUCUCUAGGAUUAGAUUUGCUGCCCUCACAUAGUAAAAGGUCUUCAGGAUUAGAUUUGCUGCCCUCACAUAGUACAAUGGCACUCCUGCUGUUUUCCCCAGUAUGAUAAGUAAGUUGCUCCUUUACGCUGCUGAGUGUCCUGGUGUCCCCAUGGUCCCAUGCCCUUAAACCAACUCUUUAGUUGUUGUUGAUUUACUGUGUCUGGUAAACAAGAAAUGCCACCAUUAAAAUAAUCCCAUAUUUGAGGAAUCUCAUUGUUGAUCGUAAUGCUUCUGGUAACAUGAAGCAUCGCUGACGUUUUAAAAUUUCUAUUGUCCUUGCGUGAUUGCCAUGAACAUAAUUAAGAUGCUUCUUUUCAUUUUGUAUAUGUUUCAUAUAUUCUUAUUGACCAGCAACUGUUUACUUUCUAUCUUUUUGUGCAGAUAGGGAUAUCCAUUUCACCUUGUUGCUAUUGUGACCUUUUGGUGAACUGCAGAAAACACUUUUUUUGGAAUGAGUGUCUUGUGCAUUUCAACUAAAAUGUCACAUGGGCAACAUCUCUCAAUUUUGGUGGAACUGCACAAAAUGGUGAUUGGAGUUUCCAAAAUCUUCGUCAAGUUCUGCUGGUAAUCUCGUGCAACAUUUUAUUAGCCUUUGCAAGAUGGAGCCGUCACUGUCACCACAAUGGCACUUUAUUUUAGUGGAACUGAACAAAAGGAUAAGAAAAUUAUAGUUGCACCUUACAUGAGCCGGACAACCAACCUUAAUGUUCCUCAAUUUUAGUGCAACUACUAAAGAAGAACCUGCCAGCUCACAAGAGCAAGUACUUCUUGCUAGUUGAAUGAUGCAAUCUUUGCUUCAUUUUAGGUGAACUGCAGAAAAAGGCGCAUGAAUUGAAUCAUGGAACUCCAGGCAGACCUCAUCCAAGUAGAGCUGGAGGUUGAGUUCAAGGAGGCCACUAUUAAAGCGAAAUCAUGCUCUCCUGUCUCCUUGUUUGUGUUGUGCAAACAUGCUGUGCAAACAGGAAUACUCAACUAUAGAUGUUGUGACGGUCAAGAGCAUUCGCCAAGUUCUUAGAUUGUAUGACAUGGCUAGCCAAGAUGGAUUUAAUCCCGAUAUUCACUUUAUUAAAAGGCUCUAAUGGGUUGGUUCUGAAUCUUGCAAGUUGGGAAUCAGUGAGAUGUGUAGGCAUCUUUGUUGUACUUAUUAUUUGAAUCUUAUUUGUUGGUUCUGAAUCUUGCAAGCUGGGAAUCAAUGAGAUGUGUAGGCAUCUUUGUUGUACUUAUUAUUUGGAUCUUAUUUGUUGGUUCUGAAUCUUGCAAGCUGGGAAACACGACAUGAUGAUGCAGAGGACAACAACCAUAAUAAAUAGUUCAAACUCGGUAGUAUUAUCUUUUGUGAAAGUGCGACAAAUGUGAUGAUCAUGUGCGUCCUGAGAAUAAUAAUUCUAAUUGUUGUGCAUGUUGAUCCUGUGGCACUGAUAGAACGAGCGAAUGCAUUGCUUGUUUUAAGUACAAAUUUCUAUUAAAGCUAAUUAAAUUUAAGUAAAGUGACCACUAACUCCUGUUAUUACAGUACCAAUACAGACCCGCUCGUGAACCGACGUGUGGCCGAGGGUGCAUCUUCUGUCGGGCGUGCAGCGGACGAGGGAGGGGUAGUAACUGUUGUCGCCUGUACACACUCAGCUUACUGUUGAAUCCAGCUCCCCAAGAGCUAAAAAAACGAACUGCUGCCGCCGCCUACACACUCGUUCACUCGAAGAGACUCCAAUGGCUAUCCGAGGGGUGAGCCUGCUGGAUAUGGACUUCAGCAAGGAGUUCCCCUUUGAGUUCGUCGUUCAGUCCUAUGGCUGCACCAAGUUGAAUGUGAUGUACACCAAUGAUACGGACUCGGUGAAGCUCUACCUCGCCUCAGUCCUAUGGCUGCACCAGGUUCUGGAGCAUUCGCCCGUUUCAUCGGCAGCGCCGACUGCACCUUCGCUACGGUGGAGAGAAGGAAGAACACGACGAUUCGGCCAUCUGGUGCAACAAGCUUGUCGACAUCCAGAAGCAAUACAAGAUCAUCAGCAAUGGGCAGGAGAAGGACUCCGUGGUUGACCUCGCUGAGGCCAUCAUCGACCUCUGAUACGCCAACAUGAAAGAAGACGACCUGAACACGUGGGAGGUACCUCUGAAUCUAGCCUACAUAACCUACGCGGCCAAGGGCGCAUAAGCAUGCUACGACAUGUACAUGCAGAUCUUGGACAUGAGGGCGUGUCUGCUUCCCGUAACCGAUGAGUACACGGACAGCCGCAGCGUCAUGAUCAAGCGUGCCAGGAAGGUCUAGAUGUUGUACUUUAUUUGUUUAUAAGCACCUUUAUCAUGUGAGUGUUUCAUGCAUUAGCCUAUGUGUUGUAAUUAUCUGUUUUGUCCGAAAUAUUUCUUUUAAGAACCCAUUAACCUGAUUGCUUUUUUAGUGGCAAUUUGCUUAUGUAUGUAAACUAGUUCACUUGUCCGUAAAAAAAACUAGUUCACUCGGCUGUCGUGCUUUGAAUCUCCUUCCUCCCAACAUAUUCCCCUCCUCAGGUGGACCCAACAGGUCUCUUAAUUCUCUCCCACUUUCUUUUUCGAUGUAAACUGAGUUUUCUCCCAGUACUUUUACCUAGAAGCAACUCAACUGUCUCACGUCUAGCCUAAAUAAUAAUAAUACCCCAUGUACUGUUAACUCAUCAAAUUAAAAUGAUAUUUUAUUUCGUAAGUUGAAAGUUCUUACGAAAUAAUAAUAAUAAUUGUUUAUAUAUAACUUGGCAAGUUAACUCCUAGUGAUUGCAUACAUAAGCUUGCAAAGAUUUUACUGACGUGCAAUCAUGUGUUUAUGUUUUUAUAACAUUUCUCCGUCUAGCCCAACAUGAUAUUUUCACCCAGCCCAGCAAGUCCGCGCCUUUCGAGAAAAAUGCAAAUGGGAUUUAAAUGGGCCGCAUAGAUGCUACAUCAUUGUUUCACCCAGCCCACCAAAUGGACUAAGAAAACAAAUGGACUGACAGCUGGGUCCACAGCCACAACCCAGUUUUUUUGUGAUUUGCCAAGUAAGUCGCUUUGUCAGGCCUGUUGGGCUGCAAAUCUUUCAAGACAAUGAGAGCUUUCAUUCGGCUGGCCGAGAAAAUGGCCCAUCAGUAAGGAGAAAUGGGUUGUACAUUUUUAAAACACAUCAAACCGGCAAUUAGUUUCAAAUAUCUUUUUUUUCAUUUUGAGAUUUUAAAUUACAUUAAUUUUUAUGCAUGGAGAAUUUGUUGGAUUUUAUAUUGAUAUACAUUUAUUUUUAAAAUCAGCUUGAAUGUGAGUCGAAAUUUCGUGAUUAAAAACAGUUCGGACCGCACCAAAAUAUGCAAACUUUUGUAUAAUUUUUUAACCGUGGCCACAAUAUGGGCUGUAAUGCUAACAAAAAGAAUAUGAGCUCCAAAAAAACCUUAAGAAUUACCAAAUGGGUUGUACGUUGUUUUCCACAGAUUUGAGGCUUUCCUAAAAAAAGGUUGACGCACAAGCAGUGACUGUUGGAUGGCCAUCCAACGGCCGUCGUGCUUCUUCAAUCUCUGCUCUUCCUGCUCCAGCCGCUCAAACAGGCGUCGGCGGGACUGCCUGCUCCCUCCUCCCCGCGGUCGGCUCUGCUGCCGUGCAGGCCUCACCGCCCCACCGUACUCCCAUCACUGGCCUAGCCAUCCCUCUACUCACCCACACCUGUUGUUAUUCUCCGGCGACGGCAGACAAACCAGUAAACCCUCGUACAGUCGUACUCCCCUCUGUGUGGGAAACAACUGUCGAAUCUUCCCUGCCUCCGUGUCGUUCCCUUCCUAGGGCUCGUCGUCGUCCACCGCCCUGGUGCUCUCGGCGUGGCCUGGUCAACAUGGUCAACGACCGACAUGCAUCUGAUGUGGACUUUACAUGGAGAGGCCGACAGCUGGGUCCACGGCCGCACGCAAGGAAAUGCCUCCUUAUUACGCGCAAAAUAAUGAUUCCUCCACCUGACGUCAGGGACACACCGAAAGGGCCUCUGUAUUUCACGAAAAAAAUGUUACCGCCGCUAACAGCUCGGACCCACCAGCUAUAUCUUCGCACACAAGGAAGUGCCUCCUUAUUACGCACAAAAAAAUGAAUACUCCCCCUGUUAGCUGGGACCUAGUAUAGUGGCAGGCUGACUUGUGGCCCUACUAAGUUGACGAGGACGGAGGGCUUUGUCAACUUAGUCAAUAUGCACGAUUCUAGCUCCAGUGACCGUAUGAUGUCCAUCCAACGGCCGUAGUGCUUCUUCAACCUCUGGUCUUCUUGCUCCAGCCGCCCAAACCAGCACCGGUCGUGCCUCGUGCUCCUGCCUCCCAUGGCCGGCUGCGAUGCGGCGGAGGCCUCACCGCCCCUACUACUCCCACCGCUGGCCAGGCCAUCCCUCUAUUCACCCACACCCCCUGUUAUUCUGCGGCGACGGCAGCCUCACACCGCAGCGAACCAGUGAACCUCUUACUCCUCUACGCAUGGGCAUCCACUAUCGCAUCUUCCCCGGCUCUGCGUCGUCCCCUUCCUAGGCCUCGCCGUCGUCCACCGUCCUGGUGCUCUCGAUGCGGCGUGGUCAACAUGGUCAAGGAACGGCUUCCAUCGGACGUGGACUGUACGUGGAGAGGCUGACAGCUGGGUCCACGUCCACAGCAAGGAAGUGCCUCCUUAUUACAUGCAAAAUAAGUAUUCCUCCACCUGACAGCGGGACCCACCGGACGGGCCACCGUAUUUCGUGAAAAAAAUGUUUCCCCCUGACUGCUGGGACCCACCAGCUACAUCUUCGCACGCAAGGAAGUGUGUCCAGGCAAAAAAAACAAUUCGCCCCCUGACUGCUGGGACCCACCAGCUACAUCUUCACAGGCAAGGAAGUGCCUAACAGUCGGGUACCACCUGGUCAAAGCGUACGUAGUGUUGUCAUUCUGGUCGCAAGCGUGUACGUACAUACUGGUCGAUGUAGAGGCACGCAUGUGUCGUAGUAGAGGCGCGCACGUGUCGUAGUAGAGGCGCGCACAUAGCAUUUACACGUACGUACAGCGGCCAGGAUGCAAGAAAGAAAAUACGGCCACGUAUGUGUACAUACGGGCGGGGUCUCGAACGCCUACUCACGCAUAUGUACGGCCAGGGCUCGUGUACAUGGCUGGGUCAGAACGGAGAAACAGCAUCGUCGUCGUGUUCAUUGGGAGGCAACGGAAUGCGUCGUGUUCAUCGGGAGGGCUUCGACAGAACAUGCGAUGGAAACGAGGCCUGGCGUACUGCAGAACGGAGGAAACGGCCUUGUGUUCGACCGGCCACGUCCGAAACGGGAUCCUGUUCAUCGGGAGGGGUCUGGCGUACCGCAAAACGGAGGAAACAGACCUCCUACGGUCGAAACGGGGGUCCUGUUGAUCGGGAGGGGUGUGGCGUACCGCAAAACGGAGGAAACGGACUUGUGUUGGAGCGCUACGGUCGAAACGGGGGUCCUGUUCAUCGGGAGGGGUGUGGUGUACCGUAAAACGGGACUCCACGAGAUACUGUUCAUCUCCACCAUCGACCUCCUCCAGCCUCCACGGGCUCCUGUUCAUCCAGCCUCCAUCGCGCGCUAAGGCGGAUGGUAACAGGAGGCAGGGGACAUGAUGUUUUACCCAGGUUCGGGCCCUCUUGAUGGAGGUAAAACCCUACGUCCUGCUUGAUUAUUCUUGAUAAUAUGAGUAGUACAAGAGUUGAUCUACCACGAGAUCGGAGAGGCUAAACCCUAGAAGCUAGCCUAUGGUAUGAUUGUAUGUGUUGUCCUAUGGACUAAAACCCUCCGGUUUAUAUAGACACCGGAGGGGGCUAGCGUUACACAAGGUCGGUUACAAAGGAGGAGAUAUACAUAUCCGUAUUGCCUAGCUUGCCUUCCACGCCAAGUAGAGUCCCAUACGGACACGGGACGAAGUCUUCAAUCUUGUAUCUUCAUAGUCCAACAGUCCGGCCAAAGGAUAUAGUCCGGCUGUCCGGAGACCCCCUAAUCCAGGACUCCCUCGAAAGUCAUUUUAAGAAUAUAUAAAAAAAUACUGAGUGCAAGAAGUUCCAGAGGGGGGCCACACCCUGGCCACGAGGGUGGGGGCGUGCCCUACCCCCUGGGUGCGCCCCCCUGCCUCGUGGGCCCCUGGUGGCCCUCCGAUGCCCAUCUUCUGCUAUAUGGAGUCUUUCGUUGAGAAAAAAAAUCAUAAGCAAGCUUUCGGGACGAGACUCCGCCGCCACGAGGCGGAACCUUGGCGGAACCAAUCUAGGGCUCUGGCGGAGCUGUUCUGUCGGGGACACUUCCCUUCGGGAGGGGGAAAUCAUCACCAUCAUCAUCACCAACAAUCCUCUCAUUGGGAGGGGGUCAAUCUCCAUCAACAUCUUCACCAGCACCAUCUCCUCUUAAACCCUAGUUCAUCUCUUGUAUCCAAUUCUUGUCUCUAAGUCUGGGAUUGGUACUUGUGGGUUGCUAGUAGUGUUGAUUACUCCUUGUAGUUGAUGCUAGUUGGUUUACUUGGUGGAAGAUCAUAUGUUCAGAUCCUAUGCACAUUAAUACCCCUCUGAUUAUGAACAUGAAUAUGCUUUGUGAGUAGUUAUGUUUGUUCCUGAGGACAUGGGAAAAGUCUUGCUAUUAGUAGUCAUAUGAAUUUGGUAUUCGUUCGAUAUUUUGAUGAGAUGUAUGUUGUCUCUCCUCUAGUGGUGUUAUGUGAACGUCGACUACAUGACACUUCACCAUUAUUUGGGCCUAGAGGAAGGCAUUGCAAAGUAAUAAGUAGAUGAUGGGUUGCUAGAGUGACAGAAGAUUAAACCCUAGGUUAUGCGUUGCUUUGUAAGGGGCUGAUUUGGAUCCAUAUGUUUCAUGCUAUGGUUAGGUUUACCUUAAUACUUUUGUUGUAGUUGCGGAUGCUUGCAAUAGAGGUUAAUCAUAAGUGGGAUGUUUGUCCAAGUAAGGACAGCACCCAAGCACCGGUCCACCCACAUAUCAGAUUAUCAAAUUACCGAACGCGAAUCAUAUGAUCGUGAUGAAACCUAACUUGACGAUAAUUCACAUGUGUCCUCGGGAGCGCUUUUCUCUAUAUAAGAGUUUGUCCAGGCUUGUCAUUUGCCACAAAAAGGAUUGGGCCACCUUGCUGCACUUUAUUUACUUUUGUUACUUGUUGCUCGUUACAAAUUAUCUUAUCACAAAACUAUCUGUCACCUACAAUUUCAGUGCUUGCAGAGAAUACCUUGCUGAAAACCGCUUAUCAUUUCCUUCUGCUCCUCGUUGGGUUCGACACUCUUACUUAUCGAAAGGACUAUGAUAGAUCCCCUAUACUUGUGGGUCAUCAUGCCCGGUGCCAGUUCCUAUUUGUUGCAUGUUUUUUGUUUCGCAGUAAAUCCAUAUCAAACGGAGUCCAAACGGGAUAAAAACUGACAGAGAUUUUUUUUGCAAUAUAUGUGAUUUUUGGGAAGAAAAAUCAACGCGAGACGAUGCCUGAGGGGGCCACGAGGUAGGGGGCGCGCCCCAGGGGGUCAGGCGCGCCCUGGGCCCUCGUGGCCACCCCGUAAGGCGGUUGAUGUGAAGGAAAUAUGCCCUAGAGGCAAUAAUAAAGUUAUUAUUUAUUUUCUUAUAUCAUGAUAAAUGUUUAUUAUUCAUGCUAGAAUUGUAUUAACCGGAAACAUGAUACAUGUGUGAAUACAACGACAAACAUAGUGUCACCUGUGUGCCUCUACUUGACUAGCUCAUUGAUCAAAGAUGGUUAUGUUUCCUAACCAUAGACAUGAGUUGUCAUUUGAUUAACGGGAUCACAUCAUUAGGAGAAUGAUGUGAUUGACUUGACCCAUUCUGUUAGCUUAGCAUUUGAUCGUUUAGUAUGUUGCUAUUGCUUUCUUCAUGACUUAUACAUGUUCCUAUGACUAUGAGAUUAUGCAACUCCCGUUUAUCGGAGGAACACUUUGUGUGCUACCAAACGUCACAACGUAACUGGGUGAUUAUAAAGGUGCUCUACAGGUGUCUCCGAAGGUACUUGUUGGGUUGGCGUAUUUUGAGAUUAGGAUUUGUCACUCCGAUUGUCGGAGAGGUAUCUCUGGGCCCUCUCGGUAAUGCACAUCACUAUAAGCCUUACAAGCAUUGUAACUAAUGAGUUAGUUGCGGGAUGAUGUAUUACAGAAUGAGUAAAGAGACUUGUCUGUAACGAGAUUGAACUAGGUAUUGAGAUACCGACAAUCGAAUCUCGGGCAAGUAACAUACCGAUGACAAAGGGAACAACGUAUGUUGUUAUGCGGUUCGACCGAUAAAGAUCUUUGUAUAAUAUGUAGGAGCCAAUAUGGGCAUCCAGGUUCCGCUAUUGGUUAUUGACCAGAGAAGUGUCUCGGUCAUGUCUACAUAGUUCUCGAACCUGUUGGGUCCACACGCUUAAUGUUCGUUGACGAUAUAGUAUUUAUGAGUUAUGUAUGUUGGUAACCGAAUGUUGUUCGGAGUUCCGAAUAAGAUCACGGACAUGACGAGGAACUCCGGAAUGGUCCGGAGAUAAAGUUUGAUAUAUGGGAUAAUAAUGUUUGGUCUCCGGAAGGGUUCCGGAAUUCAUCGGAAGGGGUUCCGGAGGUUUCCCGAAAUGUUUGGGUACGAGAACACUUUAUUUGGGCCAAAGGGGAAAGCCCACAAGGUUUUUGGAAAGCGCAAAAGGAAGUUUUGUGGAGUCCAGGGGCCAGACGCCAGGGUCCUUGGCGUCUGGCCCUGUAGUCCGAGAAGAACUCUUGCCUUUCGGGUGAAACCGACUUUGUGGAGGCUUUUACUCCAAGUUUUGACCCCAAGGCUCAAGAUAUAAAUAGAGGGGUAGGGCUAGCACCCAAGACACAUCAAGAAACACCAAGCCGUGUGCCGGCUACCCCGUCCCCUCUAGUUUAUCCUCCGUCAUAGUUUUCAUAGUGCUUAGGCGAAGCCCUGCGGAGAUUGUUCUUCACCAACACCGUCACCACGCCGUCGUGCUGCCGGGAACUCAUCUACUACUUUGCCCCUCUUGCUGGAUCGAGAAGGCGAGGACGUCAUCGAGCUGAACGUGUGCUGAACGCGGAGGUUCCGUACGUUCGGUACUUGAUCGGGACAGCUCGUGAAGGUGUACAACUACAUCAACCGCGUUGAUAAACGCUUUCUCUUUCGGUGUACGAGGGUACGUAGACAUAAUCUCCCCUCUCGUUGCUAUGAAUCACCAUGAUCCUAUGUGUGCGUAGGAAAUUUUUUGAAAUUACUACGUUCCCCAACAUGAUGCCCUUCUUUCACCGCAAGAAAACUAAUAUCCGGAUAGAGAUCGUGUCCAAAAUUCAGCCCAAUCAGAGUUACGGAUCUCCGGGAAUUUAAGAAACGGUAAAAGGGCAGAAUCUGGAAUGAAGAAACAGAGAGAGACAGAGAGACAGACCCAAUCUCGGAGGGGCUCUCGCCCCUCCACCGCCAUGGAGGCCAUGGACCAGAGGGGAAACCCUUCUCCCAUCUAGGGAGAAGGUCAAGGAAGAAAAAGAAGGGGGGGCUCUCUCCCCCUCACUCCCGGUGGCGCCGGAACACCGCCGGGGCCAUCAUCGUGUGACGACGAUCUACACCAACACCUCCGUCAUCUUCACCAACAUCUUCAUCACCUUCCCCCAUCUAUCUACAGCGGUCCACUCCCCCGCAACCCGUUGUACCCUCUACUUGAACAUGGUGCUUUAUGCUUCAUAUUAUUAUCCAAUGAUGUGUUGAAGUUCUAUGAUGUCUGAGUAGAUUUUCGGUGUCCUAUCGGUAAUUGGUGAAUUGCUAUGAUUGGUUUAAUUUGCUUGUGGUUAUGUUGCUGUCCUUUGGUGCCCAUCAUAUGAGUGUGCGCGUGGAUCACACCAUAGUGUUAGUUGUAUGUUGAUAGGACUAUGUAUUGGAGGGCAAGAGUGACAGAAGUUUCAACCUAACAUAGAAAUUGAUGCAUACGGCAUUGAAGGGGGACCAAUAUAUCUUAAUGCUAUGGUUGGGUUUUACCUCAAUGAACGUUAGUAGUUGUGGAUGCUUGCUAAUAGUUUCAAUCAUAAGUGCAUAGAAUUCCAAGUCAGGGAUGACAUGCUAGCAGUGGCCUCUCCCACAUAAAACUUGCUAUCGGUCUAGUAACAUAGUCAAUUACUUAGGGACAAUUUCGCAACUCCUACCACCACUUUUCCACACUCGCUAUACUAACUUUAUUGCUUCUUUACCUAAAACAGCUCCUAGUUUUUAUUUACGUGCUCUUUAUAUUCUUGCAAACCUAUCCCACAACACCUACAAAGUACUUCUAGUUUCAUACUUGUUCUAGGUAAAUGAACGUUAAGCGUGCGUAGAGUUGUAUCGGUGGUCGAUAGAACUUGAGGGAAUAUUUGCUCUACCUUUAGCUCCUCGUUGGGUUCGACACUCUUACUUAUCGAAAGAGGCUACAAUUGAUCCCCUAUACUUGUGGGUUAUCAGCUAUCCUUCCGGGUAAUCAUGGUCUUCACACGUCGGCCGUGGGACAAGCCCUCGAACGUCGGCAAUUCUCCGCCGGGGCUAUAUCCUGCUUAUAGCGAGAUGUAUGCCCAACUCACUAAUGGAUUUUCACUGCUUGCUACAGUACAGGGUCGGCCCGUUAGCUUGCUAUGCUCGUUGCGUUCGAUCUGUUCGUUUAGCUAAUUUGUUUGGACUUUUCUUUUUCUUAUUUCUUUAUUUUGGUUUUCUCUAUUUUCAAUGGUUUUUGUCCGUUUUCUAUUUUUUCUUCAGUUUUAUUGCAUUUCAUCGGUUUUCUCUUUUAUUUAUUGGUUUCUCUCUUUUUUGGUUCUUUGUUUCUUUCUUUGAUUUUUUCUUCAUGGUUUUUCCGAUGUUUUCUGUUUCUACUUCAUAAUAAAUUUAGUUUUCUUUUGUUUUUCUAUGCUUCUUCAUUGCACUUUGGUUUUCUUUGUUUCUUUUUUUGUUUUCUUCGCCUUAUUUGUUUCCUUGUCGAUUUUCAUCAUUUUUCUAGUUUGUGAAUACAUGGUCAAUAUUUUUUCCAUACACAAUUUUAAUAUAUUUCUAAAAUGUUUGAUUAACAUUUUUUAAGUAAAAUAUGAACAUGUUUUAAUUUUUUAUACAUUUAACAUUUUCAAAUGCUUGAUUAAUAAUUUUAAAAUAUAUGGUCAACAUUUUUACAUACACAUUUAACAUUUUUGAAUGCUUGAUCAACUUUUUCCAGAUAUAGGAUUAAUAUUUUUGAAUACAUGGUCAGCAUAUAUAUAUUUCAUUUUUUUCAAAUGCUUGAUGAAUAUUUUUUAAAUAAAAAUCACCUUUUUUCAUACAUAUUUGUUUUUUUCUGGGUACAUUUUUUGAUAUAUGAGAAACAUUUUCUGUAUAAGCAUUUAACAUUUUUCAAGUGCUUGCUGAACAUAUUUUUGGAAAAAAAAUCUAUGUAAAGUAUUUCUGGUAAUAUAUAUUCUGAAUAUUUGGAAGUAUAAUUUUUUUUAUAGUUGCACUAGUUUUUAACACCGUGAAUUUUGUUUUCAAACAUAAGUUUUUCAUAAUAUGUGUAUUUUAGUUUUCUUUGAAAAUAUAAAAAAAGCAAAAUUUACGGAAAGAGCGAACAAACGAGAAAGGUCGAGCUAACAAAGCACUUGGCUGGCCCAUUAUGUAGUCGCUUGAGGCGGUGCUGAGAGCAAACUCUCGCUGAAGGGCGAGCGAGCUGGGUUCGCGCACGAGCGCGGGAGGCCACAGCCUCAUUUUUCCUUUUUUUUUUACAUUUUAUGUUGUUAUGAACUUCUGUUUAUCUAUACCUAUAUAUAAUGUGCGAAUAAUUUUGAAAGUUGGUCAUUGGAUGAAGCCAAUCCGAUGGUACAGAGAUGUCAUAUCCGAUCACUACUGGUAGUUGGAUAUCAUCUACAUUCCACCAAAUUCUGCCACAUGUAUAAUCUAAAAGACUCCAUGGUUGAACUUAAGCAUAAUGCACAAAUCUCAAAACAUAAACACUUCUCCUUUAUUCUAAAGUCUUCCGUAUCUUAAUUGCCCAAUUUUUUAAAUGAAUUUUUACUUUUUGUUUUUAAUUUAUGCUUUACAAUGCACACUUCCAUGAAUUUUAAAAUAGAUUUUUUUUAUAAAACUAAUUGAUUUUGAAUGAGAUGAACUAUAAGAAUUAAACGAACAUCUACAUCAUGCAUAUAUGACUCAAAGCUUACAUACUAUAAUGUGGUAUUUAUUCAUAAUUUGGUUAGCAAAUUUCAUGCGUGCAAUGCACGUGUACCUUACUAGUACUUUAAAAUUAUCUAAUUACAUGUAUUACAAAAAAAAUCAAAAAAUAUUUGAAAAAAAUGUUAAUCAUGUAUAUAAAAAUGUUAAACAAGUAUUUCAAAAAUAUUUUGAGAAAUGCUAAACAAGUAGUUGAAAAUAUUUUGAGAAAUGCUAAACAAGUAUUUGAAAAAUAUUUGAAAAAUGUUGCACAGUAUUUGAAAAAAGUUGAACAAGUAUUUUGAAAAAUUGUUGAACAUGUAUUUGGAAAAAAAUGUUUAUCAUGUAUAUAUGUUGAACAACUAUUGGAAAAAUUGUUGAGCAAGUAUUUGAAAAAUGUUCAACAAGUAUUUGAUAAAAUGUUGAUAAUGUAUAUAAGAAUGUAGAAUGAAAAAAAAAGAAACAGAGAAAAAAUAAAAAAAUGAAGAAGAAAGAAAAAUAGAUAAAACCAUCUCGACUUACUUCAAGUAGAUCGCGCCCCUUUAGUUAACUUGAACUGCACGCGGGCUCGGUGGCUAGUCGCGCUUGUUUGUGUUGGCAGCGACCAGGGAUGUAUCCCUCACGCGUCCCCUUUCUAAGUUGUGCGCAUAUAUGGGCCGGCUCAUUAACGAAAACUUCGACGCGAUACUUCCUAGAGAGCAAUUAGUUGUCGAGCGUUCCUUUGAAAGCCUCGCAACGAUCACUUACGGAUGGGCUGAGCGCGCUAUUUGAUGCGCUCUCAGCCGCCGCCAUGUGUCGCACACUGUGCGCACACUCCGGAAUUUUAAAUUUUAUUUUAUUUUUUUCACGCAUUUUCGGAUUUUAAACCUUGUUUUUUAGAUUUUUUUGGUUUUCCACUUGUCUUCCUUAGCUUUUGGACCACAAAAUAUAUUCGAAAAAAAUACGCGUGAAGAAAAUAUGUUUUUUUUUGCUUUUGCGAUAGGCAUAGUUGUGCUUUCACGAGAGGCACGGCUGUGCUUCUCGGAAACCCAAAAAACGCAUUUUCUAUUUUUAUUCCUUCCACGAGAGGUACGGUUUUGCUUCCCCGAGGGACACGGUUGUACUUUCGCGAGAGGCACGGCCGUGCCUCUCAGAAAUGAAAAAAAACGUGUUUUCUGUUGUUUUUCCCUUCCGCGAGAGGCACGGGUGCUUUCGCGAGGGCACGGCCAUGCCUCUCGGAAACGAAAAAAAGAACUGUGUCUUCUGUUUUUUUCCUUCCGCCAGAGGCACGAUUUUGCUUUCGUGAGGGGCACGGUUAUAUUUUUGCGAGAAGCACUGCCGUGCCUCUCGGAAACGGAAAAUAAAUUACAUUUUUGUUAUUUUUUCCUUCCGCAAGAGACACGGUUGUGCUUCCGCGAAAGGCACGGCCGUGCCUUUUGAAAACGAAGGAACGGUUUUUCUUCCGUGAGAGGCACGACCGUGCCUCUGUUGAAAAGGGAAAAACCCGUGUUCCCGUUGGGUUUUUCAUCAUGUUUUUUCGUGAAAAUAAAGUUUAUCAAAUCCUAUCAAUAUGGGAUCUAGUUUUGGAGAUCUCGACGCGAGAAAUUCAACGAUGAAAACAGUUCAGAAUUUGGAUGCACCAAAACUUGUUGAAUAAACGGAUCUACGAAAAAAACUACACUUGUUGCGACCUAGAGAGGUGCAAGUUAUCUUUGGACUUCAUACAAACUCUUGCUNNNNNNNNNNNNNNNNNNNNNNNNNNNNNNNNNNNNNNNNNNNNNNNNNNNNNNNNNNNNNNNNNNNNNNNNNNNNNNNNNNNNNNNNNNNNNNNNNNNNNNNNNNNNNNNNNNNNNNNNNNNNNNNNNNNNNNNNNNNNNNNNNNNNNNNNNNNNNNNNNNNNNNNNNNNNNNNNNNNNNNNNNNNNNNNNNNNNNNNNNNNNNNNNNNNNNNNNNNNNNNNNNNNNNNNNNNNNNNNNNNNNNNNNNNNNNNNNNNNNNNNNNNNNNNNNNNNNNNNNNNNNNNGGGCGCCCCUAUUUUUCGCUUUAAGCGAGCGUAGGGGUCAACCUCACGUAGGGGUCAACCUAUAUUUCUGUACUUUUACGUUUUCUGGUUUCGUUUUAUGUUUUAUUUUGUACUUUUGUUUAUACUUACAAUAUUUUAAAUAUAUAUAUUACAAAAAAAACUCUUCAAAAAACAUUUAGAAAAUGUUGAAUAAGUAUAUAAAAAAUGUUGCACAAGUAUUUAAAAAAUGUUAUCAAGCAUUCAGAAAGAAUGUUGAACAAGUAUUUAAAAAAUGUUAAUGUAGCAACAUUCAGAGGAAUGUUGAACAAGUAUUUGAAAAAUGUUGAUCAAAUAUUAGAAAAAUGUUGAACAAGUAUUUGAAAAAUGUUAAUCAAGCAUUUUCAAAAAUAUAGAACAAGUAUUUGAGGAAAUGUUGAACAAGUUUGAAAAAAUGUUAAUCAAGCGUUCGAAAAAUGUUGAACAAGGAUUUGAAAAAUGUUAAACAAGGAUUUUAAAAACGUUAAUCAAACAUUCAAAAAAAUGUUGAACAAGUACAUGAAAAAAUGUUAAUCAAGCGUUCGAAAAAUGUUGAACAAAGAUUGAAAAAAAUGUUAAUCAAGCAUUCGAAAAAUGUGGAAAAAGUAUUUGCAAAAUGUUGAACAAGUACAUAAAAACGGUGGUCAUGUAUAUAAAAAUGUUGAAUAAGUGUUUGAAAAACGUUGAACAAGUAUUUAGAAAGUGUUGAACAAUUUUGAAAAAAUGUUGGUCAUGUAUAUAAGAAUGUAGAAUGAGAAACAAAAAGAAGCAAAGGAAAAAAGGAAAACAAAAAAUGGAGAAGAAAAAAGAAACCUAAACAAAAAAUUAAGAAGGAAAAAUAAAAUAAAAAACGAAGGAACAAAAUGAAAAGAAAAAAAACGAAAAAGCGUUGAAACCCAAGAAAGAAAAAAAGUCAAAGAAAAGAAAGGAGGAGAAUGUGUAAAAGCCGACUCUUGUCCUUCUAAUAGGGCAUACCCGAAAUCACUAAUUAAGAAGUACUCGUUGCAAAAAACACACCACUUUCCCAGGUUGCGAUAAGUGGCGCACAUGCAGCGCGCCAUUUGUCGCAACCUGGGAGUUUUCCCUUUUUUCGUAGAUUCGUUUAUUCAAAACAUUUUAUCUUUUAAAACGUGCAUUCAAAUUUCGAACCGUUUUCAUCAUUGGAUUCCUCGCGUUGAGAUCUUCAAAACUAGAUCCCAUGUUGAUAGGUUUUGACAAACUUUUUUUCAUGAAAAAAACGGACGAAAAAACCGGGCGAAAAAAUCAAACCGGGAGCACGGUUUUUUUCCCUUUCCGAAAGAGGCACGCCCAUGCCUCUCGCGAAAUCACACCCGUGCCUCUUGUGGAAGCAAAACCAUGACUCUCGUGGAAGAAAAAAAACAGAAAACGUGUUUUUUUUCUUUUCCGAGAGGCACGACCGUGACUCUCGUGAAAGCACAACCGUGCCUCUCGCGUAAGCAAAACCGUGACUCUCGCGAAAGAAAAAAAACAGAAAACACGUAUUUUUUCCCUUUCUAAGAGGCACGGCCGUGACUCUCACGAAUGCACAACCGUGCCUCUCGCGGAAGCAAAACCAUGACUCUCGCGAAAGAAAAAAAUAGAAAACGCGUUUGGUUUUUCCCUUUCCGAGAGGCACGGCUGCGACUCUCGCGAAAGCACAACCGCGCCUCUCGCGGAAGCAAAACCGUGACUCUCGCGACAGAAAAAAACAGAAAACACAUUUUUUUUCCGUUUCCGAAAGGCGCGGCCGUGACUCUCGCUAAAGCACAACCGUGCCUCUUACGAAAAAAAACUGUGACUUUCGCGAAAGAAAAAAAAAAGAAAAGACGUUUUUUUCGUGCAAAAAAAUCGAAAAAAAAAUUUGAUCGAAAAGCUAAGGAAGACCGGGAGAAAACCAGAAUGUUGAAAAAAAACCCGGAAAAAAAUAUUUAAAAAGCCAAAAACACGUGCAGAAAAAUAAAAGAACUGGAGGAAGCGUCUACAGCGCGAAACGUGACGAAUGGCUGAGAGCGCGUCAAAUGGCGCUGAUCGUUGCGAGGCCCCGAAGGAGCGUUCGUUAACUAGUUGCUCCCGAGCAUACCUUUCAGGGUGUACAUGAAUUUGAGCCUUGCGCAGUGGUUAGGAAGCCGCUGGUCAACCAGGACAUCGAAUGAUCGAUCCCUCGUGCGUGCACUGAUUUUUAACUCGCGCUUUUCUCGCCAAUGGGCCGGCCCAGUAAUGUAGCGUUCGACGCGAGACCUAAUCUGUAAGAUCUCUCUUAAUGCGAUAAAUAGCUGUCGCGCACCAAGUUCACCACUGGCCAUGCGCUUGUUGUGUUCAAGGAAAAGCGGCAGUUGUUGUGUUCUGGCCACCAAAGCGAACGUGAGUUUCCCCUCGACGCGACACGCCCACGCGCGCGCAAGACCUCUACACAGCCACUGGCCAUGCACACGCCGCAGCCAGCCGGCCGCGUCCGGCUGAAUGUCGGCGGGCAGGUGUUCGAGACGACGGCUGACACGCUCACAGGCGCGGGCGAGGGAACCAUGCUCUGUGCCAUGAUGGAAUGCCGGCGGCGCCGCAGGCACGCACGGGGGCGUGCCCGAGUACUUCAUCGACCGCGAUCCGUCCUGCUUCGCUUCGCUCCUCGACAUGCUCCGCACGGGCGAGCUCCACGUCCCGGCCGGCGUCCCGGAGAGGGUGCUCUUCCGCGAGGCGAACUACUACGGCCUCCUCGACCGCGUCCGUGCCGCUCGCAUCGGCGAGCUCGAUGUCGAGAGGGUCCGCCUAGCCGCUUCAGUGCCACCAGGGCGGGUGCCGGUUGACCACCCGGUGGUCCGCGCGGCACCCGAUAGUGGGUGUUGCAUCACGCACACGUACACGCACGGCACCAUCGCGCGGGUGUACAACUGGAUGCUAGAGCAGCGCCGGCCGAUCUGCCUGACACCUGCGGUGUCGUGGGUCCGCGAUGCGGUUUACCUAGGCCCCUCCAUGCUCCUCGUCGGCGGCCUGGGCAUGGCUGCUUUCUCACUUCUCAGCGCUUACCGGCGACCUAAGUCACCACUUCCGAUUAUCAAACCUAGGCGAGAGUGUCGACCUUGACACACUAGCUUUGGCCUCCGAGCAGGAAACAAAAAUGUUUGCAAGCUGCAGAUGAAGAAGCCGCUACGGCAACUACGGCAUCGAUGCUUGGGACUGCAUCACCGGCGAGCAGGCAGGCUCCUGUUUGCACUUCAACCCCGAAAGCAAGAUGGGCAGCACCAACAAGCUUCAAUGGCUGCCAAACACCAAGACGCUCAUGGCGGCCAGCGUUUGGCCGUUGUUUUCCAUGGCUCUGGUAAAUUCCCGGGAUAUGAGCGUUGUAUGGUCGUGGUGGUACGAGAGUGCCUGCGAGGGGAAGAACAGACGGGUUGUGGAUGCAGCCAUGAUGGAAGACGAGAGUUCGGUCUGCUUGAUCAGUGAGCACCAUGAUAUCGGGUUAAUCGACAUUCGUAUCCAGGGCAACUCCGGAAACGUGCAGUGGCUACAUCAGAGCAAGAUGAGUUCCACUUCCAAGUGCAAUACUUCAAAGCUUGCCAUGCACGGCGGACUGCUCUUGGCGUCCAAGAAUGACACCAUCUCGGUGUAUGGCGGCCCUAAUCACGACCUGAGGCUGGCGCUGCGUGGGAGCCAAGGCAGUGGUGCCAUUAGUGACUUCUCCGUUGGGGGCGACCGUCUCUUUGCCGUGCAUCAGGAGGACAACGUGUUGGAUGUCUGAGAAACGCCACCGCCUCCCAUUAUCUAUUUUUUAAUUAGUCAUUGACUAUUAUCAAGAAACCAGUUAGUACAGAAAUAGGUCAUAGUUUUGAACGAGCGUGUUGCCAUUAUAAAUUUUCCUUUCAUAUUUUUCGUUGAAGCUUUCUGAUCAGUAAAAAUUGGCAAUGCAGCUUAGUUACCUGUUAAUAGGCAGAGCUUUGUUCUCAAAUGUAGAAUCAUAGAAUCAUUUAUCAAUUUUAAAAAGUUCAUUGUUGCGACAACAUAUUAAACUCAGUUUAUUUUUCUAUGAAGUAAGUAUAAUGUGAAAUAAAUGUACGAAUCCCCGCAAAAAAAAAGAAAUAAAUGUACGAAAUGUACAUUUGAUCUAUUUUUCCUGAACAUGGAACCUUGUUUGUUGGCCAUGCCCGACAACUCUGCGACCAUCCCUCCAGCACUCUUUCCGAGUUGGUGGAUGCAUUAUCGCCUCUCCUCCAUCUUCUGCCGCUGCCUCCUCCCUCUCUCGCCAGAACCUGGAGUUCUACACCGCACUCCCUUCGCUUUCAACGCGGCACGACCUCGCCGCCUCUGACAAUCGGGCUUCCACCGAAGCGUGGGGACAGUUUGCGUGCAGAGGAGCAACUAUGAUGCGGAGCUAUGGCCAAGAUGGGCAAGGAUAAAAAAGAAAUGAUAACCCACUAAUAAGUGGGCCCUACAUGGAAGAAGAAAUAUAAAGACUGUAGUUCAUAUAAUUUGACUUUAUACCCUUGCGUUGGAGCCUUUAUUUUUUAGAAGACCCUUUAAACGCACUAUAAAGGCUCAACAUUUUGGGAAAUCUGCUAGAGUUAAUCUAACGGUCUAGAUUUAUUUCACUGCACACGGUAAAUUUGGGCAUGGGGGAUCCCCACGGUUCACCCUCCUCUCACACUUUCCUCUUUUGAUUUUUCUUUGAGUCCCGGCCCCUCCAAUAUUUUUUUGUGUGCAGAAAGUGACUCUCUAUCUGGAUCUGACCUAAAUUCUCUCUCUCUCUCUCUCUCUCUCUCUCUCUCUCUAUAUAUAUAUAUAUAUAUAUAUAUAUAUAUAUAUAUAUAUAUAUAUAUAUAUAUAUUGUAUGAGUGUACCCCUUCGUGACCUAGGUCCGCCACUGCCGCCGCCGCCUCCUCAACCCUAACCCCCAAACUCAAGUGCGUCGCCGCUCAUCGAUGUUCCCGUUCUACCGCCGUUCACUGUUGUCUCAACCUCAUCCAGAGUCUUUCACCUUUGGUAAGUUUUUCGUUGCCGCCCUGUACCCUCUCGUAUACACAAACACUCAACCCCACGCCCUGAUUUAUCCUUUAGAUUUAUGGUUGCGCUUUAUAGUUUUUGCUAGCUCAAAUUUUUAGAUAUGGAAAUAAGGCAAUUUUAUGGAAUGGUUGUUCUAAUCUGGUUAUGAGUGAUAGGGGGAGCUAUUUUAAAGGCCUAACUUUUAGAGAAUCUAGAAUUUAUCUAACGAUCUUGAUUUUUAACUGCACACGAUGGAUUGGGAACAUAGGAUCUCCACAGUUCAUCCUUCUCCUCUCACCUCCUUUUCCGAUUCAUCUCCCUGGCCAACCUCAAAUCUUGAUCAGAUAAUUUGGAUUUAUUAGGGAAUCUCUACUUGCUCUUACGAUCUAGAUUUAUUUAAAUUCACAAGAUGGAUCUCGAGAAGGGAUCUCCAUGAUUCACCAUUCUCCUCCCACCUUCCUUUUCUGAUUCCGCUCCCGAGUCUUGACCAACCACCAAGCUGGAUCAGAGGAUCUAGAUUUAUUAAACUUUUACAAAACCUAGAGUUUCCCCAACGAUAUAUAUUUAUUUAACUACAUAUGGUGCAUUUGUAAACAAGGGACCUCCAGAGUUCACCCUUCUCAAUUCAUUGCCAUUGGUAAUGUUCUUGUCAUCCCAUCAUGAUCUAAACCUUACCGAAUUUCCACAAAUGAACUUCGGGUUUGUCGUGCACAACGAGCACACGAUCUAGAUCAAAUGUUUGCCCACACAAACCCAUGCUCUUAUUUAUCGUACCGAUCUAUGGUUCCAUUUUACAGUUUUUGCUAGAAGCACAGUUGGCUAUUUAUCAAGGAAAAUACAACAACUUUAUUGAGUGGUUGUUCUUAUCUAAUUAUGAGGGAUAGUAGAAGCUAUAAAUGUGAUGAAAUGGGAUAACCUUUUGUUGUGUAGUGUACUUGCAUUUCAGCCUUCCAGGUUCAUUUGCUUGAUAUAAUUGUACUUACCCUGGCUUCAUUUUCAUGUAGAAUUAAAAUGGACAACGAUCUAACAUGCACAAGAAAAAGACAUAUGGGUUCCUAUGAAUCCUACCAAGGAAAAGUCUUUAAGAAAACCAGAGCAAAUGUUCAGUUUACAGACCUUCCUGAGGAUAUGCUAUCUAUGGUUCUAUCAAAGUUGCCACUAAAGGAUGCUGUAAGGAGUGGCAUUCUGUCAAGUAAAUGGGAAGAUAGGUGGAUGUUAUGCCCCAAACUAAGAUUUGAUGUUCUCACAGUGUCUAAGAAUGUGUUUUACGAACAACAAUACACUCAGAAAUUCAUUAAGACCGUGAAUACAGUUAUGCAACAACAUCAGGGCAUGGUUGUUGAAGAGCUCAUGAUCAAAUUUGAGUUUGACUGCAGGAUACUAGAUCAUAUAAAUUCAUGGGUUGCUUUUGCUGUAUCAUCGCGGACGAAGAGCCUUGCCCUUGAUAUAGCACCAACCGAUUACUUCGGUCGUACUGAUCAGUACAGAUUUCCGCUCGAGCUUUUAGACAAUGGAAGCAUAUUUCAGCUUCGUCAUCUAAAACUUAGCUUUGCAUCAUUUGAACUGCCCCCUCAAUUCAGCGGUUUUCCAAAUCUGAGAACACUUGACUUGUACUUGUUAUGUGUCAGCCGGAAGGAUCUUCAAGAUAUGCUGUCAAAUUGCAUUAAUCUUGAGUGGUUUAGUAUGUUUAGAUGUCACCUGAAUGAUGAGCUGACAGUAGCUUGUCCAUUGUCAAAGUUAUUAUACUUCCGUGUUGUGCACUGCAAGGUAACAAAGAUAGUACUCAAUGCGGCAAAACUCAAAACUUUCAUUUUCUAUGGGCGUCUGUAUCCUGUUGACCUUGGGGAUGCUCCAAACUUGAAACACACAUUUCUUGAUUUCUAUACCCCAGUGACUCUUGAACAUGCUUUGAC